GGAGGGGAAUUUGAAGUCUACGAUUUUUUGGGACGUUGGCGGGCAACAGUUGGUCGGGACUGCUCCACUUGGAAAGUCCGCAGCUCCGCAUUUGGCUAGGUCAGGCGGCGACACUGGCUUUGCAACAGCGAAGGGGUCGCUGCCAAGACCAGCCACUCCACCGUAUAGGCUUCCGAGACCUAUAAGUACAUUUCUUCUGUCUAGGUUUACUGGAGAAGGGUUUUCAUGGUCGUGAUCGUUGGAGCUAGUGGAAGGGUUUUUGUUUUGGUCACUACUAUUAUUUGUGGCUUUGCAUGAGACAGCUUGUAAAUUGGAAUGCCUAGGGUUUCCAAAUGAGGAUAUUCGGUGAUACUUUUGGGAGAAAGGGGAGAGGAAAGUUGUGGGGAUGAUACUUGUGGCGGAGGUGACGAGUGGAGCUGACAUAGAAGCCAUGGUUACUUUUGACUCUGAAUAAUACGUUGUAUUGGCUUUGCUUUUAUAAUGUGUUCUAGGUUGUACUUUUCUUUGCACAGGUGGCAGGCCGUACACACGUGGUCGGUCCUUAAGGGUUUGACGAGGAAUACUACGUAGUCAUUUAGUACAGGACAACCAUACACUAUAGCAAGUGGCAUGUAUUUAGAGAUCGAGAGAGAAUUGGGUAAGGUUCACGAGGGAUUUGUAGUUUCAGAAGGUGAAUUGGUUUUGGUCUUCUUGUGUACCAAUAAUAUUUACUUAGUCAUUUAGUGCAGGACAACCAUGCACUAUAGCAAGUGGCAUGUAUUUAGAGAUCGAGAGAGAAUUGGGUAAGGUUCACGAGGGAUUGUAGUUUCAGAAGGUGAAUUGGUUUUGGUCUUCUUGUGUACCAAUAAUAUUUACUUAGUCAUUUAGUGCAGGACAACCAUGCACUAUAGCAAGUGGCAUGUAUUUAGAGAUCGAGAGAGAAUUGGGUAAGGUUCACGAGGGAUUGUAGUUUCAGAAGGUGAAUUGGUUUUGGUCUUCUUGUGUACGGCUGUGGGUCUGCUGUCCCGGACUCUCUGUCUCAUUUGUGUCUUAUUUUUUAUUUUUUCACACGUGUCUUUUACUUAACGUCAAAUCAUGAUAGCAAUGUUAUGCAAUUGGGAGCUAAACGACCGAUGCUUUUAUUUUUUAGUUUGCUUUUUUUCCAGAUCUGAUCAAAUCAUGAUAGCAAUGUUAUGCAAUUUUCAAGAGGGAAAGAUGCACCUGGGAGAGAAACGGUACGGUGACUUCUAAAUCACCGUCCAACAGAACAAUUCUCAGUAGAGACUACUAGAGAGAGAUGCACCUCACCAAUGAAAAAUUUAACUGCAAAAAUUCUGGGUAUUGGGUAAGGAAAUUCGGUGAUACUUUUGGGAGAAAGGGAAGAGAGAAGUUGUGGGGAUGAUACUUCUCGUGGAGGUGACGAGUGGAGCUGACAUAGAAGCCAUGGUUACUUGACUCUGAAUACUACGUUGUAUUGGGUUUGCAUAUAUAUAUAAUUAGGAUUGAAGGAUGUAGAGCUUAUUUUGUUAUGUAUUUUAACGAUUUAAGUGCUUAUCUUUUAGGUUUUCUCUUAAACAUCAUGUCUAUAAAAAAUCACCAAAAUUCAAACCAUAUGACCAUUAGAUCCAUAGUCAUUUUAGUGUUUAUUUGUAAAAUGUAUUCAUUCAUUUUCUUCACUACAAAUGAGUGAAUUAAUGAUUUUAGAAUUUGUCUAAUUUUUUACAUUGAUUAUUUAUGAAUGUUGAAUUGAAAUUUAGACGAUUCAAAAAUAGUUGAUAUGCAUUACAAAAUGAACUCCACAAAAUAAGUGUCAAAAUAUGUAUAAAAAAUGGACAGCGUGAAUGGCUUGGAAAUUGGAAUAGGUUUGAAAAUUGUGCUUUUUGUAGCAAAUUUUAGCAAAGUUUGCUUGGACUUUCACAACCGUAUAAAUUAAAGGGAAACUUGAUAUAACUCCAAUUUUUUGAGCCAAUAGUAGGAAUAGUCCAGUUUAUUAAAAUAAGUUCAAUUCUUUAAAUUUAAUUAUUUAGUUAUCAAUAAUUAUCUCUUAAAAGAAAAAACUUAUUGUAAAAAUCAAAUUUCUUCCUAAUUAUCUCUUUGAUUAUUUCUUUUUAUUUAUUUAUUUGUUAUUUCUUGUUCUUCCUCCUGCUUUAACCCAUUUAUAGAUUUUUUUUUUAAUUUUAUAAUCAACCUAUGUCACAGGUUAAUUGUAUUUAUCUACCUAUAUGACAUAUUCUUUUUCAUAGUCAACAUUUCACAGAUUAAUGUGUCUUGCUUGUAGAUAUAUUAUGUUUUUUUCUACCUUUUAGUUAGGUUUCAUAUCUCACUUAUAGGUAUAAUAUACAUUCAUAUAUUUGCUACUUGAGUUAGGGUAGAAUGUUUUGCAGAUAGAUUUAUGUUAGUAUAUUAAUUUUUUUUUGUUUAUAAGAUAUUAAUUAGAUAUUUUGGAGUUGAAAAAUGCAUAAUAUUAAAAGCUUUUAAUUGAUUUUUAAUAUUUUUAGAAAAUAUAAAAGGAGUAUAAAAGAAAUCAAAACAUAUAAUUAGAUAACGGGAGUCACUCCUAAAAACACUCUAUGUUUUUUGACCUGGAUCUUAAAGCCCCUAAAUUAAACUGUUCGCUUUGUUGGGAAAAAGAAGUGGCCCUAGUUUCCCUUUGAUUUUUCAAGCACGGUGGGAGACUGGUCAUAGUUUCUAGAUUGAUGCUCUAAUUCUAAUGUUAUACAACGCGUACGCUAUAAUAUUUUUAUCAAAAUAUUAGUUUUAGUGUUAUCAAAACAAUAUGUUAUUCUUACCAUGUUUUUGUAUCACAAUUAUAUACCACCUUAGAUGGUAUCUGAUGUGGACAGCCACAUCAUUUAAAUUAAUAAGCAUUUAAUUUCAAAAUGUUAAUCAAUAAUUAAUAAAAAGAUUGUUAAUUAAAUGAUGAUUGUGGUAUACAAGGAGUCUCCUUCUUCCUUCCUCUUUCCAUUCUGCUUUUUCUUCUUACCUCUUUUUUUUUUUUAAUGCCAGUUUUGUAUUGAUUUCUGUUGAUUUCCAUGAUUAUGGUCAAUCUUUAUAGAAUUUACUAGUAUGCCACAAUCACCAUUGAUUUCUAUCUCCAGACUCAUGCCCCGUAGCCCUAAUCCUCAUUCCCCUUCAAGUAUUUCUGUCUCCAAUCUUCUUUGGUACUCCAUGAUUGUUCAUCUCGUGAUAUUUUUUUUUUUGAUUAUUUCAUUAAGUAACGCUUAUUAGCUUUCAUGCGAAUUAGGAGUCAAAAUCAAAUUUGUCUAUCGGAUUAGGGUUCAUACCCAAUUAAGUUACUAACGCCAGAGGGAUUUUGAAGUAUGCAAUUUUCCUUAUUUAAGUGUUUUAAUUAAUAAGAAAAUUGAAAUUAAACAAUUUAGCUUGUCCAACUCAUCUGCCACCUAAGAUGGUAAAUAAAUGUGGUAUAAAAUUGUGGUAAGAAUAUCAUUACUCUUAUCGAAAUUACAAAAAAAAAAAAAAAAGCUGAUUCAAUAUUUAGUUAUUAAAAAAAAAAUGAUCAAGUAACUAUCCAAUACCCAUGUAUUGGGUGCUUUGUUUGAAAAUUUUCAAAAUGAUAUUGGGCUCGUUUGGAUAUGUUUUUAAAAUGACUGAAAGCAUUUUUAGAGAAAAUAUUUUUUUGAUUCCAAAAGCACUUAAAGUGCUUUCUGCAAGAAGCACCCGUUAUGUGCUUCUUCCUGGAAGCACUUUAAGUGUUUUUCCAGCAUUUACUUGCUUUUUUACUAAGGACUGGUUCCAAAAACAUUUUCACAAAAAGUGUUUUCAGUCAUUUUAAAAGCACAUUCAAACGAGCUCAUUGUUUUUCCUAUUUUAAUCGAGUGCGUCGUCCUCUGUUGAGAAUGAAUCUCAUAUUAUGGGAGGAGGGAUCUUGCAUGAAUGGGAGGAGGGACCUUGCAUGAGCUUAUAAGUAAGUUGGGUUACUCUCCAUAUUGCCAAAAGAAAUUUUAUUUGGACCCAGUUUUCCUCUCUCUAAACCCAACUUUAAUAUUUUGUUACCUAUAAACUCUCUAGUUUACCCUCAUAAAUUAUAAACAUAAAUAAACUAGAAAAAGAAAAACUCAUCAAACCCAUUUCCCAACUGUUCUGGCGUCUCUUCCCUGUAUUUGUUGGGUCUGUCUCCCUCCCGACUGUUUUUUUUUUUCUGAUAUCUCUGUGUGUUCCCCCACCUCUCCCACACCCACCAAUUCUUUGUGGUGGCUAUUCCACCAAACGUCCAGUGAAUCUUUCCAUUUUUCUUCUAUUGCGCGUGAUAGGGCCUUGCUAUUAAUAGGCAAAACUAAGCGGCAUCGUCGACUCCGUAAGCGACUUGUUGCAUAAGUCCAAAAUGGAGUCAAAUGGAUUUUGUAUUGGGUCGGGUUGUUGAAGGCGAUGGCUGAUUUAGCAAUCCCGCCUAACUAUUUCUAUAUGUAGGAGAAGGAAGAGGGAGGGAGGUCUGAAGUGGUGGUUGAGUGGUGGCGAUGUAUGUGGGUUCUCUCUCGGUUGAAUGGGUGUAGAAAGAUAUUUAAUUUUCAAUAUCUUAUUUUAUUUUGUAUAAGGGAUAAUAUAGGAAUUACAUAAAAAGUUUUUUUUAUAGCUAGGUGUAGAAAUAGUAUUGUUGGGUCUAAAUAAAAUUACCCUAUUGCCAAUUAGUUUUAUGGUGAAAUCUUAACUUUGUUCAUGCUUUCAUAGUAGGUUGUUCCACGUGUGAAGUCAAACAUCCACACGCGCUGCACGUCACCCCGUUGUGUUGUUCACGUGUUAAGCUUGAAAAUUCAUCACACAUGAGGGAGCGUGUUGAGAAUAAAUUCCACAGUUUAUAAGUAAGUUGUACUACUCCGUAUAUUACCAAUUAAUUUUGUGGAAUUCCGUCAAAGCUGAAUUUGACGGAAAAAAAUAACUUCAUGUUUGUUCUUAACUAUAAAGUCAGUGAUACACUAAUUCUGGUUUGUUUGUUUUUUCCUUCCUUCUUAAGGAAAUUCCCAAUCCAACCAAAAAAAUGAAAUUCCCAAGAGAAUAGUAGCACGAACAAUCGUAGCUUUCUUCUUCGAUAAGCCUUGGGGAAACAGAAAAGGGAAAACCGGACUUUAACCCUAAUUUCUCCCAAUGCCGCAGCACUCUCUAUUUUCUCUCUCGCUCUAUAUCGCGGUCCCUCUCUCUCGCCGUCCUCUAUUGCUCAAACUCAAUGUCUCCAACUUCCUCUGUAUGGUUCCCGAGGAAGAUGGUAAAACAGUAAGGGCAAGAAAUUGUGACAAGGUUAGAUUUGGGUAUUAAUCUGGUGGGGCUACAAUUCUCCAAUCCACACCCCUUUCAUCUGUGCUAGUGUUUGAACCCAAUAUUAGAUAACCGGUCCAUGCAAUCGAUGCCGUUGAAUGAGAAAAAUUCUAGGCCGUGGGAUCAAAUAUAAUGAUGUGGAUUAAAUAAGGAAAAUUUAAAGAGUAAUGAUAUUCAUACCAUGUUUUUGUACCACAUUUUCAUACCACCUUAGGUGGCAUUUGAUGUGGAUAGCCACAUCAUUUGAAUUAAUCAGAUUUUAAAAUUUAGUUGAUUAUUUAAUAAACUAAUAAUUAAGAAAAACUAAUUAAUUAAAUGAUGAUUGUGAUAUACGAGGAGUCUUUCUCGUUCAUUUCUUUGGGUUUUGCAAAUUUUUCAAAUGAUGUGGCUGUCUACAUCGGAUGCCACCUAAGGUGGUAUAGAAAUAUGGUAUAAAAAUAUGGUAUGAAUAUCAUUACUCAAAUUUAAAUGUUUAUCUUGGUUAAAUUACCAUGAUAAUAUUGUGGAAUUAUCUUUUGCAUAACGGAAGAGCGAGAAAAGUCCAAGGGUGUAGGGAAGUUGUGUGGUUGACUACCGCUAUUUUGAUGGUAUAAUCUGUAGAGUAAUAUUACAUUUAACAUCUAUUUGUAUCAUAUUUCUAAUAAAGAUAAGGACCAUCAAUGCAUAAAUAAUUAAACAAAUAUAUAAUAAGAGUAUCAUUUUUGUAACUAGAAUAGGAGAAGAAAGACUUCAAGAUGGGAUCAGCCAAAUAAUUAGCGUUAAGAUAAAAAUAUUGAAAGGAAAACUAAUGAAAAUGGCUUGAAAACUUUGAGUUUUAACGAUAAGGACAAGAUAAAGGGUAAAGUGAAUAGUACCAGGAUUGACUUUUUAAUGUAAAAAUAUAGUUUUUCGUUAAAGUGAACAUUACCGGGAACUUUUCGUUAAAGUUUCCAAUGAGAUAAUAUUGCAACAGCUGGCAUGAGACAAUGAUGGUAUAAAGAUGGCUACUACGGCCAAACUACUACAUAGGAUUCCAUACAUGCGGUCAUUAUUUCGACAAAUCAAUGGCUGCCGCAAUCAUGUGCUCAUUAUUCCGACAAAUCAGUAGCUACUUGCAUUGGAUUAGGAUUGCAUGCGUGUGGUCAUUGAAUGAGGAUUGCGUGCACGUGAUCUUUAUUCAAACAAAUCACUAUUGACCAUAUAUUGCAAUUGGUUAAUGGUAGGCAAAUUGAAUUUUUACAUCAAAUAAUGUGAUUGCUGAUAAUUGAAUUAUUAUUUAAAUGUUGAUUAAUAUGCUUAUUUUUUAUUUGUGAUAUAUCAUUUAAUUUGUACAUUUAGUUUACCUAACAUUACCAACUGUAAUUUGUAUAAAUGGACUGGUACCUAACAUAACCAGUUGUAAUUUGUAUAAAUGGGACUGUAAUUUGUAUAAAUGGACUGGUGCCUAACAUUACCAGUUGUAAUUUGUAUAAAUUUACUGGUCCCAAGAGCACAUGCUACUGCUCAAGAAGCAAAGUUCUUAUUUGCCCAAAAAAAAUCAUGGUUUUUUAAUUGAUGCUCUCAUUUUAAUUUACUAGCCCCUUACUUGGCCUUUUUUAUUUAUCAUUUUAUACAUAUUAAUAUUUUUUUGUAAAAUAUAUUAGUUUGAGUUUUAUUAAAAUUAAAAAUAAAUAAAAAAACUUAGUUUUAGUUUUAUCAAAUUAAAAAAAAAUGACUUAAUAUUUAGUUAUUGAAAUUGUAAAAAAGUGAUCAAGUAUUGGGUGCUUUGUUUGAAAUUUUUCAAAAUGAUAUUGUUUUUACCAUUGAAACCCUGUUAUAUACAGUGAUGGCUAAUUUGUCAAGUUCUACGAAGUUGGGAUACCCAGCGUUUUAGCAUAUAACAUAGCUUAGUAUUACAAGCAUAAUUAAUUAAAAUAAAGGCAAAAUAAGAGGAUAGCUUAGUAUUACAAGCAUAAUUAAUUAAAAUAAAGGCAAAUUGUAACAGCCCGUCCCUAAAAAUGACGAUUUUAUAAUCUUAACACGUGAGUUUAUGAAGAUGCCCUUCGAGGCAAAGUGUUGACUACCGCGUCGUGUCAUGUGAGACUCAUCUUCUUGGCGUAUUCUCGUUUUACUCGUCGCUACGGAUGCGUGGGCGCAAACGACACGUGAUUUGGAGCUAUAACAAAAGAGUUAUUAACAUUUAAAGUUAAGGACAUUUUAGUAAAUUAAUUAAUUUCAGAUUUUGUUGAGGGGAAAAUCUGGAGUGCCAUGUGGGUGGCCCAGAUUAAAGGAAAUGAGGAAUGGAUGGUGGAGGUGUAAAGGAAAGAAGAUAAAAGAAAAAUGAGAGGAAAUGUGUGACUAAUAGGGAGAUGAGAGAGUUAGGAUGGCCCAAUUAGAAACAAACGAAAGGAGGAAAAAGGAGAGAAGAGGGGAGCAGGGGAUCCCUUCAACCCGGUUCCACUUUCCGACCCGACCCGAUCCUUUUCAUCUUUUCCGGUGGUUUUUCGUCAGUUUUUCCGGCGAACCACGUUAUCUAACCCCGUUGAAAAUGUUCCACGACCUUCCCUCUACCAUUACAACCCAAAAUUGUAGAAAUUUAGCCAUGAAAGUAUGAAAACCGCACCGGUGGGUGCGGGAAACCUUUGUCGUCGAUUCUCCCAUUAUUGAAACGAUUUUCACCAAUUAUCACCACCUACAGCAUCCUCUUGAGGUCUGGAAUAAAGCCCAAACAAGUUUUGGGGCGUUGGAGUUCGUUUAAGGUCGAAUUGAGCACACCCAAAUUCAAGGGUUCCGUACCGUUCAUGGUGAUUUGAGGUGUUUCUCGGCCAAAUUGGCCUUAGUCACAAGUAUGAAAGUUGCUCCACUCGUUGAGAUCUUCAUUUAUGUGAAAUUUGAGAAUUUUUUGAAAUAUUUGGAUUUUCCAGCGAGUCGGGGUGGCGGACCGCCACCGGCAGCAGCGCAUGGCCAGUGGUCCACCAAUGUCAUUUUACGUUAAAUUGAUAUCUUGAUUUUAGAUUUGAUGUCUAUAUGUUAUGACUUGAUUAUGUGAACCUAGUUUGAUUAAGGUGCGUUAAUUGGUAAAAAUAUGAAACGACGAUCCGACCGUGGGAUCGUCACCAAACUUUAAUAUGUUAUAGUACAUAAUAUUUGAGAAUCAUAGGGACUGACAGAUAGGAAAUCCGAGAUACAGAUCUUCCCGAAAUGGAAUUGUAAGUUUGAAGAAUAAACGUUAACCGCCACUUUGUUUUGACUAUUGGUGGAGAUCCAACCGUUGGAUCAUAAUGAAAUUUUAGGAUGAUGUUUUAGAAGCAUAAUGUGGAUCUUUGGAAGUUACUGAUCGGAAAUCCGAGGAGUGAAUCUUCCGAAUUGAAUUACGUAGGGUUGUGGACCUUACCGUCGAUCGUUGACCGAUGAUCGACUUUUGGUCAAUGGGGCUUAAAUCAAUCUAAAACGUUUUUAGGGAUGUGUUUUACGUAAAUUACAUGAUCUAUUGAUAAGAAUUAUGAGAUGUGGUUUGAUAAUUGUCCUAGGUGCCGAUCGUUAGGAACGCUUCGAUGGUUAUGCUAGGAAAUUGUAGCACAGACUCCUUGUGAGUGAAUCUUUUCCUUCUUAUCAUAUAUAUAUAUAUAUAUAUAUAUAUAUAUAUAUGAUUGACAAUUCCACAAACGUUUAUAAAUUGAUUAUUGCAUAUAACUACUGUGAAUACUUUGAAGUACUUAUGCGAACUACGAAUGGCUUGAUCCGUGUUUAGGGUACGUAGGCAGUCUAACAAGACGUUAGAUGUAGUCAUACAAUAAUUGAGAUUAAACAAUUGAGAUAAAGCCUUGUUUGGGGAACUGGGCAAGGUGAAGGAAUUUGGUAAAAAGGUGAGAUUUAACCUUAUGAAUUGGUGAUUAAAUGUUGGUCAUAAAUCAAUGUGUAAAGAAUCAAGAAUUUGAAGUAAGGAAACGUAAGUAAUGAUAAUUAAUUAAACUAGUGUCUAGUUGGGCUUGUCACCUAUAAUUAUCCCCGAAAAUGAAUAAUUCGGGAGUAGGGCGUUACAGCUUCUGCAUUUUUAUGCCACAUUAUAUAUAUAUAUAUAAUUGGAAAUGCUAUAACAUGGUUGAGUAUCAGAUUUCAUCAUGGUUUAUCUAUAUGUAUAUUACCUGCACACAAUUAUUAUGAACGCGUUGAAGUGCAAAGGUGAAUGCACGACACCCAGGUAAGUUCAGGUGAGUUUAUGGUAUUAGUUGAAAUGAUGGGGUUAUGGUAUGACUACAUGUAUGUUUAGGUUGCAAUGAUAGGCAACUCCAACACUGUCGUACAGGUUGCCCAUGAAUUGUACAUGUUACAAUAGAUACAGUUAGAGCUCAUAAACCUACACCCCGGUGUUAGUACUCCCGCUCGUGGCCAGGGCACAGUCCUUCACGUGAUGUUCACCUCCCGCACCUUACGCUCACCUUGGAUCCAAGGUAGGUGCACAAUCAUGUCGUACCACUAUAGGUGGUUCCGACUCGUAGAUGACCCGCGAUUAUUUGCACAGUCUUCACGUGAUUGUAGCACUUGAGCGUAUUUAUUUACACCCAGUUCUAUUGUACAGACCACUUUAGGUGGUUCCGACUCGUAUGCAGGUAUACUUAUUAAGCUAUGGAUAAGUCGUACAGGUCACUAGAAGUGACUCCGACUUAUGAGCUAGCAUAUGUGAUGAGCUAGCAUAUGUGAUGAGAUAAGUGAUGAGUUAGUAUAUGUAAUGAGAUAUGUGAUGAGCUAGCAUAUGUGAUGAGAUAUGUGAUGAGCUAGCAUAUGUGAUGAGAUAUGUGAUGAGCUAGCAUAUGUGAUGAGUUAGCAUAUGUGAUGAGCUAGCAUAUGUGAUGAGAUAUGGGUAAGUCGUACAUGUCACUAUAGGUGACUUCGACUUGCGUGCUAGUAUGGGUUAUUAAUCACAUGAUUAUUGAUAUUACUGAUGAGAUGCUGUGUUGUGGUAUAUUUAUGAUCUUUCUGGAAACUAUGCAAGUGUUGUAACGAGGGGUUAUAAUGAGGUGUUGUAACGAGGGGUUAUAAUGUUUUAUAUGGUUUCUGUUAAAAUUUUAUUUCUAGGGUCACUCACCCUUAUUUUGUUUUCACCCUCUAGGUUUUAUUAGCUGAGCUUUCUUAUCGUCGAAGAUUCGUGGCGAUUCUUAGUAUUGGAGAUUAUUUCGAGAGUACGAUUCUUAAUUCACUUUACUGUACUUGCUUAAGCUGUAACGUCACGUGUGAAGUGGGUUCAUUUCCGCUUACCAGCGCAUUCUGGUAUUUAGGCACUCUUAGGUUUAAAUUUAUUCACAUUUUUCCACAUCAUCAAACUUUAUGGCUUUGUCACUCUUUAGGUGUCGGCCAGCACAGCUCGAUUUGGAGUCCUAGUGGACAUUCCGGGUCGGGGUGUGUCACAAAUGAAGAGGAUGGUUGAACUUGUUAAGUUUCUUAAGUGUGUCUACUUGAAGUGUGUUGCUAAUAAAUAUUUUGUUGUAGGCAUAAUUUACUGAACAAUUAUGGAGGCAGAGAGAGAGAGAGGGAAUAUGCGGCAUAGAGAGAGAAGAGAGAGAUGUGUAAUUGUGAGGUGUGUUCUAUUCCACCCCAUUGUACCUUUAUUAUAUUAGUAGGGAAAGUUAAUUCCUUACCCUUUUAGGAUUACAACUCUAAUAGGAAAAUAUCUAGUCUAAGAGAUAUGAUAGAAUCUCAUAAGGAUAUCCUAGAUAUGUUAGGAUUUACACAAUCAUAUUCCUAUUCCAAUAAGACUGCAACACAUUUGUAUUUUUUUAGAAUUUUUUUGAUAAUUUGUUGGUAUUCUCAAUUUUUGUUAACAUUGAAAAUAUAACGGUUCAGAUGAAAAACCUUUGGAAAUCCAACAGCUUGCAAGACGUUGGGCUGUGCUGAAGGAAGCUGGGCUGUCACGUGGAUGGGGCCCUCCCUCUCCCUCUUGUUGAUUCAAAGGGCGCAGGCCCGUGCAACAAUUGGCGAGGCAGCCCAUAGAGAUCCUGCGAUUCACCCAUUCGCCAUUUUUUCCACCGCUGGAGCACCAAAAUUCGGUCAAAAGGCAGGGGUAUCAAUGGCAAGGGCAAUUUGGCUUCCGCUGGAGGUGCUCUUUGUCGACUUUGUUUUUUCUCUCAUUUUAGCUUUUGCAGUAAUAUUGAAGUAAUCACUCCAAUUUUAUCCAAACUUUUGUUGUCCGUCAAUUUUUAUCAAAACUAUUGGUUAAUUUACAUAUUCAGACUAACCUUCUCAUUAUUUUUAGUAUUUUUAUCAUAAAUAAUAUCUGAAAUAGUCACAUUUUAUUCAACAACCACUCAAUUAAAAAUUAAUUAGUGUUGUUUCUAAACCAUUACAUCAAGCUUUUGUAGAUACACAUCAAUAUUGCAGCGAUCCGAGGCAUUGUUUUAGUGACGGUAGUACUUUCUACUCCUUGGAUUUGGUGAAUCGGAAAAGAGAAGAGUUACGAGUAAAAGUCCCUCGCAUUGUUUUGGGGAGAUGAAGAUGAUGAUCUUUUGUUUUUGUUUUUUAAUGAUUAAUCCACGCAGCAACAUAUAAUUAAAUUGUUGGGAUCUACUCAAGUUCCAUAUCACACACUAACAUAAAAUUUGACAAACGAAACGAAAUAUGUGUGUAGACAUCGAAAUUUCGUAAAUAAAUGUUGACCGAUAAAUCAAAGUGUCAACGCUCAUGUAUUACAUAAAUUUUACACGUAGCGUGUGACUCAACGAAAAUUGAAAUGAGUUGGAAAAGUCAUCAAAUAGGACACGUGUCAACACCUGGCAGAAACGACUUAUUUCAUCUGGGAUAUUAUAUUCAAAAUUAGCCAUUGGAAAAUUCUAUAAAUACAAGCCCAUUUCAUUCAUUUAAGGAGAGGAAUUCAUAUUACACCUUGAAGCUCUGAAGCUCUGAAACUCCGAAGCUCUCAAGCAUCCAGGUUCCCGAAGAAUCAAGAAAGUGUUCUUCGUUCUUCGUUCAUCGUUCUUCCAAGAUCAAGCCUCGACGGCCCUUGGAUCAACAAUCAUCCACCUUCAAGAUCAAGCCCCGACGGCCCUUGAAGAAAGCGUUCUUCGUUCUUCGUUCAUCGUUCUUCCAAGAUCAAGCCCCGACGGCCCUCGGAUCAACAAUCAUCCACCUUCAAGAUCAAGCCCCAAAGGCCCUUGAAGAACUUCCACCAAUUCAAGAUCAAGCCCCGACGGCCCUUGAAGAAAGCACCAUCGUUCAUCAUCCGUUCAUCCAAGAUCAAGCCCCAACGGCCCUUUAGAUCAACAACGUCGACAAAUCCACACAUCCAACCGUUCUUCAAGAUCAAGCCCAAAAGCCCUUGAAGAUCCGUUCAUCACUGUUCUUCAAGAUCAAGCCCAAAAGCCCUUGGAGAUCCGUUCAUCACUAUUCUUCAAAGAUCAAGCCCAAAAGCCCCUUUGAAGAUCCGCUCAAAUCCACCUUCAAGAUCAAGUCCACGGCCCUUGAAGAACGUUCAUCCUUAGAUCAAGCCCAACGCCCCUUUGGAUCAAUCGCACAUCCACAAAUCAACACCUUACGGAGAUCGAAUCAGAGGAUCAAAAUAGAGAGAGAUUGUAACCCAAAAUCAUCAAAUACAAAUAUUUGUUUGUGCGCGUUGUUCUUGUCUCUUUCGUUUCAGGAAUUUUCCGUGUUCACAAUGUGCUCUUGAAAUCAAAAUGAGGGCACUGCUCCAAGAACAAGAAGGGCACCUUGUCGAGGUCGCCAUCCGCCGUGAGGGAAAACCGGAAGAAGUUGGACAACAAUGAUAACAUCAAUUUGCGGCACCCAUAUCGGGACAUCACACUGUGAAAUAAAUAUUGAAAUAAAUACUCAAAACUCCUGGAAAGUCCUCGAGACAACAAACUUUCAUCUCCUUCAAACAUUUCAUUUUACUAAGUUUUAUCUUUGAAGGGAGGGAAAAAAAGAGAAGAGAGAAUCCUACUCCUUAUUCCUGAAUAUAUUCAAGAAUAGCUAUUGAAUAAAGAGAGAAUGGAGGGUGAUCGAAAGAGGAGGGAAGAGAAUUCUAGUUCCAAACAUAAAAAGGACCACAACUUUUAAAUUAUCAGCACAAUCAUCACCUAAUUGAAGAGACCAUUCACUGUGAAACAUAUUGUCAAUCAGUCUAUCUAUAUCUAUUUAUAUACCAUAUUUUUAGAGUAAGAUUCUCUCACCUCCUAUUACCAUCCCCUUCCAUCCUUUCAUCUCAUACUCUUUUUUUGUUGUCUUAUUCUCUAUAUAAAAAAAUUCAAAACAAGAUGUAUACGUGACGUAAUCGUAACCGUUUAAAUAAGAGGGGAUAGAAGAGAAGAGAGAUUAGGAGAAGGGAGAAUCCUACUCCCACAUUUUUCUUCUUCAUAAACAAAAGAGAGGUUCUAGAUUACUUGACUCUAUGCCUCAUUUUUUUCAUCAAGUAUUUGUGAUAAGUGGGUUCAUUUUCAAGUAUUUUAGUUUUUUUGUCAAAAUUGAGAAAACUGAAAAUCAAACAUUAAUAUGAAAAAUUAAAAAAUCAACAUAUAAUUAUUUAGAAAUCGCAAUAGAAAAGAAAAAAAAUGGAGGUUUGUGAUGAAAAAUCUUUUAUACUAAGUAAUUUAGUAUCCUUAUGCAUGAAGAUAAAUCAAUUUGUUCGUUACGGUCAUACUCUUUUUUGAAUUUUUGAACACAUUCUCCAUAGGGCCUUCUUAUAUGUUCCUUCUCCAAGCUCGGGUUAUGGAAGAAGUAAAAGAAGGAAUCGAAAAGAAAGUAUUGGUAACAACCGAUUUCAUUACGAGACAACUCUUGAUAUUCAUAUCAAUCUAUUAUGUACCUUUGCAUCUAGCAUUAGACAAUAAUUGUCAUAGCUUUACCAUAUUUUUUUGUUUCAUUUCUUCUGAAACAAUCUCACACACUUUUUUAUUAUGUGUCUACUACUAGGAAUUCAAUACGUAAUCUUAGCAUUCAAUAGUUAUUCCUAAAUAAUUUCAAUUUUCAAAUGAUCAACCAUUUCAUUUUACCAAGUUCAAUCAAUGUUAGUCAGAUUAGUCAACAUUUAUAUAUUUUGAUGCAACAACAAGAUGUUAUUUGUAACAAGUGAUUUUGUUAGUUGGUUAAUUGGUCACAAGUUAAUGUUCGGUUCAGUUUAGUUUUUCUCUCGAUUUUUUGUGAUUCGGUUUUUUCAAUUCUCUUUAGGGUCGGUUCGGUUUUGUUUUUUUAUUUAUACUUGAAUUUUAUUUUAAUUUAUUUUAAUUUAUUUUAUUUUAAAUCUGGAAACACCAAGAACAACACAAGCACAUAGUCAAUCAAACAACUAUCCUUCUCCACAAAUCAUAGUAAUAAUUACAUUCAUUGAGCUGAAAUGCAAAUAACUAACAAACUCACAAAAAUCAAAUAAAAACUACAAAUUGCUUACUCUUUUUCUUUGGGUUUCACUCGAAAAGUGUCGGUAAAAUUUAGGGUUUGCAAGAACGCAACUGAAAUCUAAAACGGAGGCCUUGUGGCCUAUGGGUUGCUAUUGAGUUCCAGUACAGAGAACCUUGCUUAAUCUCGAUCACGGUACAAAGUAUCGAGUACCUUUAGCACUGUAUUUUGGUAUGAUUGGUAGAACCAAAUUAAAAGCUAACAUCAACAACAACUACCAGAGACAAAAGCUCUUAUCAAUGCUUUGGAAACAUUUAUGUAUCUCCAAGUGUAAUGAUAUAAUUGGUUGGAAACUUGUGAUUUCGUAUCAAAUCAAUAAAAAGUUACAAUAUUGACAAUAUAUUAGCAAUUUUUAUGUUAAUUAUGAACAAGUCAAUCAUGUAGAACCAAAUUAAAAGCUAACAUCAACAACAACUACCAUAGACAAAAGCUCUAAUCAAUGCUUAGGAAACACAGUCCUGUAUCUCUAGGUGUAUUGAUAUAAUUGGUUGGAAAUUUAAAAGAAAAAUGGUGAUUUUGUAUAAAAUUGAUAAAAAGUUACAAUAUUGACAAUAUAUUUGACACACCCCGACCAAGAUCAAGGCAUGCUGGCCGUCACAUGAGAGUGACGUAACCAUGUGCACAGUGCGGAAGCAAUAAUGAUAAGAAAUAUAUGAAUAAUUAAAAACCGAAUCUACUAGAGUGCACUACUAAACAGGAAGUAUUAGGAGUAAGAUACAAAAGUAAAUACUCCUAAUCAGAGCAUAGAAAGUCUAGGUGCAAUCCAGUAGGACAAGUACUAAUUAUACAGUAUAAAAUGUCUUACAAUUAUUUAGAUAGGUCAGAACCGCCGAAGUCCUCACACCCAACAACUGCAAACUUACUUAAAACCUGAAGGGGCGCAAAAUAGAAAACGUGAGUGGGAAAAAACAAAUGUUUUACAAAACCAUUUCAUUUAUCAAUAUAUCUAACCCCUCGCUGUAAACAUGUAUAAUUUUUCCCAGAAUCAAGAUAUAAGCAUAUACAUAAAUAUAUAUAUAAAUAUAUCAAUUCAAAUCAUGCUUCACAUAAUCAUAUUCAUAUGUAUGUCAUGCCAAGAUAUAACAGAGUAAGCAACUCAGGUAAGAGUAAUUUCAUAGAAAUAUAACAUGUUAGCCGGAACCCCUGUAGUAGUCUGUACGGCUGAAUUCAUAGCUCAAAAGUCAAUCUAGCCGAAGUCACUACAAUGACCUAUACGGCAAUAUACUGCACAAGAGUCGGAACCAAAUGAAAAGAUCUGUACGACAAUAAUGGGUGUUGUUGAUGCACAAAAUCAGUGAGGACUUUGGUACAACAGAAAGUGUUAAGUUUGUGACAUUCUCUAGAUUACUCCGAUCACUAGUGUGGAUAAGUAUGUAAAUGGAUAAAGACAGGGAAGCAAACACAAGAUGUACGUGGUUCACCCAGAUUGGCUACGUCCAUGGAGUAAAUGAGUUCUUAUUAAUUGUGAAGGGUUUACACAAGUAUAUAGGUUCAAGCUCUCCUUUAGUGAGUACUAGUGAAUGAUUUAGUACAAAUGACAUUAGGAAAUAUUGUGAGAGAAUGAUCUCUAUUUAUAGAAGAGAGUUUCUAGUUUCAUUCUGACAUUGACACGUGUCAUGUUGUGAUUGGCUUCUGAUGUUGACAUGUGUUGCACUAUGAUUGGCUUUAGAUGUCAACAUGUGUCGCGUUGUGAUUGGCCUCCUGGUUUGAGGGAAACUCUUCUGGCUCCUUGACGGUAUAACGUUGAUCGAUGCUCAGUAGUUUCGGGAUUGGUCAAGUAUGGUACAAACAGGUGUAAUAUAAUCAUACUCAAUACUACUCUCACAUAAUAGCUGGGUGAUAAAUCGCUAGUCACCUAUGAGUCAGAACGAUAAUAAAGGUCUGUACGAAGACUGUGCACCUAAAUUGGAUCCAAUAUGACCAUAUGGUGCGGGAUGUGACAUUAUAUACAGGCUUGUGCCAUCACUGGCGGAGCUACACCCACGGCUACAGUAGGCUGUAGCCUAGGGAGGAUUUUAACAAACUGCUGGUAUAAUAGUUUAUAUAUGAGUUUGUUGUUGCUUAUUGUAUGUAUAAUAGCCCACAUAAAUCCUGCCAAAAUUAUUAGUUAAUGUGUUUCUUAAUUUAUAAAUAAUACUUUUAUUACCUUUUAUUAUUUUAUUAUUUUUAGGCUAAAAGUAAAAAUGGUAAAUUAAUACAUAAUUAGGUUUCUCCUAUUCCCCAUGCUUUUUACCUAUUCGUUCAAAACAAAAAAAUUAAACCCUCUACCCUAAGAAAAGAAAAACUAUGAAUCACCAUCAAAUUAUUUUCUAAUGAAAUUCAACACUAGAUAUGCUCUUCAUGUCUUCAUUUAACCUAUUUCUUGAUUCAAUUGUUCAUUCCAUAUAUCUACAGCACGACUUGAAUUGGUAUCCCCUAACCUUUUUUCUUUUGGGUACUUGUUAUCAACAAAAGUGAUAAUAUUUGUUCUCUUUCUAUUGCUUUUUUGUAUGCAUGUUUUAUUUGUGUAAAAAUUAGUUGGAAAGUAAUUAAUAAACUUGUUUGGAUUAUUAGUACUUCAUGUUCCUACUUUUAUGUAGAUUACUAUAUAAUUUUAUGUAGGCAAAAAAAAAAUUCAUAAGAUUAUAUGCUAAUGAUUUUAGUUAGCCCACCCAAGAAAAAUUUUCUGGCUCCGCUAUUAUGUGCCAUAACUCUGGCAAAAUCACAAUCACCCUAAGUGCAGUUUUAUGAGUUCAACGUUAUUCUAUCACAUAUCACAUCAUCGAUAAUUCACAUAACCAAACAUAACUCACAUGAGCUUACCUGAGCGUCCACAGUACCAUAAUUAUAUAUAAUGCAUCAUAUACGAAAUAUAAAUUCAUAUGCAUGGCAUUUAAGGUAUACUUUCAUUUAAACACAUAUUUCUGGGAAAAUAUCAAGUAUAUAAAUAUAUACUGAAAACCAAAAGCCCACUCAUUGGUAUGUCGAAGGGUCGUAGCCCCCGAGUCGCCUUUGAAUACUCUCGUCCUCGUGAUAAGUCUCACCUAUAUGCGAAUUAACUAUAAAAACGUUAUUUUAGAGCACAUACAAAAAAUUAGCUAAUAACUCUCAUACAAUGCUCAAUUUUUGUAUUUGAAUAUAUCACAGUGACCUACACAACCUCAAGAUCAUCCCUAAAUUUUUACAAUAUUUUUCUGACCCCUCACGCGCUGCCACGCACCGGCAAGGGCAACGCCUUACUCGCCCCCACGCGCGGCCACGUGACAAGCAUACUGAUGGCGUCAAUCAACAUCAUCAGGAAUAUUCUAGGGAAUAUUCUGUUAAAACCCAAUGGUAACUGUUAAAGAUGACUGACGGCAUGAGCAUAUUCUGUCAACCUUGACGGAAUAUACUCCUUUCUUCUCCGAUGAGUCGUCGGUCGCCGGCGACUUCGCCGAUUUCUUGGUAAAACUUUAAAUCGCUUAUUCUUCUUCGUUUCUUCGCCAUUUUUCAUGAAAUUGGUACCAAAAUGAAGCUAAUAACAUGUAGAAUCACUUUGUAUAAGUUUCAAGGCUUAAAAUCUACUAGUUUUUCCCUGAGAAAGCUCGAUAGUUCGGCUUACCUAGAUAUGCGUCGAUCUCAGCCCUCCGACGUCCAAUUCCUUCCAACGAAGUACCCCAAGACUCGUGAGGACCUCCUUAAGCUUCCUAUAAGCUUCAAAUUCCCUGAAACACAAGAUUUUACGUAUGCAUGAACAAUGCACAAAGUCGGAGCUAGGGUUUCCACGUGAAAUCGAAGGUUUCCUUACCUGAAAAUGGUUCCUUUGAAUUCGUAUGGUUCUCACGAACACAAUGGUGAUCUUAAAACCUUCGAUCUACAAGGUUUAAGAGGGUUUCUGGGUUGGUCCGUACGAAGAAGGGAGAGAGAGAAUGAGAAUCUGCGAGAGAGAGGGCACGGGAAGGAAAGAGAAAUAAGAUAGGUGUGUGUAUGGUCCAAAAGCCACCAAUCAAAACUAAGAAAAGUCUUAGUUGUAAUUGGGUCACCAAUCUAAAACAAUUUAACCCAAUAAUAACUUACACACAUCAUUUAACAUCCGAGGGUAAUUCCGUCAUUCUACGUCAUCGAGAAUAAUCUUCCGGGACGGGCUGUGACAAUAUCAGCAAUAUUUAUGUUAAUUAUGAAUAGGUCAAUCAUGUAUUUAAUACUUAAAUGUAUUUAAAAUAAACACCUUAUCAAUGUUUUCUGAACUGUGCUCGAUUUUUCUCCUUCGCUUUGGUUCUGUCCCAUUGGAUUUUUCAAGCAAGAUUUUAUCAAGGCAACUAUCAUUAACUGUGAACAUAAUUUAUCAUUGAGACACGAACAUCCAAGGGGGAGUGUCGUGGAAAAAAAUGUAGAUAUCUUUAUACGUUGUAUGGUAGUAAACCAUCAUAAACACCAUAAAUAUGUAGAAACGCCCUUGCGGUACCUUUGAAUGAUAACUCAUGUAUUUGUUGCCCUAUGUAAAGAUGGCUAAUGAUAAUGGAAGACUAAUUUUCUCAUCCCAAUCUCUCCUGUCUCUCUUAUUCUCUUUUCUCUAUAUUUUAUUUCCAACAAGUUGUGUUUUUUUUUUAGUAUUGUUAAGCAACCCAAUAGAUUUUAAUCGUAGUCUUUGUUUUUUUUCUUUUAUAUUUUUAAUCAAUUUCAGUUGCUUAUCAGUUCUAGCUAAUUGAGCUCUUUUACAGCAAUUUUUUUCUUUAAAUAAAAUUAUUAUUAUUAAAAAGAGUGAGAAAAUUCGAAAUUGUUACAAUAAUUUAAAAAAAAUAGGAGUUUCAAAUCAUGAAGGUAGAGGGAGUUAACAACAUUUUAGGGGGGGGUGUAGUCAAACUAGGAUUUUGAAGGAUUUUAAAAGUGAUAGAUUUGAUAGGAUUUAAGAUGAUUAAAGACUCUUACAAAAUUCAUAUGGAUUUUAAAGAAUAUGAAUGGAUUGCGGUGGAUUGUGGGGGAAGGAUUUGAAAUCCUAGGGGGUGAGGUUUGAUUCUUUUUAGUUUUGGUUAUAUAUGGUAUGCUUUCAAAUCCCAGAAAAUCCACAACUUUUUAAAAUCCUUUAAAAUCUUAAUUUUUUUAAUACACUUAGAUUUGGAUGGAUUCUAAAAUCCUUUAAAAUCUUUUAAUUGACUACACCUAGAUUUGAAUGGAUUCUAAAAUCUUUUAAUUGACUACACCUAGAUUUUAAUGGAUUCUAAAAUCCUUUAAAAUCUUUUAAUUGACUACACUAUGAUUUUAAAGUCUUUAAAAUCCUCUCAAAUCCAAGUUUGACUACACCCCCUAAAGAUUUUAAGGAAAACUAAUGAAAAUGGCUUGAAAACUUUGAGUUUUAACUAGGGGUGGGCAAACGGGUACAGGAACCGCGGGUAGGGGUGGGUAAUUCAAGUUCGGGGCAGGUAUGGGACAUGUCCAAUAUUUCUAAACACAAAACGGGGCGAGGCUGUUCGGGUAUAUGAAAUUAUCGGGGCGGGGCGGGUCUUAAAAUAGAAGGGAACGGGCCCCCAGCCUGACCCGUUUCUUUUCCUCAUCCCUAGUCUUCUCUAUCUCUCUUCCCCGACACUUUUCAUUUCACUCAAACCCGGCCCAUUUCUUUUCCUCAUCAGUCAUCCCUAGUCUUUUCAAUCUCUCUUCCCUAACUCCUUUCAUUUCACUCGUACCUCGAGACCUCCUCUUAACUCGCUCCCAGCCUCCCACCGUCCUAGCUCCGUACCUCGCCAUCAUCAUCGUCAGACCUCCAUCUCUCCUGAUUUACUCAUGUCUUCCUCGCUGCGUCCGCCGCCAUGUCUCUCUUUCUGUGACGAACUUAAAGGGACGGACGAAGUUGAACAACUCGAAACGACGCCUCUUCUGUCUGAAUUAGACCCAUAUUUGCAGCGCACGACUCUGCUCAUAGUCCUCUUCGGUUUUAAGGUAUUACGUUUUAGAGAUUUAGGAUUGAAAAUUAAAUUAGGGUUUUCUAGAUUUAGGGAUUUUGUUGGGUUCUUGAACCUUGACCUCUGUUAUGUUCCAAUUUCAAAUAUAUAUUGAAUUGAAUUUGAAUCGACUGUGUUUGAAACUUCUGUUGAAUUAAAUUGAAUUUGAGCAGGAGAAGAGGCAGAUGUGGGUUGGGCAAUGUCGAAUCUCAUUGUGGGUGGUGAGGUGGGCAUGGCGGGCGACAAUAUUGACUGGCAAUGGUACGGGCGGUGCUAUUAAGUUGCAGAAGAAUACGAAGGAGGGGGUGUGGGCAUGGGUGGAUAUCGCAAGCUCAAUUGAAUUUUUUCUGGUUUUGUUUGUGAUUAAUUGCUUGUAUAUGAUAGUUAUUGAUGGAUCUUGACAUGCCCAUUUAAUUGUUAUUGGCAAUGCUAGUUUGAUUGUAACAAAUUCAAACCGAUUGAAUUGUAUCCCAGAAAAAAAAAUCAAUAAAGGAACUGAGGACCCGGCCCGAACCAGCCCAUUUCAACCGGGCCAGGUUAGGUUCGGUUCUUAUAUUAGAAAAUGUUGUUCCCGGCCCGUUUCUCUUAAGCCCGGAUCCAGUCCGAUCACUUCGAAAUUGGCCCCAACCCGGCCCGGGCCCACCUCUAGUUUUAACGAUAAGGACAAAAUAAAGGGUAAAGUGAAUAGUACCAAGUUUGACUUUUUAGUGUAAAAAUGUAAUUUUUCGUUAAAAUAAGAUUUUAAUGGAUUCUAAAAUCCUUAAUUAAGAAAUUAGGCUUCAACCCAACUCAUCUUUGCAACGCCGGUUCCACUUCACAUCAACAGGCAAUGUUUUCUCCUCAACAAAUAGUAUUCUUUUAUGAGACAAAGACUAAUGAGGGUGAUAUAUAUAAUUAAUAAUAAUACUUGUGUUCCCUUUGUGAGUGAAUGCACUUAUUUUACCAUUCUCUAAUAAUGUAUCUUUAUUAUAUAAAUUUAUAUCAUGUGGAUAUCUUCCUAUAAAAAAGUUAUUCAAAUUGGAAAUCCUUACGUCAUCAAAAUAUAUAAAAAAAUGGACGAUCUCAUCGUAAAUAUGUUAGUUACUCACACUAUAACUUUGUAUAUUCCCUCACGUAGGAAACGCAAUAAUUAUCCUCUAAUUAAUUCUUCUUGAGAGUAGAAUUUUUAUUGUUGGUUUUUCGCAACCUUCAGACCUAAAGCUGAUAUGGACCUCUCAUUGUUUUUUGGGUUGCCGUUCUUAUUUUGCUUGGUCCUUUUACCUUUUCUAUAGUUGUUUAUCUAGUUCUUUUGAGCCUCGUACUAAUUUUUAAUGUAAUGAAAAUUAUCUUCGUGAUAAAAAAAAAAAUCAUUAGUCCUCGUAUGAACAUGCGAUGUAACACACUUUCAUGGAACAACAGAUGAUAAAGACGAUAUCCAAAUUUUCUCUGUGUUAUGUGGACUUUCCCAACCAAAUAAAUAAUAACCAAUAAACAAAUAAAUAAGAGUUUAACUUCAAACAUUGAGAAGCGAAAUUCCAACACUACGAGCCUAACUUUUGUCUUCAUCAUCAUCAUAGACUAGUCUCCUAUCCAUCAACUCCUACAUCAAUUUUUUUUUUUACUAGAUUGUAGCUCACUUUCAAAAGAGUUACGUAAAGUAUUUAAGCACCAUAAAAGAAAAUUAAACGACAACGAUUGACAUAAUAUUAGUAGUAUCAUGGUCUAAAAUAUUCAUAAUAUCUUGAUAUUUUUAUUGAAAUUUUCGUGUUUUUAGACUACCUAUAUUUUCAAUAUCAUCGAUAUUUUAAACCUUGCUAAGUCACUCAUGUAUCUUACCAUGCAAUGUAUAAAGUGUAAAAUAUUGUACUAAUUCAUUAUAUAUAAAUGAUUAUAGUGUGUUUAAACUUCUUUCAUUAAUUACUACAUAUUUUCUACACUCACAAUGUUUGCCAGCUCGCUAUAUAAUCAACUUAAAUCAAUUAUAUCUAUCAUGUAAUGCAUUUCCUUCCAAUUUUUUGUGAUAAACUAAUAGAUAAUUGACUAAAUAAACAUCCUGCAAAGUUUCAAUAAAAAUUUCCAAGUUUUUCUUACAAUUUCCGUAGUUUUUAUUCAAUUUUUAUCGAUAUCGAUAAUAUCCCGAUAUUUCCAUCGAAAUUUCCGUAUUUUUAGACUACUGAUAUUUCCGAUAUCAUCGAUAUUUUAUACCUUGGUAGUUAUACAUUUUAUCGGCCUCAUUUUUAUGCAACUUAUACAUUAAAUUAUUGUCAAAAUGUACAUAUAAAGUAGCUGAUCAACGAUGAGAUUUUAGGCAACCAUUUUCUUCUACGACGUCAAAGGUUGUAGAGGUGGCCAUGUGCACUACAUGCGUAAAUCAACUAGGGACUUGGAUCCUCUCUUAAGCCCAAGGAGAGGAUCCUCCUAACCAAAUGACUUGGAUUGUUGGAUGAAAAUCUAACGAUUACAAACAGAUGAUCUCUUUAAAGUUAUAAUAUUUAUUACCGUUGAAUUUUCAUCAAACGGUCAAAUAUCAUUGGUCAAAAGGGUCCUCUCAUUGGGCUCAGAGAGGACCCAAGUGCAUCAACCAGAACUAUUGCUAUUAUAACAAUUCAUGAAAUCAAUUAAACAAUAAUUUUCCUUCUGGCAGGCAUGUUAGUUAUUUCUUAUUUGGCCAAUUGCCUAGUGGAUUUGGUAGAUUUAACCUCUCCACCACAAACACAUUUAAAAAUUUCCAGAAAUCCGUAACGUAAAAUUUAAAAAUAAAUAUUAAUAACAGCAAGUUCUUUUCACCGACCGUGACCGAGAUCUGUCACAUAUCCAAAAUGUCACCUCCUUAUCGCAAAAACCAAAUUUGACUUGGGAUAAAUACCGUGUACAAAUUAAACGCGUUUCUCUAGCUUUUGCGUAAAGAGGCAACCCAACACUAAACUAGGAAAACGUUGGGUUGACAAAGAUACCAUGAAGAAUAAAGGGGUUAUGCAAUCCACUUUGCAAGAUAAUCAAAGUUUCCCGUUGUAGACUUGUCUUAACCCAACACUAAACUAAGAAAACGUUGCUUUCCCGUUGUAACAUGAAACAACAUUAAACAACAUUAAACAAUAUUAAAUAACAUUAAAUAACAUAAAAAUUAUACAACAUAAAAAAAACCAUUUAACAACAUAAAACUUAAAAUGCGUACUUCUUGCUUCUUGUGGCCUAAAGAUGUGCAACAAGAUCUUGAUGUAGGUACUUGUUUGUGGCACGAAAACGUAUCAUCCUAGCCGUUGGAUUUGAAUUUUUUUUGUUUUCGGCCAAAAAAUUUUAAAUUUAAAAGUUGAAGAUGGUGAGAAAUAUGAUCCUACACUGUUCAUUAAAAUAUUAAUUUCUUGAAUGACCAAAAGGCUAAAACAAGCCAUCCUUCGGUUGGAGAUGCCUAAGGAGAGACUAGAGAUAGAGAGUUUCCUAUAUAUGAUUUUCAUUAACAAGAUUGAAAUGAUUUCAGAGAGAAGAUCAAGUAUGGUUAUUUUUAUUUUGUAGAGUGUAGACAUUAUAACUAUACAUUCAUAAUAACAUGAGUAAUGUUAUAUUUAUCACAUUUGUACUCUUUCUCUGAUAAAGGUAGGGUUCAUCAACACAUGUGGGUUCUAUUUGCCCAUCAACACAUGCGGAUCUCAUUUUUAUUAGAAAAAUAGUACAAAUAUGGUACGGAAAAUAUGAUAAGAUCGCAAUUUUGUAAUAACAUAUAUACUCAACUAUUUAUAUACCGACCCAUCUCCUUUUAGUGUAGAUAAUAUCGUUUGUUAAAAAAAAUGUUGAACUUGUCAUAAUCAUUGAAUCCAUUUACCAUGAACAAACGGCAGUUUACUAAACUUGCCCUCAGAGUAUAUAUAAAAGGUGAAUCACAAUCUAUUGCAUUAAUAUAAGGAAACAAUUUAUAGGGUUUGACGGGUGACUUAAUAUGCUAUAUGGCACAAUGAAAAUUAAGUUCACACUUUAUCCCAAAUAAGGUGUUGCACCUUUAAUUUAUGGAUGCUGGUUUGACGUGUGACCGAAAUAAUCAAAUUGUAGCCAUUAAUCAUUUUACAAGUAAUAAUAUGUAGUUUUUACUGUUUACGAUUCACACAACAAUCUGCUAGGAAGUAGAAAAUGCAGUACUUGUCCCUCUCACAGAAGUCAUGAAUAAUUAUCAAAUUCAAAGAUAAAGAAAAACCACACAAUUUACAAGAGGAAAGAAAAUGAAGGGAUAAAGAAAGUAAGAAAGGAAUACCUCUAUGGGAGGACUCUUAUUUGCUUCAGAUGCCUACAAUAUUCAUCAUAUAAACACUGAUUAAGUAGUCAUCGAAAACCAAAACAAAUGUCGAACAUAGGGUGAAAAACAGAAAGAAUAACCGCAGCUCAUCAUACCAAUAGAGAUAGAACUGCCCGAUGCCCAAGUAUGACUGAAAAAUGGCAAUCCAAACAUGGCGCCUUCUAGCUCAUCAAACUGUCAAAACCUAGGUUCCACCAAAAAGAUACAAGUCACCUAGUUACUUGUAAAAUAAAAAUCUGUUUCAAAAUAGUGGAAAAUAUUAUUAACAUUGUUCAAAGUCCACAUUGUUGUACCUACCAAGAAACAAGAAGGAUUGUAUCUUAUCAUGAAAAAGAACAUAGGUACCUUUUCAAUUGUAAUUGUACAAAAAUGAGAGACCACUUCCGAACUUCUCUUGGAACUUCAAUCAAUUUCUGCCCACUUUUAAAUGCCUUGACAUACUUAAGCCUAUUUCUUUGAGCUUCAGUUUUGGCUUCUGAUGCCUUUAAAUUUCUUAAAGAUUCUUACCAAGUUUUACAAACUCACUUCUAUACAACCAUUUGUCAGUAUACAUACCAUUUUCUUUGAGCUUCAGUCUUUGCAACACCAAAACCCCCCAAAUAGACCCGGAAUUUUGCAAUGUGCAGGGAAUAUACAAAAAAAACCCUCCUAUCCAUCUAAAACGAAAUCAGAACCCAAACCACAAUCAAAAUCCGUAAAAUUAAUUUAGCCAACCCUAAAUCUAAUAAUUCUAACAAAUAUUAUAGUAUCAAUUGAGAGAGAAUUUGAGAAGAUACCUAGAGAUGAAAGGAAGAGCGUUUCCUCUGAUAGGGGUUCCGUGAAAGCAUCUGUUGACCAGAAAAGAAAAGGCAAAAAACCCCAAAUUACAUAUCAAGCAAUUAUAGAUAGAUCGAACCUUGAAAAUUGAAAUUUCAAACAAGAGAAAGGUUAUAAACUUACAACGAUCUGGGUGUUGGUUACUGGGUUUGGAUUUGGGUUUCUGAUAAGAGAGAGAAUCGUAUGAGGAACCGAUAGAGGAACUGCACCGGCAACAGAGAGCAACUGAUAUGGUGGAGAAUAGAGAUGGGCAAAAUAUCCCGGUUAUCCGCCCAUUUAAAGUUCACAGUUACGGUUAUGGUAAUUGAACGGUUAUGGGUACUACCCGUGGUUAUAACGGGUAUCUAUUGGUUAUGGGUAUUAUCCGCGGUUAUAACAGGUAUUCAUUUACCCAUUUAAUUUCAUAUAUGUAAAAUUUAUAAUAUUUUUAACAGUUAUAACGCGUUUUUGUAUUUGUUGCCAAACUUUUCGUAUACAAAAAAUUUGAAGCACAAGAAGCCAACAAGGAGAAAGAUCAAAGAGCUUACUUGAAGCUUAUGAUCUAUCCUGCGGUUAAUAGAAAGUACUGGUAUUAGUGUAGAAAAAUGUUUGUUUUUAGAAGCUUUAUUUUGUAAUCAUAUGAAUUAUAAUUAAAGACUUGCUUGGGUGUAGUAAAAAAAUAUCGUUUGUAAACUAUUAUUUCAAUUAUUAGAAUUGUAUGAUGACCUAAAUGAUUAAAAUAGAGAAAUGCAUGCUAAAAUGUAUUUAUAACAGUGUUUAAUUGUCAGAUUUUUUUUUUUUUUGUAAUUUUCAAGUUGUUAAAAAAAACAUGCAGAGAGGUGAAAAAAGGGAUUAAAAAAUGAUAAACGGGUUCAAAACGGGUAAACGGGUAAAUGAUUAUGGUUAAAUAGGUAAACGGUUAUGGGUAAAUGGGUACACGGUUAUGGGUAUGAGUAUAACCGUUUAUGCAAUUACCCAACGGGUAAACGGCUAUGUGGGUAUGAACAUAAAUGGUUAUGAGUAAAUAACCGCGGUUACCCGCCCGCUAUAACCAUUGCACAUCCCUAAUAGAGAACAUACGAGAAUAGCCGCUUGGAUGGUCAAUCCAAGAAGAGAAAAUCUUGCCACAAUCACGGUACUUGAAAAAAAAAACAAUUUUAAAGGAGGGAAACAAUCGCGCCUUUUUUUUAAUAGACUCUGUCGACGAUAUUCUUGACAAAUAGUCGGGUGAGCUUAUUUUUCACAACAUUUUAUUUAGGACUAGGUUCGGUUGGCAAAUCGUGUCAAAUUUCUUGUGCCAUUUGCCAGCCACAUAUACAUAAUUACCAAAAAUCAGUUACCGUUCGCCAACCAUCUUCUUGCGGUUGCCAAAAAUCGGUUCAACCAAAAUGAUUGGCUGGUUCGGUUGGUAAAUGGCACAACCGGUGGUUUCCACUUCUUCCUCGCUAUCUUCUAGUUGCAAGGGCUCAAUUUGAUUUUCAGAUUGGGAUGCUUGUUCGGUUGCAUUGUGUGGUUCAUUUUGGGUUAAUCCAUGUUGUGCACUAGCAAUUAAUUGGCUAGACUCCAUCAUCCUAAACAUAAGCAACACAUAUACAUUCAAAAUCAUAUAUAUGUACGUGUAUAUAUAGUAUCAGUAAUCAUCAUGUUAUCAAUUUUGUUAACAAUAUUUUCUAUAUUGAUUAUGGCAUGAAUCAUAUACAUAUACAUAUAUUUUUUAAACCCUAAAACUAAGGAGUUAUUUAUUUUCUAAGCCCUAAAAUUGAGGAGUCAAGCAUGUAAAAAAAUACUUAAAAUAUCUAAAUAGAAAAAGAAAAAAAAAAAAAAAAAUAUAUAUAUAUAUAUAUAUAUAUAUCGGUAGGUAUGGCAUACCGCCGACAUACAAAAUCAAUUACCAAAGCCAUGCCAUUAAUUGUCGGUUCGGUAAAAUGCCAACCGAUUAUGAAAAAAUGCCAAAACUAUACCAUACCAUUUUGAGCCAACCGGUAUGGUUCGGUCGGUAAAUCGGCUUAUGGCAAAAUUUCUCACCCCUAAUUUUAUUUGUCGCCUUAAACCUAUUGGUUUCUAGCCUACAAUUUGGAUAUUUUGUUGGGGAAAGAUUUUUGUACCAAUAAAAUUUUGCUUUGUCAGCUUAGGAUUUGUCGGCAAAAUGACAUUUUCUAGUCGUUAUAAUAUUAGGUAGAUCAAAUUUGUAAACUAUGUGAUGUGUCACCAAUAGGAAAAAAAUUCAGUGUGCUGAAAAUACAGUCUAGAACACCAAGUGUCAUAAUAUAUACUUGGUUGGAAAUUUUUUAUUUUCAAGUUUCCAACUAAUUGUAUUGUAACAGUUGGUGUUCCAAGCUAUUUUCUCGAUGCGUUGGAAAAUCUCUUCACCAAUUAAAAAUAAACAUAUUAAUUAACACUUAAGUAAUAAUCAAAGUAUCAACAACUACGUCAUAAAAUUUACGAAAUAUGAUCUUAAUUAAUGAUCUCCAUGGCAUUACCCUUUAUCUUAGCGUAUACGUACGCCUUCACAUGUUUAUUUGCUGAUAUGCAGCUUGAGUAAAAAUUUCUUUUUAAGAACAUAUAUGUGAAUAUAAACAUAUAUAUCUAGUGAUCCAUGUUGCGUUAUUUAAAAAUAAACAAAUUAAUUAAUUAAUAAAUGAACUGUGUGCAUGUCUGUGUAGAGUAAUCCAUAUGCAUGCUUGAAUCCUGAUCACCACGAAACCAUAAUAUAAGCUACUCAAGGCCCGGAAGCUAGGAUUGAAGAGAAAAACACCCAGUCAGAUUAAGCCAAUAUAUCAAAGUUAAUACUUCGAAAUGUAAGCUUUAAGAUAGAAAAAUCACUUACUACCUUGAGCAGUCGAGCUUCUUCAAUGGCAUGAAGCUUUUAGCAUGAGAUUGACUGCAUCACAACUAAAAUUUUCUCUUGGAAACUACAUAAGGAAUAGCAUGUAUACCUAUAACGUUGAGAAAGUACGCCAAUUUUUUCCUUCUGCACAUUCAUGUUUAAAAGUAAUCCUCAAAUGAACUUGCCCACAAUGAAAUGCAAUUUGAGGUAGUCGAGUGUGUUCCAUUUCCAUUCCAUGGGAAUUACUACUAAACUUUGAGAUGGUAAAGGAUUCAUGAAAUUUUUUACUUUUGAGAUAGCCUCUUUAACAUUUCUCGACUAUAACAAUGAGGGAAUACUUCACCUUGUAUCAAACAAGGGAGAGCGAAAAUCAACUACUAAUAGCAUCACAGAGCCAGCAGAAGAUUGAGGAGGCCAUGAAGAGGAGAGAGAAAAUACACUCUUUUUUUUUGUAAGGACAGAGAUAAUACAUUCAGUAAGGGGUACUGAUGUUUAUAUGCAAUGCUGAUUAGGUUUAAAUAGUCCUAUUUAUUCUGUACAGUGCCAAUAUUACCACCCGUUAGUACACUUUCAAGACACUGUACUCCAGUGUGUGCGCUAUGCAGUACGUAGUACUCCUCAUUUUUUGGGGAAAUUCAUUAUUGGUCUUCAUAUCUUCUUUAUUUUCCUUUUCCUCAUUGUGCCACGUGUUUAAAUCACUAAUUGUAGGUAAUCUUUCAAUUUAAUUAAAUCUUAUGUAAAAAAAGAUAUUUAAAUAUCAUUUAGUAUUACAAGAUAGUGAUAUUCCUCUUUAGUAUAAAAUUUUUAUAAUUAAAAGCGUUCAGUUUUUUAAUCUUCAUUUGAAUACUAUCUAUAAAGAAAAAUUAUUCGAAUAAGAGAUCGUUUAUGCAUUCAAAUGUACAAAAUGCAUCGACAGUGUGAGAACGAAUUAAUAUAUUUUUGAUGAAGUACAAUUAUUGAAUACAUUUGAAUGAUCAAAUGAUAUAUGAUUCAAAAUACAUAUUAAGAUAAUAAAUAUAAGUGAAUUGUUAUUAGCACUCCAAGAAUCUUAUUAUACACUCUAAAUUUUCUAUAUUUUGAAUGAAAAAUAAAUUUAUGAAGAGUGUAGAAUGAGAUUUUUUAAUGCUAAUAACACUUCUCUAAAUAUAAUUAUGAAAUUAAUAAAGUAAAGAUACAUGACCUCGUGAAUGAUGUAUGUAUUAUUCAAAAAAUUAUUAAAAACAAAUUGAAAAAGGACGCUGUUGUUGCCACCACUUAUGCAAUGAUCGUCGCUGCCAUCACCAACCCCCAACACCCCAUUACAGCUCAUAAAAGCACAUCAUAAGCAAUUUAUGAAAUAAAUUUACUGGAAUACUAAUUUCCCCCUUAGUUUAGGUCACCAAUGUUUAAAUUUAGGGGUGUGAUAUGCACAUACCUUUUUUUGCUUCUCUCACACUUUUUUUGUUGUUGUCGAAUCAGAUGAAUUGAAGAAGAUCAAUUGACAGAAAUUAACAAGGGGUGUAUGAAAAGUAAAAAUGGAUGUGUAGAUAACACAUCCCUAAAUUUAUCACAACUUUCAUUCCAAAUUUAAUUUUUAUGCGUAGUUUUGUUUGUUCAAAUUUACUUUGACAUUUCAAUUAGUAUUAAAAUCUAAUUUAAAUUUUAGCGUUCAAGCUAGAAAAAGUGUUCCAUUUAAUAUUUAAUCUCAGUUUUUCUCUUUAUUCUUUUAUUCCGAUUUGGUUGCAUCGUAUCUCCAUUUUUCUCGGUGUUGUAUGUUCAUAAGGCCUGGGAAACGUUGGCACGGAGUGAAGGGUACUCACUUUUUGGCCCAAAAUGCAUAAGGCAUGUAGAUAUGUUAAUCAAAUUUUGUAAACUAAAGGAUAUAGAAGUUGAUACUUAGAUUAUAAUUUAAGAUAAUACUAAAGAGACUAAAUUUGCAAACUAAAUGAUGUGUCACCAAUAAAAAUAAGCACGUUUAUCAACGCUUAAGUAAUAAAUCAAUCAUCAACUUUCAUGUCCUUUAGUUUCCAAAAUUUAAUAUACAAAUUUAGUCUCCCAAGCAUUACUCUAUUACUUAAGUAUUGAUUAACAGACUUAUUUCUUAUGGUGACAUAUUAUUUAAUUUACAAAUUUAGUCAACCCAACAUUACUCUUUUGAAAUUGUCUUGUCCACUGAUAUAAUUCUAUUUUUCUUGUGAUCAAAACUUCAAAUGUUAGCAAGUCGCACGUAAAGUCACUUCUGAGAGAAUGUGCUCACAUUGUAGUUGAAAGAUUAUGUGGCUAGCAACAUUACAAAUUUAAUUUGGUAUAAUUUAAAAUAUAGAUUGAGGAAAAAAUGAUCACAUUAACUAGAAACUGAAAAGGUUUCAGCACAGUUUGUUCAAGCAAGAAACUCAAUUUUGAUGCUACCGAUCUUAACAGCCUGAGCGCCGUACCUGGGCACUAAAGUCACCACCACACUCUCAUCAUCUUCAGCACCCAAAUCCUCCAACAGGUCCGUUAACCCCAACCUUAAACAACUCUUGCUCUUUUCCUUCUGCUUAUGUGGAACACUCACAAAACUCCCAGCAAACUCGCUCUUGUCGGGUCCACUCGGUGCCGCAUCCUCAUCGUCCACGUCAUUCACAUACACAUCAAACUUCACAGCCACAUCUUUGUCAAGCUCAAUCCCCUGAAUCACCAGUAUCUCCUCCUCAUCCUCUUUCUCCUUCUUGCUCCUCUUCUUCGGCUUCGGCCUUGACACCACCGUACUUAUCUUUGUCUCCAAAUUUAUUGGAAAAUCUUUACCCGCCACCACCUUCCCCGAUGACGUCGUCUCAGCGGCCUUCGCCACUCCAGCCGCCUUUGCCUUUCUCGCAAGCUUUGUCCGACGUGGCGUCGGUCUAGACUUGAGCCAUGGAAUCUCAACAUCUUCAUACGUAUACCCUAGCUUUUUAUUAUCAAGAGUGUCCCUCACCGUGACCCUAACAAGCUCAGCAUUCUCGUCAUAAAACAAAAACCCCGUAUCCAACCAAUCCUUAUCGUUAAUAUCUUUAUUUUUAGUCCCUAUACUUUUCCAAAUAUUCCACAUUCGAUCUAUAUUCGAAUGGUGCGAAAAAAAUAUUGGAUCCCUUGCAGCGGAGUAAAAAUUCCCCAUGUCUUCAAAAUUAGGUUGCGUGUUAUCUCCGGUCCAUGUAUGAACCGGACCAUGUGGGGUCGUUUCGAUUGAACCGGCCCCUGGAUCUGGUUCGGUGCCAGCCCUGUAGGGCGAACCAAAGAACAACAGCGGUUUCUUGGAGUUGGAAACCAUCUGCCUAUACAUGAUUUUGAGGUUGGCGUCGAUUUGAGCAUCCUUGGACAUUGUUUCAUCCGUGCCGUUAAAGUCAAGAUCGAUGAGAGUCGGCGGCUGAUGGCUGGCAGCGCGGAGCUCGUCGUAAAGCGGAGAGUCCGGGUUAGCGAACAAGGCAGGGAGUUGCAUGCCAGCUGGCGCGUCCCAGUUCCAAAACGGCAACGCGAACGUCGGAUCGUCUAUGAGUUUGGCCAAGAUUCUUUCGUGGAAGUAUAGGUAGUAACGAUGGAAGGGGAAGAAAAGCCAGGAUUGAUGGAUUUGGAGCUCGAGGUUGGGGAAGCCGACUUGAUCGUACGCGCCGUCGCAAUAGGCACAGUGGAUAUCGGCUUGCUGGGUGAAGCUACGCGGAUCGUCGUCCGGGAGGGCUUUCAUGAGCUCGAUGGCUUUUGAAUAUUUUUCGAUGUAGGCUUUAUCCACGGUGUGAGCUGCCGGCCUGACGCGGAGUUUGGUAGGGGAGGGGAAUUUGAAGUCUACGAUUUUUUGGGACGUUGGCGGGCAACAGUUGGUCGGGACUGCUCCACUUGGAAAGUCCGCACCUCCGCAUUUGGCUAGGUCAGGCGGCGACACUGGCUUUGCAACAGCGAAGGGGUCGCUGCCAAGACCAGCCACUCCACCGUACAGGCUUCCGAGACCUAUAAGUACAUGUCUUCUGUCUAGGUUUACUGGAGAAAGGUUUUCAUGGUCGUGAUCGUUGGAGCUAGUGGAAGGGUUUUUGUUUUGGUCACUACUAUUAUUCGUGGCUUUGCAUGAGACGGCUUGUAAAUUGGAAUGCCUAGGGUUUUCAAAUAAGGAAAUUCGGUGAUACUUUUGGGAGAAAGGGAAGAGAGAAGUUGUGGGGAUGAUACUUGUGGUGGAGGUGACGAGUGGAGCUGACAUAGAAGCCAUGGUUACUUGACUCUGAAUACUACGUUGUAUAGGCUUUGCUUUUAUAAUGUGUUCUAGGUUUUACUUUUCUUUGCACAGGUGGCAGGCCGUACACAUUGGCGGUCCUUAAGGGUUUGACGAGGAAUACUACGUAGUCAUUUAGUACAGGGCAACCAUGCACUAUAGCACGUGGCAUGUAAUAUUUACGUAGUCUCAGAAGGUGAAGCGGUUUUGGGCUUCUUGUGUACCAAUAAUAUUUACGUACUCAUUAUUCCACUGGAUGGAUUGCGUGCACGUGAUCUUUAUUCAAACAAAUCACUAUUGACCAUAUAUUGCAAUUGGUUAAUGUUAGGCAAAUUAAAUUUUUACAUCAAAUAAUGUGGUUGCUGAUUAUUGAAUUAUUAUUUAAGUUUGAUUAAUGUGCUUAUUUUUUAUCGGUAAUACAUCAUUUGAUUUGCAAAUUUGAUUUACCUAAUAUUACCAGUUAUAAUUUGUAUAAAUGGACUGGUACCUAACAUUACCAAUUGUAAUUUGUAUAAAUGGACUCGUACCUAACAUUACCGGUUGUCCCAAGAGCACACGCUACUGCUCAAGAAGCAAAGUUCUUAUUUGCCCAAAAAAAAUCAUGGUUUUUUAAUUGAUGCUCUCAUUUUAAUUUACUAGCCCCUUACUUGGCCCUUUUUAUUUAUCAUUUUAUACAUAUUAAUAUUUUGUUUGUAAAAUAUAUUAGUGUUAGUUUUAUCAAAAUUAAAAAUAAAUAAAAAACUUAGCUUUAGUAUUUAGUUAUUGAAAUUGUAAAAAAAGUGAUAAAGUAUUGGGUGCUUUGUUUGAAAAUUUUCAAAAUGAUAUUGUUUUUACCACUGAACCCCUGUUAUAUACAGUGAUGGCUAAUUUGUCAAGUUCUACGAAGUUGGGAUACCCAGCGUUUUAGCAUAUAACAUAGCUUAGUAUUUCAAGCAUAAUUAAUUAACGAAAAAUUAGUAUCCGGUCCCUAGUUUUUACUGUUCAUUGACUAAGACCUUAUUAGUUCUCAAAUUUUGAUUCAAGUCCCUAGCAUUAAUGUGAUAAUGAAUUUACAUGUUUAUUAUAUAAUUUUUUAAUAUAAAAAUUAGUAAUUAAUUUAGGGUUUAAUACUCACACCUCUAUUAAACUUCUAAUUAAUUUUCAAUUCAGACAUUUCCAAAAUAAUAAAAAAUUAAAUUAAAUUAAGUUUGUACCUAUUAGUUUUUUUUUAUAUAUAAAAAGAUUCUCAAUUUUUAAUCUUAAAUGUACAUCUUAAAUGUACCCAUUCUCAAAUAUAUCAAUUUGUUAUAUGUAAAAUGUACCCUUUUUUAAUAUAAAAUCCAUUCAAAAUUUUUAAUCCAUGUUUAAACUUAUAUGGGUACAUUCUUUUUCGUUGAUUUGAGAAUGUAUCCAUGUUUUGGUACAAUAAAUUUUUUGUUAAUUUUGGUUAAUGUACCCAUACAUAUAUGUACACACACACACACACACACACACACAAUAUAAUAGAGAGUAUAAUUUAUAUUUUAUUAUUUUUAAUCCCAUAAAUGAUGGGUUUUAUUUAAAAUCUCAUUAAUAUAAACAAUUAUAAAUUUCAAUUUUUAAUUUUUAAUUUAAAAAAUAUAGUAACUUACAUUAUUACAUUAAUGUCAGGGACCUCAAUAAAAAACUAAAAACUAACAAGGUUUCAAUCAAAGAAUAUUGAUAGCUAGGGACCACAUCCAAAGUGUCCCUUAAUUAAAGGGUAAAUUACAUAGUAACCCCUCAGGUUUGAUGUCUAUUACAACCCCAUACAACAUCUUUAAAACAUUUCACUUUCAUACCUCAAGUACUAUUUUAUUUCAAUAUAAUACAUCUGUUAGAUUUUCCAUCCAUUAAUCCGUUAAAUGCUGACAUGGAUACCACAUUUGUGCCACGUGGCUGCCAAAUGCGUGUCAUGUGGCAAAAAUAAUAAUUUUUAAAUUUAAAAAAAAAUGAAUCUUCAACCCAAAAAAAAAAAAAAAAAAAAAACCCCAAACCCAGAUCCCAUCAACCCCCCCCAAACGAUUAUCCCUUCCCCAUAUCCCCCAUCCCACCCCCCAACCCCCCCUCUGCGACCAACCUUACCAUAGCGCCCCCCAACCUCGCGACCCACCUCACUCAAGGCCCUAAUCCACACUACCUACAACCCAGAAACGAAAAAAAAAAACAAAAAACAAAAAACUCAUCUCCCUUUCCCUGCAACCCAAAUCCCAUCUUCCCUAAUGGGUAUGGAUUUAAGAAGUGGGGUGUGUAGAGGAGGGAAGAGGGUGGGUGCGGAGGAUGGGUAUGGUGGGUUGCAAGGAAGGGGGGUCGGGUAAGAUGAAGAUGGGUUUUUUUUUUCUCUCUCUCUUCUUCUUCUUCUGGGUUGCAAGUUGUAGGUUGGGGUUUUUUUUUGGGGGGGGGGGGGAGGGAGGGAGGGAAGACGACGUGGGGUUUGGUUUUUUUUUUUUAAUUUAUUUAGAAGAUUUAGGUUUUUUGAAAAAAAAAAAAAAAUUCCACGUGGCACAAAUGUGGCAGCCACGUCAGCAUUUAACAGAUUAAUAGAUGGAAAAUCUAACGGAUGUAUUAUAUUGAAAUAAAAUAGUACUUGAGGUUAGAAAGUGAAAUGUGUUGAUGCACAAAACCGAAGGUCUUUGAACAACGUAAAUCCGAUCGUGAAUAUGCAAGUAAUGUAAAUAACACAAGAUGUAUCGUGGUUCACUCCAAUGUUUGGGCUACGUCCACACUGAUUAUUGUAUUUCUCUGAGAGGUGAGGGGGAGAGCUUUGAGAAAGCUUAGAGCUUAGGGGAUGUGAGAAGGCUUAAGAAUUGGCCUCCCUUAUUUGUGAGGGUGAUGAGUCCUUUUAUAGAAUAAGGGAUCCUCACUUAUUACAUAUUUGCCCAUUCCUUUAUUACAUAAUUACAUUUAAGUCCCCUGAGUACUUGUACAAGGUCUAAAUACGGAGGCCCUAAGUAUGGUACAAACAGUAGUCCCCCAAGUCUUCAGUCAAGAGAGUCUUUUGGCUAGAGACUUGAAAUUCUGUCCAUGUGUGAGCCGAAAUAACUAGAUGUCGUCUAGAACUGAUAUUUGAUAUGCGGCAGUGCCCAUUUUGAAAUAAUGCUCAACUAGAAGUAGCACAUGCUGCGAGGCUGCUCUGCUUGUGUUGCCUUGGUUGGCUCGACUUGUGGCGUUGAAGGUGAGAGAGUCCCUUUUAUAGAAUAAGGGCUCGCUCCUCAUUACAAAGAUGAUGGGUUAGUUGGUGCUUGCGGUGAGGCGGAUGCUCAGCUGGCGGCGAUGCUCUCUAAUGAUAGUGAGGGAGUCCAUUUUAUAGAAUAAGGGAUCGCUCCUCAAUACAUAAAUAAUAGGUGCUCUCUAAUGAAAGUAAGGGAGUCCCUUUUAUAGAAUAAGGGCUCACUCUUCAAUACAUAAAUAAUGGGCUAAGUCCCCUAAGUAUUUUUUAUGAGGCCUAAUUGAGGCCCAAUAUAUGGUACAUAAUGUAGUCCCCCAAGUCUUCGGUCAAUAGAGUCUGUUGGCUGGAGACUUCAAAUUGAAUCCAUGUAUGGGCCGAAGUGGCGGUUGUUCGGAAGCGGUAUUUGUAUACCCUGCACUGAAGCUUUAUAGGUGAAGCUUUGCAAGUGAAGCUUUGAAGCUGGAGCUCAGUAAAUGAAGCUUUUGAAGCUAGAGCUUUUGUAAAUGAAACUUUUGAAGCUGGAGCUCUAUAAAGGAAGCUUUUGUAAAUGAAGCUUUUGAAGCUGAUUCACAUGAGUGAUGCUCAUGAAUGUUUAUGUUGAUUGAUAUGAGUGAUGCUUAUGGAUGUUGACAUGAGUGAUGCUCAUGGAUGUUGACGUGAUGCUCAUGAAUGUUAACAUGAGUGAUGCUCAUGAAUGUUUAUGUAUGAUUGAUAUGAGUAAUGUUCAUGAAUGUUUAUGUAUGAUUGACAUGAGUAAUGCUCAUGUAUAAUUUGAAGUACUGGGCAUACUUUUGAUUACCUGGUUGGCGAUAAUAGCGGCAGGGUGCCGAAUAAUUUUUUGUAGUACUGGGCGUACUUUUGGUCACCUGGUUGGUGAUAAUAGCAGCAGGGUGCCGAAUAAUUUUUUGUAAUACUGGUCGUCCUUUUGGUCACCUGGUUGGUGCUAUUUUGAGCUUAUGGGCCUUCGCCCUCUACACAACAUUCCAGCCUAUUUAUUUUGGGCUUUACCGUUUUUUUUAAUUACCCUAUGAUGGGGUUUAUACAGAUGUCUCCGAAAGAUAUGAAAAAUAAAUUACAUCAUUCAAAAAUAAAUCCGACCCUCUGCUCAAUGGGUCACGCCAAUAAUUCUUUUUUUUUAUGCAUGCCAUCACCACCGCAAUUAUGUCUGCUUCUUUUUAUCUUCUUUUGCUUUCUGCUUUUGCUUUUACUUUAUCUUUCUCUUUUGGCAUAUGGCAGACAACGCCAAAACGGAAUAAUGAAUUAUUAUGAGAACAUGAAUCUUAUCUUUUGCCUGGUUUUCCACUAGUGCUCGUGGUAUUCUCAGGAGAUUGGAUCUGGGGGUAGGCGACUACCCCAGCACCUUGCCCUGAUACGUAAUAGCCUGAUGUCCCACUGCCAUCUCCAUACUGGAAGGUGUACGAACAAUGGUUAUUCUGUGUGGAACAAAUAGAAUCCGAUUGAGAUUCAAGACUGCACCUUCGAUCUGAGCAAGAAAUGAAUUGUGACGUUGAUGAACUUCUAGGAGGAGAAGCAGAGGAUCUUUGACUAUGAUGAUCUUUGAAUUCCAGAUGAAACUGAAUAAAAUGCAGGUUGUGGAGCUUGAUGUGGGCCCAGAUCUGCUUGACAGCUUUGGGGCGGGAGGAUUCCUUGACACUGAGGAAGAUUCCCAGAGCUGGAGGGAUGAGAAUCGACUUCAUAAUCCCGAUGGUGGGUUUGUGCUUGGUCGAAAGAUCAUUUCUGGCAGGGGAAAACAUGUACCAUACCUAUUGCAAAUCUUGCAAAUUCUCUGCUUCUCCAUGGAAGAUGAAGAGCAUCGAAUCUCUGUUUUCUCUCUCUCUCUCUAAAACGUUUUCGUUAUAGAGUGCCCCAAUAGAAGUGGACGGGCAGUGAGCAUGCCAUUUAGUGCCUCCUCCAAGACAGUAACUGAUACGGUGGUCUUUAUUGGCACUCCAAGUUUACUAAAAAGGGCAGCAAAAAUAGUAUUUACAGCACCCAAACUUGAAAGAUCUAGCUCCAACUAGUGGCUUUCUGUUUCAACAGCCUGAAAGCCGGCAGUGUCAUACCGACGCCGUUUGUCUGGAUCAAAUAAUAUAUUAUAAGAAAACAUGACCUUCUUGAAGAUAUCAGCUGUUUUAGAGUCAUUAGCAUUUUUGUCAGGAUGGUACUUGAGAGCCAUUUUCCGGUAAGCACUUUUGAUUUCCUGGUUGGUGGAAUUCCUAUUGAGGCCGAGGACCGCAUAAGGGUUUUGUCGGAGCUGCUUCUUAGCUUCUUGCUUCUCCGAUUUUGAUCGGCUGCCCUGCAUUUUUGAAAUUGACGGUCAAUUUCUUCACAAAACCCUAGAAAUUGCCUCUCGAUUACCUCCGAAACACAUAAUUCACGACUCUUGGUUGAAAUUUUUUUUUUUCAUUUCAAAGAAGUGGCGGAGGUAAAUCAGUUGUCACAUAGCACCGGAGCAUGAGGAAAACCUAGAAAACCAAGAGGCAGAGAGACUCCAUGCACAUCUAACCUGGAACCUUGCAGGAGAGAGCAGAGAGAAAGAGACAAGAAAGAUUGAGGGAGAAGCGAUCUUGGUGCAUCGUCUGUGAUUCCUUGGUGAUUUGCUCGAUCGGGACUCUGAAUUCGUGCAAGUCAUUGCUGUUAAGCAAGAAUCGCGAGGAGUCGGAGAGCUUGGAAAUCGAGAAGGAGAGAGGGCCUUUAGUCAGGGCUUGGAGGGUGUCGGACUCCGUCGGCCAAGAUUGGUGCACGGUCACGGCGUCUGGGCCCAUGGCGGUUGUGUAAAUGGGGGAGGUUCUAGGAGUCCAAGAAAGAAGAAGAAGCAGCGACCAUAGAUCUGGGAGUCCAUGGCGCUUGAAAGAUACGGCGAACAAGUCGGACUUGCUGCUGGGCAGCUGGCGGUGAUAAUGUUGGUGCAUGGGUUUUGGAGUGGGAGUGUUUGGAAUGGGUUUUUUGUUUAGUUUCUAUGUGUUUUUUCACAGAGAGAGAGAGAGAGAAGUGAUGGUGUUUAAGGGAUGAGUUUUGGAGCUUAGUGAAUGCUUUUUCUGGAAAAGCCCAGUGAGGUUUGUGGGUUUUUGCAGAUUUUGCAGAUUCGCGGUGGAGGUGAAAGAAUGAAAGAGAACCGACACAACUUUUCGUAUUGAUUCCCACAUACGGCGCCAAAUGUUGAUGCACAAAACCGGAGGUCUUGGAACAACGCAAAUCCGACCGUGAAUCUGCAAGUAAUGUAAAUAACACAAGAUGUAUCGUGGUUCACCCCAAUGUUUAGGCUAUGUCCACACUGAUUAUUGUAUUUCUCUGAGAGGUGAGGGAGAGCUUUGAGAGAGCUUAGAGCUUAGGGGAUGUGAGAAGGCUUAGGAAUUGGCCUCCCUUAUUUGUGAGGGUGAGAAGUCCUUUUAUAGAAUAAGGGUUCCUCACUUAUUACAUAUUUGCCCAUUCCUUUAUUACAUAAUUACAUUUAAGUCCCCCGAGUAUUUGUACGAGGUCUAAAUACGGAGGCCCUAAGUAUGGUACAAACAAAAUGUUUUAAAGAUGUUGUAUGGGGUUGUAAUAGACCUCAAACUUGAGGGGUUACUAUGUAAUUUACCCUUAAUUAAAAUAAGGGCAAAUGAAGAGGAUGGUUGAACUUGUUAAGUUUCUUAAGUGUGUCUAAUUUAAGUGUGUUGUUAAUAAACAUUUAUUAUGGAGGCAAAGAGAGGGAAGGUGCGGCAUAGAAAGAGAAGAGAGAGAUAUGUAAUUGUGAGUUGUGUUUUAUUCCAUCCCAUUGUGCAUUUAUUUAUAUUAGUUGGGAAAGUUAAUUCUUUAACCUUUUAGGAUUACAACUCUAAUAGGAAAAUAUAUAAUCUAAAAGAUAUGGUAGAAUCCCAUAAGAAUAUCCUAGAUAUGUUAGGAUUUACACAAUCAUAUUCCUAUUCCAAUAGGACUGCAAAACAUUUGUAUUUUUUUAUAAUUUUUUUGAUAAUUUGUUGGCAUUUUCAAUUUUUGUUAACAUUGAAAAUAUAACGGUUCAGAUGAAAAACCUUUGGAAAUCCAACAUUGAAAAUAUAACAGUUUGACGUUGGGCUGUGGUGAAGGAGGCUGGGCUGUCACGUGGGUGGGGCCCUCCCUCUCCCACUUGGUGAUUCAAAGGGCGCAGGCCCGUGCAACAAUUGAGGCAGCCCAUAGAGAUCCUGCGUUUCACCCAUUUGCCAUUUUUUCCACCGCUGGAGCACCAAAAUUCGGUCCAAAGGCAGGGGUUCCAAUUGCAUGGGCAAUUUGGUUUCCGCUGGAGGUGCUCUUUGUCGACUUUGUUUAUUCUUUCUUUUUAGCUUUGCAGUAAUAUUGAAGUAAUCACUCCAAUUGUAUCCGAACUUUUGUUGUCCAUCAAUUUGUAUCAAAACUAUUGGUUAAUUUACAUAUUCAGACUAACCUUCUCAUUAUUUUUAGUAUUUUUAUCAUAAAUAAUAUCUAAAAUAAUCACAUUUUAUUCAACAACCACUCAAUUAAAAAUUAAUUAAUGUUGUUUCUAAACCAUUACAUCGAGCUUUUGUAAAUACACAUCAAUAUUGCAGCGAUCCGAGGCAUUGUUUUCUACGCCUUGGAUUUGGCGAAUUGGAAAAGAGAAGAGUUACGAGUAAAAGUCCCUCACAUUAAGAGGGCUCCUCCUCGGGGAGAUGAAGAUGAUGAUCUUUUGUUUUUGUUUCUUAAUGAUUAAUCCACGCAGCAACAUAUAAUUAGAUUGUUGGGAUCUACUCAAGUUCCAUAUCACGCACUAAUAUAAAGUUUGACAAACGAAACGAAAUAUGUGCUCUCGAAAGCAAAAUGAGGGCACUGCUCCAAGAACAGGAAGGGCUCCUUGUCGAGGUUGCCAUCCGCCAUGAGGGAAAACCGGAAGAAGUUAGACAACAAUGAUGACAUCGAUUUGCAACACCCAUAUUGGGACAUCAAACUGUGAAAUAAAUACUCAAAACUCCUGGAAAGUCCUCGGGACAACAAACUUUUAUCUCCUUCAAAUAUUUCAUUUUACCAAGUUUUAUGUUUGAAGGGAGGGAAAAAAAGAGAUGAGAGAAUCCUACUCCUUAUUCUUGAAUAUAUUCAGGAAUAACUAUUGAAUAAAGAGAGAAUGGAAGGGGAUCGAAAGAGGAGGGAAGAUAAUUCUAGUCCCAAACAUAAAAAGGACCACAACUUUUAAAUUAUCAGCACGAUCAUCAUCUGAUUGAAGAGACCAUUCAUUGUGAAACAUAUCGUCAAUCAAUAUGUCUAUAUCUAUUUAUAUACCACAUUUUUGGAGUAGGAUUCUCCCCCCUCCUAUUACCAUCCCCUUCCAUCCCCUUCCAUCCCCUCCUUUCAUACUUUUUUUUUUCUUAUUCUCUAUAUAAAAAAUUCAAAACAAGAUGUAGAUGUGUCGUAAUCGCAAUAGUUUAAAUAAAAGGAGAUGGAAGGAGAGAUAAAUUACGAGGGGAGAGAAUCUUACUCCCACAUUUUUCUUCUUCAUAAACAAAAGAGAGGUUCUAGAUUACUUGACUCUAUGCCUCAUUUUUUUCAUCAAGUAUUUGUGCUAAACGGGUUCAGUUUCAAGUAUUUUAGUUUUUUGUCAAAAUUGAGAAAACUGAAAAUCAAACAUUAAUAUGCAAAAUUAAAAAAUCAACACAUAAUUAUUUAGAAAUCGCAAUAGAAAAGAAAAAAUGGAGGUUUGUGAUGAAAAAUCUUUUAUACUAAGUAAUUUAGUAUCCUUAUGCAUGAAGAUAAUCAAUUCGUUCGUUAUGGUCAGACUCUUUUUGAAUUUUUGAACACAUUCUCCAUAGGGCCUUCUUAUUUGUUCCUUCUCCGAGUUGGGGUUAUGGAAGAAGUAAAAGAAGGAACCAAGAAGAAAGUAUUGGCAACAACCGAUUUCGUUACGGGACAACUCUUGAUAUUCAUAUCGAUCUAUUAUGUACCUUUGCAUCUAGCAUUAGACAAUAACUGUCAUAGCUUUACCAUAUUUUUUUGUUUCAUUUCUUCUGAAACAAUAACACACACUUUUUUAUUAUGUGUCUAAUACUAGGAAUUCAAUACAUAAUCUUAGCAUUCAAUAGUUAUUCCUGAAUAAUUUCAUUUUUCAAUUGAUCAACCAUUUCAUUUUUCCAAGUUCAAUCAAUGUUAGUCACAUUAGUCAACAUUUAUAUAUUUUGAUGCAACAACAAUAUGUUAUUUGUAACAAGUGAUUUUGCUAGUUGGUUAAUUGGUCACAAGUUAAUGUUCGGUUCAGUUCAGCUUUUCUCUCGAUUUUUUGCGAUUCGGUUUUUUCGAUUCUCUUUAGAUUCGGUUCGAUUUUGUUUUUUUAUUUAUACUUAAUUUUUUUUAAUCUGAAAACACCAAGAACAACACAAGCAUACUCAAUCAAACAACUAUCCUUCUCCACAAAUCACAGUAAUAAUUACAUUCAUUUAGCUAAAAUGCAAAUAACUAACAAACUCACAAAAAUCGAAUAAAAACUACAAAUUGCUUACUCUUUUUCUUUGGGUUUCACUCGAAAAGUGUCGGUAAAAUUUAGGGUUUGCAAGAACGCAACCGAAAUCCAAAACGGAGGCUCUGUGGCUUGUGGGCUGCUAUUGAGUUCCAGUACGGAAAACCUUGCUUACUCUCUAUCACGGUACAAAGUAUCAGUACCUUUAGCACUGUAUUUGGUAGAACCAAAUUAAAAGCUAACAUCAAUAACAACUACCAGAGACAUAAGCUCUUAUCAAUGCUUUGGAAACAGUCAUGUAUCUCCAAGUGUAAUGAUAUAAUUAGUAAGAAAUUUAAAAGAAAAAUGGUGAUUUCAUAUAAAAUCAAUAAAAAGUUACAAUAUUGACAAUAUAUCAACAAUUUUUAUGGGGUAAAUUACAUAGGACCCCCUCAGGUUUGAGGUCUAUUACAACCCCAUACAACAUCUUUAAAAUAUUUCACUUUCAUACCUCACCUACUAUUUUAUUUCAAUAUAGUACCUCCAUUACAUUUUCCAUCAAUUGAUCCAUUAAGAGCUGAAUUGGUUGCCACAUUUGACACGCCCCGAUCCCGAUAUCCUCGGGAUAUCAGGAUGGUCACGUGCUGGCCGACACCCGAGGGUGACGAAAGCCAUUUAUUGAGUGCAAUUGCUGAAAAUAAAGGAUAGAUAAAACUUAUAAAUGUAAAAGAAUAAGGAAUAUGCAUUUAAGGAACGUGUUCAGAGCAUACAACUAACUAGAACACUAAAAGAAUGAUAUAAAAUGGAAUGAAUAAAAGAAUGAGUCUUACACCAAGAGGACUCGAAGAUGCCGAUGCGGAAGUACCUUGAUUGUCGGGAUUGUACGCCUCGAUCCUAAAUCCUGAAGGGGGCGCAAAACAAACAUGAGUGGACCAAGUUGAUAUAUAUAUAAUAAAACAGUUAUCAAUAUACUAACCCCCAGGUUUAUGAAAACAAAUAUAUAAUGAUGAACAUAGGUUUUCCGAAACCUAGCAUGAUGUGCAGUAUCUCAAAUCAUAACUCAUAUAUAAUAAUCACUAGUGAAUUGUCCGAUAACCUGCAGGCCCCAUGCCGGCUCCCCGUCUCUGAGCAGACAGUCAGAGGAAAAUACACUUCAGGCCCCAUGCCGGCUCCCCGUCCCUGUGCUAAAUAGCCAGAGGAAACACACUCCAGGCCCUAUGCCAACACCAAACCGUCGCCCGGGACGGACCGGAAUCUAUUCCUACGUCCCGUAGCGGAAAUGACCACUAGGUAAGUACAAAACCAUUGAACAUACAUAUAUUGAAAAACAACUUCAUAGUAUAAAGUCAUCCAUCAUCUAUACUAUAAAGAGGUGUUCGAAACAUGUUCUAAAUAUCAUAUCGUCAUCCAUCAGAUAUUCUAUAAGAACACGGGUUAUAGGAAAAAUAGUAAUAAUUCAAGGUAGCCUCAGUAAGCAUGUUAUCUCAAAACGUUUCAUAAAACGUAAUCAUUAAAUCAUGCAUUUCAUGUAUGCAUUUCUACUAUUAAAACAUGCUUUUGAAGGGGUCCACUCACAGUACUUAGCCGCCGAAGAGCCACGCAAACUAACGUCACCAAUAUUGCCCCUAAGCACAUAAAUGGUCCAAUUAAUAAAACUAUAUAAUAGCAAUUGGAUUUGGGAAAACGGACGUUGGAAACGGAUUCAGAACGUCGAAUUACCCUAAGAAGGGUCCCGGACGAAAACCCGAAAAGUCAACUCUAAAGUCAAUGUUGACCGGAGGUCAACGGUCAAAUUAGGUCUAACGGGUUUUAGGCUUGAAAUCCGGAUUAGGGUUUAGGUUAAAUAGGAUUAGGAUUUAUUGGGUUUUGGAAUUCUAAGGUUUUUGGGUUAAAAGGGUUUAGGGUGAAAAUGGGUGGUUUGGGCUUAAUCCCAAACUCACACACAACACACACACACACUACACAAACCCUAAAACACACACACACACACGGGCUGCACUAGGGCAGCCCUCACAACACUUCACAAAGGCCCUAAGGCCUUAUUAAAGGACAGGGCUUUAAGCCCUUUAAAGGAUACUGGCCCAAGGCCCGUCAAAAUAAGGCCCGAGGCCUUUGGGUUUUAAAAAGAACAAGAACAAAUUUAAAAGAAAAGGGGCUGGGGUCUACUGGGCUAAGAUAUAACGGGCUUAAGGCCCGUGGGGUUUUCUAAAGGGCCUGAGAGGCCUGGGUUUGUCGAAGGAGAAGGCCGGAAUUUCGGCCGGAAAACCACCCAACUUUAAAUGGCCAUAACUUUGUCAAUACUCAACGAAAUCAAGCAAGACAAAAAUGAAAGUUGUAGCCCUUGAAGCGACGAAGAGAAUGGUUCCUCACACGACGUCUAACUCGCCGUGGUUUGGCCGGAAAAUGCCUCGAAAUCCGUCGGACUCGCCGGAAACUGGGUAAGAUUCAAAUGAGUAUAACUUCUUCAAUACUCAACGAAAUUAAGUGAAACAAAAAGGAAAGUUGUAUUACUCGACGAGACGAAGAGAUUGAUACCUUACACGCCGGCCAACUCGCUGUGGUUUGGCCGGAAAUGGCCUCGAAAGGGGCGGUGCUCGCCGGAGCUUACUCCGUGCCGUCGAACUCGCAGGGUAGGGUCCGGGGUUCGUUGCAAGCCUCUCUUCGAUGGUGACUCGGUCCUAGUGAGUCCAGGGGAAGAGAGAGAUGCGAAAGGUUGAGGGAGAGAGAGACGGGAGAGCUGAGAAAGAGAGAGCUACGGGAGGGAGAAACGAAGAAGAAGAAGAGAGAGAUCAGAAAACAUAAAAAAAAUAAACAAGGUGGGCCCCACGGGCUCACCAAUUAAGGCUUUAAAACAAUUUUAAAAUAUAAAAGAGGGUUGGGGUGUUUCAACAUUUGUACCACGUGGCAAAAAAAAAACCUAAAUCUUCUAUACAAAAAAACUAAAAAAACCAAAAAAAGCAAAAUCGAACACUCCACCCCGCAAAAAUCCUAGCAUCUUCCUUUUAUUCCCCACAACCCCAAAUUCCCCCCCAAAACCCCUAAAACCCAAACCCUAAUUCCUCCCCCACAUGAAGAAAAUCCCAGUCCAAUUCAAUCCCAAUUACCUCAAAUCCCACCAUAGAAACCCUAAAUUUUGGUUCCUCAAUCCCUAGAUUUCCCACGCCUCUGUUGCCUACACCUUAUCAAUCUUUAGCUUUCUCCCUCAUCCCCUCCAUGAACGACACUUUCUCUCAUCCGCUGUUCCCCAGCAACGGCACCGAUACCUACGAGGCCUGGUACGGCAACAUCCAGUACCUUCUCAACAUCUCCGCCAUCGGCUCAUUCUUAUGUGUCUUCUUUUUCACCUUGGUCAAGCUUUGAAGCGAUCGCCGCCGCAUGCCCGGCUCGUCCUCCCUCGUUGCUAAGCUCUUCGCAGUGUGGUAUGCUACCUGUCGAGAGAUUAUGCUCCCAUGUGGCGCUGAGGCCAUAAUACUCACGCACCCAUCUACACACCCACACCACCACUACCGUGGACUCUCUCUCACUCUCCCUCGUCUUUGUAGAGCUAGGUGAAGCCUAGAAACCGAGAACUAGCUCCAGCAAACCCCGUGAGUUUCGAGCCAGAUCCCUGCCGACUCCGACCAUCCCAUGACCAAUCUAAGGUACAAAACAUUUCCCCUUGACUCUAUGCUCUUUUUCGUAUGUAGAUCGUAGGGAAAAGCCCACAGAAUGAGAGAGAAUAGUGACCUGAGAGAGUCCACGGUGAUGGUGGUGUGUAGAUGAGUGCGUGCGUGGGUGUACUGUCGGGGAUAGAGUCUGAGAGAGAUAGAGAGUGAAAGAGUCUGAGAGAAGAGUGACUUGCGAGAGUGAGAGAUUCGAGAGAGACUCGGGAAAAGAUUUAUGGGUUUGGGUUUUUCUGGUUUUUUAUUUUUAUAAUAAUAGGGUUAAUAUUAUAAUAUUUUUAAUGUAUAAAAAUUUCUUUUUUGCCACGUGGCAGCCACAUCAGCACAAAUGUGGUAGUUGUAGAUGCAAAUUUCUUCCUCUUGAUCUUGGACAAUUUUGCACCUACAAAACAAUUAACACCUUAGGUUAAGGCCAAAAGCCUCACACACCCACAAUGAAUGGGGGGCUUUGGCCGAAGAACCUCUGUUGCCAAAGUUAGAAUUUAGAGAGAAAGAGUCUUUACAGAAUUUUGGGAUUUUUGCCAAAGUGUUGGAAUGGCUUUCUGGUGAGAACGGGAUCACUUUUAUAAGGAUAGGAAGUGGUCGGCCUAGCUAGGGUUUUUGGGUUUAAUUUAGGUUUAAUUCUUCAAUUUAUUUGGCUAAUUAAACCCUAAAGAAUAAAUUGGUGGUUACAAAAUUGAUUAUUUGUAUAAAUGGGGUAAUAAAAUGGAGAAAAGUGAAAAAGGUUAGGAAAAGGGAGGUAGCUAGCUUCUUAGUAGUUUUAGGUGUGAGUGGGUGUUUUAAUUGAUAAUUAAGGGAUUGAUUAGGUAAUUAAUCCCUUAAUUAAACAAUUUUUAGGGAAUAUGAAAGGAAAUUAUUAUUUAGCUAAUUGAUUAGCUAAAUAAUGGAAUACAAAAUAUAUAGAAUAAAUUAGGCUUUAGGUAUUACCUUAUAGAAAUGAUUUGAUGAAAUAGGCUUUAAAUUGUUAACUAUUUUGGGCACUUUUGACUUGGUUGAGGAUGAUUGUCUGCCGCUCGCACGUAGGAAUCUCGAUAUGCCUUAAGGGUAUUUUUGUCCUCUUUUACCCAAAAAUCCACGUGUCGCCUUGUGAUUAUUUUUGGCUCCACAAAUGCCCCCACACCUGUUGGGCUGCUCGCAGAAAAUGGCAGCAGGUGUAGAGAUCAUCUUGCUUUAGGAAACGUAGGACUACUUCCUCUUUAGAUGUAGAUUCUCUCUUUAAUAGGAAAUUAGGUUCUUCUAGGAAAGGGAAAUAAAUUUCUGUUAAAGCCUAUUUAAGUCUACCUUAAGUGGGUUAUUAAAUCAACUUUGGAGAGCGAUUUCUUAUACCCUACAAGAGAGAGGGAGCUUAGAGAAUAUUUGUUCCCCCUCUUCUAGCAAUCUUCUACAUCUUUCCCGUGCAAAGGAUCGUCUUUCGUUGAUUUCUUCGUCUUCUCCGUGCCGCACCGAUGUAAGAAAAAUUUAAUUUUUUGCUUAUCUUCUUCUUGGAUAGUACUAUUACAGGGCAACCGUUAAGGUAGUGCGGCACGUCUACUGGCAGGGGCUAGGAGUUGGCUCGGCAUCGGUCGAUGAGGCAUUAUGGCAGGGGCCACUGCUUAGGCUGUUUGGCUUGGCUAGAGCCAAUGGCAGCUUGUGCGGCUGGGGUCGCGGAUUGUGGCGUUGGGGCGCAAUGCUAGGCGAGCCACAUGGUUAAUGUCCUUUAGGCUCUUAGACCUUACUCGGGCCAGGCUAGCGACUGAAAGAAAUGAGGAGGUCGUGGGCCUCAUGGGUUGUUGGAAUGUUGGGCAUGCAGGCCUCCUGUCUGCUAGAAUGCUAGGUUGAGCUCCUCUGCUGAGUACCGUGAAUGGCGUUGGCUGCUUAGUUCUUUUUACAGAGAGAAAGGUGGGCUGCUCCCGAAAGAGGAAGUAAAGAGGAUCAAGGUGGAUGCAUUGGCUCGUCUAAUCGCUGUCGUGGAACCUCCUAUGAAUGAAGAUGGAAAUAAGAGAUCUUCCCUGCCUACUCAAGAGAUGCCGAUCGAGAAAAAUUGAAGACUUUCUCCACUGCUGCUCAUGAUGAUUUGUCUGCUGUCGAUAGGCCUGUGAUUGGCAUGACUUCUUCCAAUGGGAAGAAAAAUGAGGCUGCUAGAUCUGAUCAUGUGGUGCCUUCCAUGUUGAGAAUUGCUAGUACAAUUGUUGAUAAGAUUGCUUAGCGCAAAGGUUUUAUCAUGCCCCCAGUACCGAAGUCUGUACCAGGACUUUCGUUUGGAGCAAAGUCUGGUUCACCUUUGGAGAUACUUGCUAUUAUGAAAAGUGGUAAGGUGGACUCUGCUGCUAAAGUGGCGUCAAGGCCCACUCCCUUUGUUGCUGAGACUGAUUCGCCUGCUAGGAAGGAAGAUACUACUUGUAUGGGCAGCUGUGAGAAAUCCACUAAACUUGCUUCUGGGGAGGCUGCUGAGAUCAUUGUGCUUUUGAAACUAUAUCUGCUUGAAGACAUGGACGCUUGUGCCAAGUUUGUUGAUGGCGGUAGAAAGGUUGUUUACCUAAGUUCCUUUGCGAAACAUACGACCCAAUAUAAAAUGACUGCUCUGCUUACUAGGAUGCAUAAAUAGCAAGGUUGUCAAGGAGGUGGCGAAGAUUAUGGCAGCUAAAGCUUAUUCCUCAGUCGAGGAGAUCAAAAGGUUGAAUUAUGAGCUUGUUGCUUUGAAAGAAAUGGAAGAACUGCAACACGUUCGUGUUAGUCUGUUUGAGAAGAAUGAGCAGCUAAACGGUAAGAAUGAUGGGCUUGAGGUUUCUCUAUUUUUCCGGAAGACUUGCUUACUUUUACUUUUGAGGCUUCCAUUGGUGAAGUAGUUGGAGACGUUAGUGCCCAGGCUUAGGCAACCGGGGGUGAAGCACCGGAUGAUGCCGCUGCUAAGAACGUUACGGCUGCUGAAGGUGUGGAGACCAAGUAGUCGUGGGAUGUCCAAGCUGCUGUAGUGUAGUAUUUUAGGUAGCUUUUAUGAUUUUCUUUGUUUUUCCUUGUAGCUCUUGUUUUGCUUGAACUUCUUCGGCCUUUGCUAGUUGUAUAAACAUGUUUUCCUUCGCUUUUCUUCAUCUUCGCUUCUUUUGUUCAUGCCCUAACCUUUAGACUUGAUAGACCAAUGGCAGGCAUGCUACUUUUUUAUAAGCAGACAAGCUCGCGUAGCCUAUGCAGCCGUAAAUGUUGGUGUAGAACUUUGCAAAGUUGUUAGCCAUUAGGUUGGUAACCAGAUACCUUACUUACAGAAGUAGACAAGUCCGCAUAACCACUAGGCUAUUAACCUUGACUUUCUCCAAUUCUGUAGGUUGCGUAGCAAGUAUCACAACACUUUAGGAAUUGGUAUAGGUUGCUCCGCACUUGGCAGAGGUGAAGCCUAUCGACUACGUAGCAUGUCGGCAGUGGAUAAAACUUCCAUAUAUGCGCGCUAGCUUGUUUAACCUUUCACAAGAAUGUGCGGUUGUAUAAGUCUAGCACGGUUUUACUGCUUGAAGGGCAAGCCGUAGGCAGUCUUCCGGAAUCCGUAGGCUACCUUAAUGUACUCGGUAGCAGCUUUAGGGUUCCAGGGCAGCCGUCUAUAGAGCGUACUGCGUAAUGUGCCCCAUCCGUCUCUAGCUCCCGGUUCCCCACAGAUUAGACCAAGAGACCCAAAAUCCUUCAGUUAGUUAAGCCUUGAAAAAGACCAUUGUGGCUACUUCUAGGAAUCCCGGCUCAAGCCAUCGUACAUCUAGUUAUACUAGGGUAGCCAGGCUCAUCAGCGUCUGGAUAUUCGGAGUGUAAAGUUUAUCCUCCCGUCUUAGAGAGCUGACCCAUAUGAGUGUCGGGGAAUUGGUUUACCCUCUCACACUAGAGAGUAAUUAAUUUACCCUCUCGCACUGGAGAGCAAUUAGUUUACCCUCUCGCACUGGAGAGCAUGGUUGGUCCAUCGGGGGGCGCAAUUCCUGCGAUGAGUCCCUAAGAAGGGCGCAGUCUUCUUUUGAAGUGCAGGAAUGAUUAGUUGUUAUAAGCAUGUGAUCGAGUCAAGUUGUGAUUACUUCUAAAUUCCUCAUUGAAAAACGAGUGAAACGAACGAGAACUUAGCCGUAAGGUAGGAACUGCAUAACAACUGGAUAGUCCUCAACUUGUGUGGUGGUACCCAUCGAGCUUCUUGAGUCUUCGGGCUUUGAUGUAGUGGGAGGUUACACAUGGCACCUUUUCAGAUUGUAGGCGCUCUACUGCUUUUCGAACUUUUUUUUUGUUGUGUAAUUGCUCUUGCUGCCUACUCGGCUAAUCUUAUACAGACUUUCUCGGAUGAGAUUCAUCUUUUUGGAGCUUCUCUGCUGGCAGUGAUGAAGGCUUUUCUUAGGACUAGAUCUCUGGGCUGGAACUGCCAGAUUUUGGCCUUUUUGUUGUGGCUGGAAAAGAACCACUGCUGGUAAGUUGUAAUGCAGAUGAUAGUCUGCUCGCACUUCUCCUCUGCCAAAUUUAAGCUUGUGGCCAUCUCCUUUCGGUUGCUCGUCUUUUGGUGUUGCGAUGUGCCCAUAGACAUCCAGGGAGUUUGUCUGGCCAUUUUCUUUUCUUAUUGGUAGGGGAUUUCUUGUGGCAGUCGAGGAUCAUCUUAGUGGAUGUUUUGGCCAGCCUAUUGCCUUGAGGAUAUCUUGGCGUAGACAUGUGCUGCUUGAUGCCAUAUUUUUAGAAGAAUUUCGCCAAAUCUUUGCCCACGAAUUACGGGCCGUUGUUGGUGACGAUGGAUUAAGGUAUGCCAAAUCGGCAAAUGAUGCUCUUUCAUAUGAAGCGCUCUAUGUCCGUUUGAAUUGUGAUCGUCAUGGGCUCUGCUUCUACCUAUUUGGUGAAAUAGUUGGUUGCCACGAUCAUCAUGCAUUUGCCCUUAGUAGUCUGGCUGGUGAUUAGCUGGGAAUCAGAAUGAAUUGAAAGCUUUUUCACCACCAAGUCUUUUGUCACUCGAAGGCCUGCUAGUGGGGCUUUGUACUCUGCUUCGUUGUUAGGUGCUUUGACGCUUAGAGUGAUCGCUUACUCGAGCAUUGAACCGUCUGGGGUGGCAAGAACCACGGUUACUUAUAAGCCUUUGUAGUUGGAUGCGCCGUCGACAUGCAAAUGCCAGAAAUUUCCAUUGAGGGAGUAGGUAUGGCUAAAGUGUGCUCGGCUACCUUCGAAGCGUCGUUGGGCCGCUUUGUUACAUUGUCAAGGCUAGGUUUGAAGGCGCGGUAGAGAGUCGUGGAGCUGGGGCCAUGUUACAUGUAGCAGGAGAUGCUCAACUUCCGGUAUUAGGCCACUCUAGAGCUGAAUAAUGGAGCAAAGGUCGGCUAGGGUCGUAUGACGCGCAGCAGAAGGUAGUGCUCGACUGCUAGUACAUGUUGCUCUUACGUAGAAUCUUCUGAGGCGACGAGGACAAAACUUGCUUUUAAGUGUUCCUUCUAGUGUUCGUCUGCCCUUGGCGUGUCUUUUGGGCUGAGUUGUUGCGUUCGUCAGAAAACUUUGCAUCUGCCAGGGUUUACGUCUUUAUCAUCACGGGUUUGGAUUAGGCGGAAUAGUGCGUCAUGAUGAUGACUGCGUACAUUUGAAGGUAAAACUUAAGCUUUUGGGUUACAACAACUAUCACCAAAGUUAGCUUUUGAAUUUUUAAUAGCAUCGAGGAGAGCUUUUGAACUAUAAAAUACAUGUAGUUGGGCCCCCAACUCUUCUCGCAUGACGGUACAGCUUAUUUCUACUUUAGAUACCGUCAAACAUGCGAAUAAGUCCUCUGCUGCUUCUAGGGAGGUGAUGUUGGGUACUUCUUCAAGCCCUUGAAUGUGCAUUGGCGAGCCUCAUCCCAAAGUGCAUGCUUCUCUGCCAAAGAAAAAGAGUCUACCAGAGUUAGAUAUUCUUUCAUGAUCAAUUUUCUAAAUAGCGGUGGUCUGCUGGAAGGCCUUUUUGGAAGGCUGCUCUAGCUAUUGAGUCGCUGCAUCCGACUAUCAUUGCCUUCUCUGUUUUGAAUCUCUUCACAUAGUCACGAAGUGACUCCUUUGGGUUCUUUUUUACGUCAAACAAAUGGUCGGACUUCUUUUUGAUCGAGCAAUAAGAUGAAUAUUCUUUGGUGAAAACCAAAGAAAGUUCGUAGAAAUUCUAGAUAGAUUGUGGCGGCAGGGUGUAGAACCAAUCUUGUGCCUCGCCUUCAUAGUGGUGGCGAAUAUCUUGCACAUGAGAUCAUCGUUGUUUCGAUAAAGGAUCAUUGUGCUUCGGUAGCGCUUUAAGUGUCUCUUCGGGUCUUCAUCCCCUUUGAAAGAUAUGAAAUGUUGCAUACUGAACUCGCAUGGAGGCUCUGCCAGCUCGAUCUCAUCCGUGAAGGGUGACCUGCUUAUGUUGGUCAUGUUCCGUCGUAGUGCCUCGUCGGUGACCUUGUUGCGUUAGAAAUCAUGCAAUCGCUUGAUUAAAAGUCUCUCUACUUCUUCCUGAAUUUUCAUUUGUUAGGGUAGCAGAGCUCUCGGCUGCCCCUAGCCAUAACUUACUGGUCUAGGAUGCUCUUCCAUGUGUUUGGCUCGUAUACCGUGGAUGCAGUGUAUGUGGUGCGGUCCUAGUAGGUGAGCGAGUUCUUCGCAGGCUGCUAGUUGAACUUGAGCUGGAUUGAGUGACUACUUCUCUCCGUCCGUCGUGCUGCCUACUCCAAUGUGAGGUGAAAGAUGCUCCUUGCAGGCUUAGCCACGAAUGAACACUUUACCUGGAAGGUUGCUCAUGUUGACUAUCAGAGUAUGACCCUAACCGUGAAUGUAUAUUCACCCGUGGGCUUAGUCGAGAGUGCACGCUCCUCCGCGCGCUAAGACGAGAGUAUACGUUAUCUCGGGAGCCCAAUUGGGAGUGUACACUGCCCGAACGCUCGGCUCGUGGCUGGUCGAGUGGCUGCUUGCCGAAACGCUGCGGGAAAGGUUCGUCUGCCCUUGUCCUACUUCGGGAUACCUUGUUUGGGGCACGUUGGAUUCUGGUGCAUUGCAAAAGUUGAUUCACCAAGGUUGUCUGUUGUGCAAGGGUGCUCGUAAACGCUACGACUUGUCGAGACAAGUGUUGUUCGUCAUUUGGAUUGGAAUAGCUUGGAAGGAAUGUGCCUUCUUGGGCAGUGGAAGGGUGGUAGACUCCGGGCUCGAGAUUUGAGUUGGGAAAUGUCAAAUCUACGAAAAAAUGUGGUGAGAAUGCCCCCGGCUCGAUGGUAGGUCCGGAUGGUUGAGAUAGUCUUGGGCCGACUUGGGCUGCUUGGAAAGCCACGGGAGCAGGCUGGGCCACGAGAGUGAGCUGCUCGGCAGGAGUAGGCUGGGCUACGAGAGUGGGCUGCUCGGCAGGAGCAAACUGCUUGGAGUGUGAUGCACAUGGGUGCGAGGCUUGGGCUCGGCUUGGUAACACAUUGAGUUCGGGUUUGGCUUGGAGUGACAUGACUUGGGCCGUGGCCUUGGUGUCGUGAGCCUUGGAUGGCACGGCUCGGGCAGUGGUAGCUGUGCCAUGGACCUCGCCGCGGGUAGUGGUGACCGUGAUGGCCACCGCGGUGGUUGCCAUGGUGGAGCCCCGUAGUGAUGGUGCCGCUCCUAUGAUCACAUUUAGCCUCGUGGAUCGUCGUGGUCCCAUUUCUUGAAUAUUAGAAUUUUCACUUAUGGAAUUUUCUAAAUUUCUAGCCAUUAUAUUUUUCUUAUACGUUUUAUCAAAGAACCUUUGCAAAUAAAAAAUUCUAAUAAUAAGAACGUAUGAAAAAAUAUUCAAAUGGACUAGAAAAUAGAGAAAAACCUUUUUAUGCGAGAGUCUUCUACGAGUAUAGAUCUCAACUCUCAAUGAAAGCACCAAUUUGUGGAUGCAAAUUUCUUCCUCCUUGAUCCUAGACAAUUUUGCACCUACAAAACAAUUAACACCUUAGGUUAAGGCCAAGAGCCUCACACGCCCACGAUGAAUGGGGGGGCUUUGGCCGAAGAACCUCUGAUGCCAAAGUUAGAAUUUAGAGAGAUAGAGUGUUCAGAGAAUUUUGAGAUUUUUGCCAAAGUGUUGGAAUGGAUUUUUGGUGAGAAUGGGAUCACUUUUAUAGGGAUAGGAAGUGGCCGGCCUAGCUAGGGUUUUUGGGUUUAAUUUAGGUUUAAUUAGUCAAUUUAUUUGGCUAAUUAAACCCUAAAGAAUAAAUUGGUGGUUACAAAAUUGAUUAUUUGUAUAAAUGGGGUAAUAAAAUGGAGAAAGGUGAAAAAGGUUAGGAAAAGGGAGGUGGCCGGCUUCUUAGUGGUUUUAGGUGUGAGUGGGUGUUUUAAUUGAUAAUUAAGGGAUUCAUUAGGUAAUUAAUCAAUUUUUAGGGAAUAUGAAAGGAAAAUAUUAUUUAGCUAAUUGAUUAGCUAAAUAAUGGAAUACAAAAUAUAUAGAACAAAUUAGGUAUUAGGAAUUACCUUAUAGAAAGGAUUUGAUGAAAUAAGCUUUAAAUUGUUACCUAUUUUGGGCACUUUUGACUUGGUUGAGGAUGAUUGUCUGCCGCUCACGCGUAGGAAUCUCGAUAUGCCUCAAGGGUAUUUUUGUUCUCUUUUACCCAAAAAUCCACGUGUCGCCUUGUGAUUAUUUUGGCUCCACAACAACCACGUCAGCAUUUAACAGACCAAUGGAUGGAAAAUCUAACGGAGGUAUUAUUUUGAAAUAAAAUAACAAGUGAGGUAUGAAAGUGAAAUGUUUUAAAGAUGUUGUAUGGGGUUGUAAUAGACCUCAAACUUGAGGGUCCUAUGUAAUUUACCUAUUUUUAUGUUAAUUAUGAAUAGGUCAAUCAUGUAGAACCAAAUUAAAAGCUAACAUCAAUAACAACUACCAGAGACAAAAGCUCUAAUCAAUGCUUCGGAAACAUAGUCUUGUAUCUCUAGGUGUAAUGAUAUAAUUUGUUGGAAACUUAAAAGAAAAUUGGUGAUUUUGUAUAUAAUCGAUAAAAAGUUAUAAUAGUGACAAUAUAUCAGUAAUAUUUAUGUUAAUUAGGAAUAGGUCAAUCAUGUAUUUAAUACUUACAUGCAUUUAAAAUAAACACCUUAUCAAUGUUUUUUUAACUGUGCUCAGUUUUUCUCCUUCGCUUUGGUUUUGUUCUAUUGGAUUUUUCAACUAUCAUUAAUUGUGAACAUAACUGAUCAUUGAGACACAAACAUCCAAGGGAGAGUACCGUGGAACAAAAUGUGGAUAUCUUUAUACAUUGUAUGGUAGUAAACCAUCAUAAACACCAUAAUAAUGUAGAAACGCUCUUGGGGUACCUUUGGAUGAUAACUCAUGUAUUUGUUGCCCUACGUAAAGAUGGCUAAUGAUAAUGGAAGUCUAAUUUUCUCAUCCCAAUCUCUCCUGUCUCUCUUGUUCUCUUUUCUCUAUAGUUUAUUUCCAACAAGUUGUGUUAUUUUUUUUUUUUAGUAUUGUUAAGCAACCAAUAGAUUUUAAUUAGCAGUCUUUGUUUUUUUCUUUUAUAUUUUUAAUCAAUUUCAGUUGCUUAUCCGUUCUAGCAAAUUGAGCUCUUUUACAGCAAUUUUUUUCUUUAAAUGAAAUUAUUAUUAUUAAAAGAGUGAGAAAAUUCGAAAUUAUUACAACAAUUUAAAAAAAAGAAGUUUCGAAUCAUAAACACAGAGGGAGUUUACAACAUUUUAAUUAAGAAAUUAGGCUUCAGCUCAACUCAUCUUUGCAACGUCGGUUCCACUUCACAUCAACAUGCAAUGUUUCAGAAGGUCACGCGGUUUUGGGGUUGUUGUGUACCAAUAAUAUUAUAUAUAUAUAAAUUAGGAUUGAAGGAUACACGCAUUUUGUAGAGCUUAUUUUGUUAUGUAUUUUAAUGAUUUAAAUGCUUACGUUUUUCUUCACUACAAAUGAGUGAAUUAAUGAUUUUAGAAUUUGUCUAAUUUUUUACAUUGAUUAUUUAUGAAUAUUGAAUUGAAAUAUAGACGAUUCAAAAAUCGUUGAUAUACAUUACAAAAUGAACUCCACAAAAUAAGCGUCAAAAUAUGUAUAUAAAAUGGACAGCGUGAAAGGCUUGGAAAUUGGAAUAGGUUUGAAAAUUGUGCUUUUUGUAGCAAAUUGUAGCAAAGUUUGCUUGGACUUUCACAACCGUAUAAAUUAUGCCGCAGCACUCUCUAUUUUCUCUCUCGCUCUAUAUCGUGGUCCCUCUCUCUCGCCGUCCUCGAUUGCUCGAACUCACUAUCCUUUAUUGCUCGAACUCACCGUCCUCAAUUGCUCGAACCCACUGUCCUUUAUUGCUCGAACUCACUGUCUCCAACUUCCUCUGUUUGGUUCCCGAUGAAGAUGGUAAAACAGUAGGGGCAAGAAAUUAUGACAAUGUUAGAUUUGCAUAUUAAUCUGGUAGGGCUACAAUUCUCCAAUCCACACCCCUUCCAUCUAUGCUAGUGUUUGUACCCAAUAUUAGAUAUCCGGUCUGUGCAAUCGAGAUCGUUGAAUGAGAAAAAUUCUAAGCCGUGGGAUCAAAUAUAAUGAUGUGGAUUAAAUAAGAAAAAUUUAAAUGUUUAUCUUGGUUGAAUUACCAUGAUAAUAUUGUGGAAUUAUCUUCUGCAUAACGGGAUAGCGAGAAAAGUCCAAGGGUGUAGGGAAGUUGUGUGGCUGACUACCGCUUUUUUUUAUGGUGUCAUUAGUAGAGUAAUAUCACACUUAACAUUUAUUUGUACCAUCUCUCUAAUAAAGAUAAAGACCAUCAAUGCAUAAAUAAUGAUACAAAUAUAUAAUAAGAGUAUCAUAUUUGUAACUAGAAUAGGAGAAGAAAGACUUCAAGAUGGGGUCAGCCAAAUAAUUAGCGUCAGGAUAAAAAUAUGAGUAAUGAUAUUUGUAAACAUCGAAAUUUCGGUAAAUAAAUGUUGACCGAUAAAUCAAAGUUUCAACGCUCAUGUAUUACAUAAAUUUUACACGUAGCGUAUGUCUAAACAAAAAAUCGAAAUAAGUUGGAAAAGUCAUCAAACAGGACACAUGUCAACACCUGGCAGAAACGACUUAUUUCAUCUGGAAUAUUAUAUUCAAAAUUAGGCAUUGGAAAAUUCUAUAAAUAGAAGCCAAUUUCAUUCAUUUGAAGGAACCAAAAUCAUUAGGCAAAAUUCUUGAAGCUCUGAAGCUCUGAAACUCCGAAACUCUCAAGCAUCCAGGUUCCCGAAGAAUCAAGAAAGCUCUCUUCGUUCUUCGUUCUUCGUUCAUCGUUCAUCCUAAGAUCAAGCUCCAACGGCCCUUUAGAUCAACAAUCAUCCACUAAUUCAAGAUCAAGCCCCGACGGCCCUUGAAGAAAGUGUUCUUCAUUCUUCGUUCAUCGUUCUUCCAAGAUCAAGCCCCAACGGCCCUUUGGAUUAACAAUCAUCCACCAAUUCAAGAUCAAGCCCCAACGGCCCUUGAAGAAAGUGUUCUUCGUUCUUCGUUCAUCGUUCUUCCAAGAUCAAGCCCCAACGGCCCUUUGGAUUAACAAUCAUCCACCAAUUCAAGAUCAAGCCCCAACGGCCCUUGAAGAAAGUGUUCUUCGUUCUUCGUUCAUCGUUCUUCCAAGAUCAAGCCCCGACGGCCCUUGGAUCAACAAUCCACCAAUUCAAGAUCAAGCCCCAAAGACCCUUGAAGAACUUCUACCAAUUCAAGAUCAAGCCCUGACGGCCCUUGAAGAAAGUGUUCAUUGUUCAUCAUCCGUUCAUCCCGAAGAAUCAAGAAAGCCUUAUUCGUUCUUCGUUCAUCGUUCUUCCAAGAUCAAGCCCCGACGGCCCUUGGGUCAACAUCAUCAACAAAUCCACACAUCCAACCGUUCUUCAAGAUCAAGCCCAAAAGCCCUUGAAGAUCCGUUCAUCACCGUUAUUCAAGAUCAAGCCUUAACGGCCCUUGAAGAAACACUCAUCCUCAAGAUCAAGCCCCAACGGCUCCUUGAAGAUCCGCUCAAAUCCACCUUCAAAGAUCAAGCCCACGGCCCCUUGAAGAAACAUCCAACAGUUCAUCCAAGAUCAAGCCUCGACGGCCCUUGGAUCAACGAAACAUCUACAAAUCAACACCUUACGGAGAUCGAAUCAGAUGAUCAAAUUAGAGAGAGAUUGUAACCCUAAAUCAUCAAAAUACAAAUAUUAUUUUGUGCACGUUGUUCUUAUCUCUUUCGUUUCAGGAAAUUUUCGUGUUCACAAUAUUCUUACCAUCUAAAUAUACUAUAAUUUUAUACCAUCUUAUGUGGCAAUUGAGAUGGACUUCCACAUAAGUUUUAAAAAAAUCUCAUGUCAGCUAAGGUGGAUAUUUACGAUUUUACGAUUUUACUCAAUGAUUUUUAUUAAUAAAAUAAUUAAAAAAUAAUAAUGAAACCUACUUGCUCCCGUUUUCAAGCCUCAUCGCUGGGCCUCCUCCCUCUUCGCUCUCCAAUUUCACCUUCCUUCACCAACGAUCGAUGGUGCUCGACCCCCUUCAUCAUUGCCAACUGGCCGAAUAUCUUGAUGGUGCUCCCAGUGAUUGUUUUGCUCUGCCACCAAAUCAAGUUUGCAAUUUUAAUGGUUUAUGCCUUCUGGCCAAGUGUUGGAUUUGAUAGGUUUUUAAUUCCAGCAACAUUGAACAAAAAUAUGAAAAGGAUUGGAUACGAUAUUUUCCUCUGUUCUACUGCUGAGGAUUUUCCGAAUAGAAGAAGAUUUGGAAGACAACCUCUUUUCUUUUUUCUUCAUGGACUUUUGGUUAGCACCAAAAUCUUUUCCUAAUCCUCUAUAGGAAUGAAAAUUUCAUUCCAUGUUAUAUCCCGAUGUUGUCCAAGGUUUUGGCUUGAAUUUUCAUUGGAAUUAUCAUAUGUUGGAUCAGAUCAGGUGGAGAGAUGAAACGUAUCUAACAAGGAAGUUGAACGGGUAGGGUUUGAGCAAAAAUAAACAGAAAUUCCACCUAGGUUGACACCUAAGCUUCCACAUCAUGUGGUAUACUAAAUGUGGUAUAAUAAGAUGGUAAGAAUAGCAUUAUUGAAUGGGUAAUGUUAAGAGAAAUUUUUAGUUGUGACGGGAACACGGAUGGUACACCAUGCGUUUUUAUGUAAAUGGUGGAAAAUUUUAAUUUUUAAAUUAUUAACCUUUUAGCACACAUAUCCCACCAUUUAUAUGAAAACACGUGAUGUAUCACCUCGUGUGAUAGUCACAUUGAAAAAUCUCUCGUAAUGUUAGGAAAACUAAAUUUAUAAACAAAAGUUACAAAUUAAAUGAUGGGUUACCAAUAAGAAUGAUUACGUUUAUCAAUGCUUAAAUAAUAAAUCAUUCAUCAACUUCCAGUCCUUUAGUUUUUAAAAUUUUGUCUAACAUUACCCUUUCAAAACUCAUGAAAAUAAUUUUCAAUUUUUUUAACUGAAAAGUGAAAGUUACUAAACAAGAUUUCAGUUUUUAGCUUUCAAAAAAAUAAAAACAAAAGCUAAAAAUAAAAUGGUUAUCAAACAUCCCUAGAAGUCAUUCUUAGUGAUAGUAAGGUCAUCUCCAACCGAAAGAUCCAGGGGGCUAGAGGGCCGAAAAUAGUCUGAAAACCAUUUCCAAUCAAAGGCCAUGCCAAAGGGGUCGUGGACCCCAUUAGACAAAAAAGGGCCAAAGGGCCAACUGGCUGGCCCCAGUUCCAACAAUAACUAGAUGACGUCAGUUAACCGUUAUUUUUGAAUUUUUUUUUUAACAAAUUUUAACUUUCUAAGCCAUUAAACAACAUUAAAUUAAGUAAAAAAGAAAAUUCCUAUAACUUCCUAAGUCAUUAAACAAUAUUAAAUUAAGUAACAUGAAACAACAUUAAACAAUAUUAAACAAAAUUAAACAAUAUUAAACAACAUUAAAUAACAUUUAACAACAUAAAAAUUAUACAACAUAAAAAAAAACAUUUAAGAACAUAAAAUUUAAAUGCCUACUUCAUGCUUCUUUUGGCCCAAAGAUGUGCAACAAGAUCCUAAUGUAGGUACUUGUUUGUGGCACGAGAGCGUAUCAUCCUAACCGUUAGAUUUGAUUUUUUUUUGUUUUCGGCCAAAUUUUUUUAAAUUUAAAAAUAAAUUAUGUUUGACCUUUUGGCCCUCGAUUGGAGAUAGUUUUUUUUGUGACAUGACUAUGUUUAGCCCUAUGACCCUUUGGCCCUCAGUUAGAGAUGGUAAGAAAUAUGACCCAACAAUGUUCAUUAAAAUAUUAAUUUCUUGAAGAGCCAGAGGGCUAAAACGAGCCAUCCUUCGGUUGGAGAUGGCCUAAGAAGAGACUAGAGAUAGAGAGAUUCCUAUACUUAGCUGUGAGAGUUUCCUAUAUAUGAUUUUCAUUAACAAGAUUGAACUGAUUACAUAGAGAAGAAGAUCAAGUAUGGUUAUUUUUAUUUGGGAGACUUUGGAUGUGGUCCUUAGUUAUGAAUAUUAUUUGAUUGAAAUCUUGUUGGUUUUUAAUUUUUUAUCAAGAUCCCUGAAAUUAAUGUGAUAAUUUAUUUCUAUGUAAGUUACUAUAUUUUUUUAAUUAGAAAUUAGAAAUUUUAGUUGUUUAUAUAAAUGAGAUUUUAAAUUAAAAAAACCAUAAUUUGUGGGAUUAAAAAUAUUAAAAUAUAAAUAUACUAUUGUGUGUGUGUGUGUGUGUGUGUGUGUAUAAAUAUGGGUACAUUCAUCAAAAUUAACCAAAAAAUUUAUUGUAUCAAAACAUGGGUACAUUCUUCAAAAUCACAAAAAAAGAAAGAUAUUAGGCUUAAUAACAUUAGUAAAUUUCUUCGAUUAAACUUGACAUGGAUACAUUUUAAAAUCAAAGAAAAAAAAUGUACCCAUAUAAGUUUAAAAAUGGAUUAGAAAAAAAAAUUGAAUAGAUUUUAUACAAAAAAAGGGUACGUUUUACAUAUAACAAAUUGGUAUAUUUAAGAAUGAGUACAUUUUAAGAUUAAAAAGUUUUACAUGAAUGGGUUCAUAUAAUUAGCAUGGGUACAUUUAGCAAAAUAAAAAGUACAAAUACAAAAAAAUAUAUGUGUACAAAUACAAAUAAACUUUAAAAAAUAUGGGCACAAAAAGAAAUUAAUAUAUGGGUACAAAUUAAAACCGAAAAGAAAAUUGGUACAAGUUAAAAAAGAAUUACAAAUUAAAAAUGGGUACAAACUAAAACUAAAAAUAUAUGAUAAAAAAUUUAGUCAUAAAUAUAAAUAUACUAAUUGUAACAUUUUUAACAUUAAAUGAAUAUAUUUAGACAUAAAAAAUAUAUUUUAUUAUUGAAAUAAUUAAUGAUGUUAUUAAUACCCAAGGACCUUGAUAAAAAAUUGAAAAGAAAUAGAAUUUUAAUCAAUGGAGUAGCAAAAGAAAAGAUGAGAACCUAAUUUCUCCUUUGUAUUGUGUAGACAUUAUAACUAUACAUUCAUAAUAACAUGAGUAAUGUUAUAUUUAUCACAUUUGUACUCUUUCUCCAAUAAAGAUAGGGUCCAUCAACACAUGUGGGUUCUAUUUGCCCAUCAACACAUGCGAAUCUCAUUUUUAUUAGAAAAAUAGUACAAAUAUGAUAUGGAAAUUAUGAUAAGAUCGCAAUUUUGUAAUAACAUAUAUACUCAACUAUUUAUAUACCAACUCAUCUCCCUUUAGUGUAGUUAAUAUUGUUUGUUCAACCAAAAAAAAAAAAACUGAACUUGUCAUAAUCAUUGAAUCCAUUUACCAUGAACAAACGGCAGUUUACUAAACUUGCCCUCAGAGUAUAUAUAAAAGGUGAAUCACAAUCUAUUGCAUUAAUAUAAGGAAACAAUUUAUAGGGUUUGACGGGUGACUUAAUAUGCUAUAUGGCACAAUGAAAAUUAAGUUCACACUUUAUCCCAAAUAAGGUGUUGCACCUUUAAUUUAUGGAUGCUGGUUUGACGUGUGACCGAAAUAAUCAAAUUGUAGCCAUUAAUCAUUUUACAAGUAAUAAUAUGUGGUUUUAUUGUUUACGAUUCACACAACAAUCUGCUAGGAAGUAGAAAAUGCAGUACUUGUCCCUCUCACAGAAGUCAUGAAUAAUUAUCAAAUUCAAAGAUAAAGAAAAACCACACAAUUUACAAGAGGAAAGAAAAUGAAGGGAUAAAGAAAGUAAGAAAGGAAUACCUCUAUGGGAGGACUCUUAUUUGCUUCAGAUGCCUACAAUAUUCAUCAUAUAAACACUGAUUAAGUAGUCAUCGAAAACCAAAACAAAUGUCGAACAUAGGGUGAAAAACAGAAAGAAUAACCGCAGCUCAUCAUACCAAUAGAGAUAGAACUGCCCGAUGCCCAAGUAUGACUGAAAAAUGGCAAUCCAAACAUGGCGCCUUCUAGCUCAUCAAACUGUCAAAACCUAGGUUCCACCAAAAAGAUACAAGUCACCUAGUUACUUGUAAAAUAAAAAUCUGUUUCAAAAUAGUGGAAAAUAUUAUUAACAUUGUUCAAAGUCCACAUUGUUGUACCUACCAAGAAACAAGAAGGAUUGUAUCUUAUCAUGAAAAAGAACAUAGGUACCUUUUCAAUUGUAAUUGUACAAAAAUGAGAGACCACUUCCGAACUUCUCUUGGAACUUCAAUCAAUUUCUGCCCACUUUUAAAUGCCUUGACAUACUUAAGCCUAUUUCUUUGAGCUUCAGUUUUGGCUUCUGAUGCCUUUAAAUUUCUUAAAGAUUCUUACCAAGUUUUACAAACUCACUUCUAUACAACCAUUUGUCAGUAUACAUACCAUUUUCUUUGAGCUUCAGUCUUUGCAACACCAAAACCCCCCAAAUAGACCCGGAAUUUUGCAAUGUGCAGGGAAUAUACAAAAAAAACCCUCCUAUCCAUCUAAAACGAAAUCAGAACGCAAACCACAAUCAAAAUCCGUAAAAUUAAUUUAGCCAACCCCUAAAUCUAAUAAUUCUAACAAAUAUUAUAGUAUCAAUUGAGAGAGAAUUUGAGAAGAUACCUAGAGAUGAAAGGAAGAGCGUUUCCUCUGAUAGGGGUUCCGUGAAAGCAUCUGUUGACCAGAAAAGAAAAGGCAAAAAACCCCAAAUUACAUAUCAAGCAAUUAUAGAUAGAUCGAACCUUGAAAAUUGAAAUUUCAAACAAGAGAAAGGUUAUAAACUUACAACGAUCUGGGUGUUGGUAACUGGGUUUGGAUUUGGGUUUCUGAUAAGAGAGAGAAUCGUAUGAGGAACCGAUAGAGGAACUGCACCGGCAACAGAGAGCAAUUGAUAUGGUGGAGAACAGACGAGAAUAGCUGCUUGGAUGGUCAAUCCAAGAAGAGAAAAUCUUGCCACAAUCGCGGUACUUGAAAAAAAAAAAAACAAGUUUAAAGGAGGGAAACAAUCGCGCCUUUUUCUAAUAGACUCUGUCGACGAUAUUCUUGACAAAUAGAUGCUUCGUCGGGUGAGCUUAUUUUUCACAACAUUUUAUUUAGGAUUGGGUUCGGUUGGUAAACCGUGUCAAAUUUCUUGUGCCACUUGCCAGCCACAUAUACAUAAUUACCGAAAAUCAGUUACCGUUAGCCAACCGUCUUCUUGCGGUUGCCAAAAAUCGGUUCAGCCAAAAUGAUUGGCUGGUUCGGUUGGUAAAUGGCACAACCGGUGGUUUCCACUUCUUCCUCGCUAUCUUCCAGUUCCAAGGGCUCAAUUUGAUUUUCAGAUUGGGAUGCUUGUUCGGUUGCAUUGUGUGGUUCAUUUUGGGUUAAUCCAUGUUGUGCACUAGUAGUUGAUUGGCUAGACUCCAUUAUCCUAAACAUAAGCAACAAAUAUACAUUCAAAAUAAUAUAUAUGUACGUGUAUAUAUAGUAUCAGUAAUCAUCAUGCUAUCAAUUUUGUUAACAAUAUUUUCUAUAUAUUGAUUUUGGCAUGAAUCAUAUACACAUACAUAUAUUUUUAAAACCCUAAAACUAAGGAGUCAUUUAUUUUCUAAACUCUAAAAUUGAGGAGUCAAGCAUGUAAAAAAAUACUUAAAAUAUCUAAAUAGAAAAAGAAAAAGAAAAAAAAAUAAAUAUAUAUAUAUAUCGGUAGGUAUGGCAUACCGCCGGCAUACAAAAUCAAUUACCAAAGCCAUGCCAUUAAUUGUCGGUUCGGUAAAAUGCCAACCGAUUAUGAAAAAAUGUCAAAACUAUACCAUACCAUUUUGAGCCAACCAGUAUGGUUUGGUCAGUAAAUCGGUUUAUGGCAAAAUUUCUCACCCCUAAUUUUAUUUGUCACCUUAAACCUAUUGGUUUCUAGCCUACAAUUCGGAUAUUUUGUUGGGGAAAGAUUUUUGUACCAAUAAAAUUUUGCUUUGUCGGCAAAAUGACAUUUUCUAGUAGUUAUAAUAUUAGGUAGAUCAAAUUUGUAAACUAUGUGAUGUGUCACUAAUAGGAAAAAAUUUCAGUGUGCUGAAAAUACGGUCUAGAACACCAAGUGUCAUAAUAUAUACUUGGUUGGAAAUCUUUUAUUUUCAAGUUUCCAACUAGUUGUAUUGUAACAGUUGGUGUUCCAAGCUAUUUUCUCCAUGCGCUGGAAAAUCUCUUCACUAAUUAAAAAUAAACAUAUUAAUUAACACUUAAGUAAUAAUCAAAGCAUCAACAACUACGUCAUAGAAUUUACGAAAUAUGAUCUUAAUUAAUGAUCUCCAUUACCCUUUAUCUUAGCGUAUACGUACGCCUUCACAUGUUUAUUUGCUGAUAUGCAGCUUGAGUAAAAAUUUCUUUUUAAGAACAUAUAUGUGAAUAUAAACAUAUAUAUCUAGUGAUCCAUGUUGCGUUAUUUAAAAAUAAACAAAUUAAUUAAUUAAUGAACUGUGUACCUGUCUGUGUAGAGUAAUCCAUAUGCAUGCUUGAAUCCUGAUCACCACGAAACCAUAAUAUAAGCUACUCAAGGCCCGGAAGCUAGGAUUGAAGAGAAAAACACCCAGUCAGAUUAAGCCAAUACAUCAAAGUUAAUACUUCCAAAUGUAAGCUUUAAGAUAGAAAAAUCACUUACUUCCUUGAGCAGUCGAGCUUCUUCAAUGGCAUGAAGCUUUUAGCAUGAGAUUGACUGCAUCACAACUAAAAUUUUCUCUUGGAAACUACAUAAGGAAUAGCAUGUAUACCUAUAACGUUGAGAAAGUACGCCAAUUUUUUCCUUCUGCACAUUCAUGUUUAAAAGUAAUCCUCAAAUGAACUUGCCCACAAUGAAAUGCAAUUUGAGGUAGUCGAGUGUGUUCCAUUUCCAUCCCAUCGGAAUUACUACUAAACUUUGAGAUGGUAGAGGAUUCAUGAAAUUUUUUACUUUUGAAAUAGUCUCCUUAGCAUUUCUCGACUAUAACAAUGAGGAAAUACUUCACCUUGUAUCAAACAAGGGAGACCGAAAAUCAACUACUAAUAGCAUCACAGAGCCAGCAGAAGAUUGAGGAGGCCAUGAAAAGGAAAGAGAAAAUACACUCUUUUUUUGUAAGGACAGAGAUAAUACAUUCAAUAAAGGGUACUGAUGUUUAUAUGCAAAGCUGAUUAGGUUUAAAUAGUCGUAUUUAUUCUGUACAGUGCCAAUAUUACCACCCGUUAGUACACUUUCAAGACACUGUAAUCCAGUGUAUGCACUAUGCAGUACGUAGUACUCCUCAUUUUUUUGGGGAAAUUCAUUAUUGGUCUUCAUAUCUUCUUUAUUUUCCUUGUCCUCAUUGUGCCACGUGUUUAAAUCACUAAUUAUAGGUAAUCUUUCAAUUUAAUUAAAUCUUAUGUAAAAAAAGAUAAUUAAAUAUCAUUUAGUAUUACAAUAUAGUGAUAUUCCUCUUUAGUAUAAAAUUUUUAUAAUUAAAAGCGUUCAGCUUUUUAAUCUUCAUUGGAAUAUUAUCUAUAAAGAAAAAUUAUUCGAAUCAGAGAUCAUUUAUGCAUUCAAAUGUAUAAAAUACAUCGACAGUGUGAGAACCAACUAAUAUAUUUUUGAUGAAGUACAAUUAUUGAAUACAUUUGAACGAUCAAAUGAUAUAUGAUUCAAAAUACAUAUUAAGAUAAUAAAUAUAAAAGAAUUGUUAUUUGCACUUCAAGAAUCUCAUUCUACACUCUAAAUUUUCUAUAUAUUAAAAGAAAAAUAAAUUUGUGAAAAGUGUAGAAUGAGGUUUUUUUAAAUGCUAAUAACACUUCUCUAAAUACAAUUAUGAAAUUAAUUAAGUAAAGAUACAUGACCUCGUGAAUGAUGAAUGUAUUAUUCAAAAAAAUAUUAAAAACAAAUUGAAAAAGGACGCUGUUGUUGCCACCACUUAUGCAAUGAUCGUCGCUGCCAUCACCAACCCCCAACACCCCAUUACAGCUCAUAAAAGCACAUCAUAAGCAAUUUAUGAAAUAAAUUUACUGGAAUACUAAUUUCCCCCUUAGUUUAGGUCACCAAUGUUUAAAUUUAGGGAUCGUGAUAUCCACACACAUUUUUUACUUCUUUCACACUUUUUUUUUCGGUUGUCGGAUCAGAUGAAUUGAAGAAAAUCAAUGAACAGAAAUUAACAAGGGGUGUGUGAGAAGUAAAAAUGAAUGUGUGGAUAACACACCCCUAAAUUUAUCACAACUUUCAUUCCAAAUUUAAUUUUUAUCCGUAGUUUUGUUUGUUCAAAUUUACUUUGACAUUUCCAUUAGUAUUAAAAUCUAAUUUAAAUUUUAGUGUUCAAGCUAGAAAAAGUGUUCCAUUUAAUAUUUAAUCUCAGUUUUUCUCUUUAUUCUUUUAUUGGGAUUUGGUUGCAUCGUAUCUCCAUUUUUCUCGGUGUUGUAUGUUCAUAAGGCCUGUGAAACGUUGGCACGGAGUGAAGGGUACUCACUUUUUGGCCCAAAAUGCAUAAGGCAUGUAGAUAUGUUAAUCAAAUUUUGUAAACUAAAGGAUAUAGAAGUUGAUAAUUAGAUUAUAAUUUAAGAUAAUACUAAGGAGACUAAAUUUGCAAACUAAAUGAUGUGUCACCAAUAAAAAUAAGCACGUUUAUCAACAAUUAAGUAAUAAAUCAAUCAUCAACUUUCAUGUCCUUUAGUUUCCAAGAUUUAAUAUACAAAUUUAGUCUCCCAAGCAUUACUCUAUUACUUAAGUAUUGAUUAACAGACUUAUUUCUUAUGGUGACACAUUAUUUAGUUUACAAUUUUAGUCUACCCAACAUUACUCUUUUGAAAUUGUCUUGUCCACUGAUAUAAUUCUAUUUUUCUUGUGAUCAAAACUUCAAAUGUUAGCAAGUCGCACGUAAAGUCGCUUAUGAGAGAAUGUGCUCACAUUGUAGUUGAAAGAUUAUGUGGCUAGCAACAUUACAAAUUUAAUUUGGUAUAAUUCUAAAAUAUAGAUUGAGGAAAAAAUGAUCACAUUAACUAGAAACUGAAAAGGUUUCAGCACAGUUUGUUCAAGCAAGAAAUUCAAUUUUGAUGCUACCGAUCUUAACAGCCUGAGCGCCGUACCUGGGCACCAAAGUCACCACCACACUCUCAUCAUCUUCAGCACCCAAAUCCUCCAACAGGUCCGUUAACCCCAACCUUAAACAACUCUUGCUCUUUUCCUUCUGCUUAUGUGGCACACUCACAAAACUCCCAGCAAACUCGCUCUUGUCGGGUCCACUCGGUGCCGCAUCCUCAUCGUCCACGUCAUUCACAUACACACAUCAAACUUCACAGCCACAUCUUUGUCAAGCUCAAUCCCCUGAAUCACCAAUAUCUCCUCCUCAUCCUCUUUCUCCUUCUUGCUCCUCUUCUUCGGCUUCGGCCUUGACACCACCGUACUUAUCUUCGUCUCCAAAUUUAUUGGAAAAUCUUUACCCGCCACCACCUUCCCUGAUGACGUCGUCUCAGUGGCCUUCGCCACUCCAGCCGCCUUUGCCUUUCUCGCAAGCUUUGUCCGACGUGGCGUCGGUCUAGACUUGAGCCAUGGAAUCUCAACAUCUUCAUACGUAUACCCUAGCUUUUUAUUAUCAAGAGUGUCCCUCACCGUGACCCUAACAAGCUCAGCAUUCUCGUCAUAAAACAAAAACCCCGUAUCCAACCAAUCCUUAUCGUUAAUAUCGUUAUUUUUAGUCCCUAUACUUUUCCAAAUAUUCCACAUUCGAUCUAUAUUCGAAUGGUGCGAAAAAAAUAUUGGAUCCCUUGCAGCGGAGUAAAAAUUCCCCAUGUCUUCAAAAUUAGGCUGCGUGUUAUCUCCGGUCCAUAAAUGAACCGGACCAUGUGGGGUCGUUUCGAUUGAACCGCCCCCUGGAUCUGGUUCAGUGUCAGCCCUGUAGGGCGAACCAAAGAACAACAGCGGUUUCUUGGAGUUGGAAACCAUCUGCCUAUACAUGAUUUUGAGGUUGGCGUCGAUUUGAGCAUCCUUGGACAUUGUUUCAUCCGUGCCGUUGAAGUCAAGAUCGAUGAGAGUCGGCGGCUGAUGGCUGGCAGCGCGGAGCUCGUCGUAAAGCGGAGAGUCCGGGUUAGCGAACAAGGCAGGGAGUUGCAUGCCAGCUGGCGCGUCCCAGUUCCAAAACGGCAACGCGAACGUCGGAUCGUCUAUGAGUUUGGCCAAGAUUCUUUCGUAGAAGUAUACGUAGUAACGAUGGAAGGGGAAGAAAAGCCAGCAUUGAUGGAUUUGGAGCUCGAGGUUGGGGAAGCCGACUUGGUCGUACGCGCCGUCGCAAUAGGCACAGUGGAGAUCGGCUUGCUGGGUGAAGCUACGCGGAUCGUCGUCCGGGAGGGCUUUCAUGAGCUCGAUGGCUUUUGAAUAUUUUUCGAUGUAGGCUUUAUCCACGGUGUGAGCUGCCGGCCUGACGCGGAGUUUGGUAGGGGAGGGGAAUUUGAAGUCUACGAUUUUUUGGGACGUUGGCGGGCAACAGUUGAUCGGGACUGCUCCACUUGGAAAGUCCGCAGCUCCGCAUUUGGCUAGGUCAGGCGGCAACACUGGCUUUGCAACAGCGAAGGGGUCGCUGCCAAGACCAGCCACUCCGGCUUUGCAACAGCGAAGGGGUCGCUGCCAAGACCAGCCACUCCACCGUAGAGGCUUCCGAGACCUAUAAGAAGAUAGAAUUCAGUUCUUGGCAGUAGAGGACUCUAUUGCAGGGAAAAACUGAUUUGAAUUAGGAAGGCUUAAGUAGUUUUCCAUAAGGAUUUUAAUAGGGAAUCCAUAUUCUAAUAUGAGAAGGAUAUGUGUGUACAUAUAUAUAUAUAUAUAUGGCAAUCUCUUCUCUCACAGGUGUGUGCUCUUUUGGAACUAAGCCCUAUUCUUAGUUUGAGUGAUAAAUACCCUGACAGAGAGAAGAAGAAUUGAUGUGCUUUUCAGGUUGAUCGAGAUCCACCAUGACUGCAUCAAACGGGAGUUCUACAGGUUAGUAUAAUUAGGUUUUAUUUGGAUUGAUGUUUUGUGUCUACUUGGUUGUAGUUUAAGUAACUGAAUCUUGCAGCUAGAUUUUGGUUUACAUGUGGUAUCAGAGCCAUAGAUUCAUGUUCUUAAAUUCAAUCGAUAAAAUUGAUUGAAUCCAAAAUAAAAUUCCGAUCUUCAGACUUCGAAACAGGUUCUGGUAGUUAAAAUUAGGAAAAGAAGAAACGGUGCGUUUUGAUUAAAAUAUGAUGAUUAAUACUUGACCGUUAAGAGCUAAUAAACUAUCUUCUCUUCCGAAUUGGGAAUACAAAUCGACAUCUAUCGAUUUCGAUUUCGGGGUUUGAAAAACUGGGUUAUAUGACAUCUAUCGAUUUCGAUUUCGAGGUUUGAAAAACUGGGUUAUAUGAAUUGUUAUUGAGUAUCCACAAUUUAUAUUAAUUGCUUCCGCUGCUGGGUGUUGAUGCUCAUAGAACAAACGGGUAUGUCUCCUGAACAUUGAAUUGAAAUUUGUUUUUUAAUCAAUCUUAUCUUGAAUUUCAUUAUGUUCUACAGCAUGAUUCGAAUAGUGAGCAUAAAAAUAUGCUUAUUUAUGCUGAUUAGUCCUAUGUUUAUGCGUUUUUCUCUAACCAUCUAUGGAAGGGAGUUCUUCGAUAAGAACCUCUGCAGAUUUCACUUGUUUUAUGCAGAAAGUUUUAUGAAGAACUGUUCAUUUGAUAAAGAUCUGCUAAAACUGUGUUCUUAAAUGGAAAAAUCUUUUAUUCUAUAUGUGCUUAUCAAUUCUUCAUUGUUAAGAUUAUAUAUAUGGAUAAAAGGUUUUGAUGAUAUGAUGUACAAAGGAUUGUGAGAUGAAAUCUGGAACUCUAAACGUUCUUCUGUGAUUCAUUGUGAUUUCAUUGUGCUACAGUGUCUGCAAUAUCAAUGAAGACUCUGAAUUUGGCUAACAUCCCAAUUCUUACUGGUGGGGGAAAUUACAAGAAGUGGAGAAGGGAAAUCAGUUUGCUGUUGACUCUAAACGAGUUUGAUAUAGCAAUCGAGAAUCCCAAACCCGUGGUCAAUGAUCAGAGCAGCACAAGGGCUGAAAAGGCAGAUUUUGAGAGAUGGACAAGGGCUAAUAAGGUAGCAUUGUCCAUCCUUGAGAGUGGCAUGACUGAUACAAUCAGAUGAGGAAUUAAGAAGCACGAUUUGGCUGCUGAUUACCUAAAAGCUAUUGAAAAGAAAUUUCAAGAAUCUGAAAAAGCUGAAGUGAGUCAGUAUAUGUCUUUAUUAACUACUUACAAGAUGGAGGGUACAAGCUCUAUAAGGGAUCACAUAAUGAAGAUGACAUAUGCUGCAGAAAGACUCAAUGCAAUGGAUAUAAACAUAGGUGAAAAGCAGUUAGUAUUCAUGAUUCUUCAAGCACUUCCCAGUAAAUAUAGUCAGUUGAAGAUCUCCUACAAUACUCAAGACAAAAACUGGGAUAUUGAUCAGUUGAUUGCACAGUGUGUGCAAGAAGAAACUCGUCAAAAACAAGAAAGAGGCAAAGAAGUUGAGGACAUCAACUUUGUGCAAACUAUAAAUGACAAAAAGCAGUUCAACAACAGAAGCUUUUCUGGUUCUGGUAAGAGUUCUAAGCCUUUUAAAACUUCUAAUAAGUUCAGUAAUUCUGCUAAAGUAGUUGACUCCCCUAGAAAAUCUAUCAAGUUUAAAGCUAAACCUAAAGAUGUGUCUAAAUUAAAAAUGUUUUUGGUGCAAAACUAAGGGCCAUUUAAAAGUUAACUGUGAAAUUUUCAAAGAUUAUGUAAAGAGCAAAGAAAAGGAACAAGUACUUGUCUGUAUUGAAUCAAAUUUGUGAAGUAUACCUGUUGAUUCUUGGUGGUUUUGAUAUACCGGAUGCUCAGUGCAUAUAACUAAUUCUUUAAAUGGUUUUCAAAAACAAAAGGAAUUUGGAAAUGCUACAUAUAAUGUUUUUGUUGGGGAAGGAACUAAAGUUGCAGUAGAGUCAAUUGGGAUAGUCAAAUUAGUCUUAUGUUCUGGUUAUGUUUUAGAGUUGAAAGAUGUGUGCUAUAUGUGCCUAAGAUGAGAAGAAACUUAAUUUCUGCCCUCUAAAAUUGUAAAAGAUGGUUUUUCUUUUCUUGGUGAUGAUGAGUGCCUCAAAAAUUUUCAAGAAAAACUGUCCUUGUCCUAACACUAUUUUAGGGACUGCUUUUUUGUCUGAUAAUUUAUGGAAUCUAAAUUGCACUGUUAAGGCACUCAAUCACACGAUUUUCAGCAUUAGUACUAAGAGAAUGAUAGGUCAGGAUACUUCAUACAUUUUAUGGCACAAAAGACUAGGACACAUCUCUAAAGAAAGGAUAAUUAAGCUGUAAAAAACUGACUUGAUUCCAAAAUUAGAUCUUUCUACUGCAACUGAAUGUGUUGACUGCCUAAAGGGUAAAAUGACCAAUUUUAGAAAAACAGAUGCCAAAAUGAGCCAGGGGUUACUUGAAAUCAUACACACUGAUAUCUGUGGUCCUUUUCCAGUUAAGACAAUAUGUGGAAACAAGUAUUUCAUUAAUUUCAUAGAUGAUUUUUCAAGGCUGGGAUAUACCUUUCUGAUUAAUGAAAAAGCUGAUGCCCUUAAGUGUUUUAUAAUUUACAAAACUGAGGUUGAAAAACAGUUAGGCAAGGUUAUUAAAAUUGUUAGAUCGGAUAGGGGAGGUGAAUACUUUGGCAGGUACACUGAAUCCGGGCAGCAAAAGGGACCAUUUGCUCUCUAUCUCGAGAAGAAUGGUAUUGUGGCGCAGUACACCACACCUGGAACGCCUCAACAGAAUGGUGUUUUUGAAAGAAGAAACAGGACUCUUAUUGGUAUGGUUAGAAGCAUGAUGUCCAGAUCAAAAUUGCCAGGAUUCUUGUGGGGAGAAGCUUUGAAAACAGCUAAUCAUAUAUUGAAUCGAGUUCCAAGCAAGGCAGUAUCUACCACACCCUAUGAGUUAUGGCAUGGGAGAGUUCCUAGUUUUACUUAUUUCCAUGUUUGGGGUUGUAAAGCAGAAGCUAAGUUAUAUAAUCCUAAUGAAAGAAAGCUGGAUUCAAGGACUCAGUCAUGUUAUUUUAUUGGCUAUCCUGAGAAAUCAAAAGGAUACAGGUUCUAUAUCCCUCAAGGUCACACUCGGAUCCAAGAGACACACAAUGCAGUUUUCCUAGAAGAUGAAGAUGUCUCUCAUUUGUCAAGGGAAAAUUUCAUAUUUGAAGAGAUGCAUUCAGAUGGUGGGGACCAUGUGACAAUGGAUUAUAAUAUCGGUCUCAUUGUUUCCCAAUCAAUCAUCAAUUGCCAUUGAAGAUAUGAGUGAAGAUUUAGGAGUUCCUGAUGACAACUCUGUAGGAGUUGAUUCCACAACAUAAGCUGCAACAAUUCCUUUUGCAGAAGCAUGUGAACCAGUUGCUGUUCCACCUCCAGUUGAAAUCAGAAGGUCACAAAGAGCUCGGAAAACCACUGCAAGCAAUGACUAUGUGUACUUAUAAGAGACUGAGUUCGAUAUUGGUGACAUUUGAUGAUCCUCUUACAUAUACUCAGGCAACUGAAAGUCCUCAAGCAGUUCUUUGGAACAAUGCAAUGAAGGAUGAGUUAGAUUCAAUGUCCAAAAACCAGGUUUGGACAUUGGUGGAAUCCAACUCUGAAAUUAGGCCAAUAGGCUGCAAGUGGGUAUAUAAAACCAAAAGGGAUGCUGCUGGAAGAAUUGAAAGAUAUAAAGCAAGGUUGGUUGCUAAGGGGUUUACUCAAACGGAGGGGAUCGACUAUAAUGAUACUUUCUCUCCAGUUUCCUCCAAAGACUCCAUGCGAGUUAUCAUGUCUUUAGCUGCCUACUUCGAUCUUGAAUUACAUCAAAUGGAUGUAAAAACCGCUUUUCUUAACGGAGACUUACAAGAGGCUAUAUACAUGAAACAACCUGUUGGAUUUGUUGAAAAGGGGAAAGAGAAUUUAGUAUGCAAGCUCAAUAAGUCCAUAUACGGCUUGAAACAAGCAUCAAGGCAAUGGUACCUAAAGUUUGAUCAAAUUGUCUCUGCAUAAGGUUUUGUAGAAAACAAACUGGAUGAUUGUAUAUACAUUAAGUUCUCAGGUUCCGAGUUCAUCUUCUUAGUACUUUAUGUUGAUGCCAUUCUCCUAGCUAGUUCAUGUCCCCAAUUGCUUCAUAGCAUUAAGAGAAUGCUAAGUGAUAACUUUGAGAUGAAAGAUCUUGGAGAAGCACAUUAUGUACUAGGAAUAGAGAUUGUUCGAGAUAGGAAAAUGAGGCUCCUUGGUUUAUCUCAAAAGGGGUACAUUGACAGAGUGUUGGAGAAAUUUCAUAUGGCAAAUUGCAAUUGUGGUCAGGUUCCAGUCAAUAAAGGUGACAAGUUUUCGAAGAUUCAAUGUCCAAGAUCUGAUUUGGAGGUGAAGAAAAUGCAAGCUAAGCCUUAUGCCUCGUUGAUUGGAAGUCUUAUGUAUGCAACUAUCUGUACAAGGCCUGAUAUUGCCUUCAUAGUUGGUAUGCUAAGACGAUUUCAAGCAAAUCCUGAGAAGCACAUUGGGGGUGGCAGCCAAGAAGGUUCUUCGAUACUUGCAGAGAACCAAAACUCACAUGUUAGUAUAAUGGCCGAACUGAUUCUUUGGAGCUCAGGGGGUAUAUACUCGGAUUUAGCUGGAGAUGUGGAUGACAGGAAGUCCACAGGGGUUAUAUCUUCAUACUCAAUGGAGGGGCAGUUUCGUGGAAAAAUGCAAAGCAAACUAUUAUAGCCACAUCAACUAUGGAAGCUGAGUUUGUAGCCUGUUUUGAAGGCAUGAAACAGGCAGCAUGGUUGAAGAAUUUUUUGACAGAUUUAAAGAUUGUGAAUUCGGUUCAGAAACCAGUAACAAUGUUCUGUGAUAAACAACUCGGCUGUGUUUUUUGCUAAGAAUAAUAAAAGGACUUCAGCAUCUAGAUUUGGAUGGACGAAGUUUCUUAAGGUCAGAGAACAAGUCAAGAAAGGAGUUAUUGAAGUACAGCACAUUAGCACUACUAUGAUGAUUGCUGAUCCCUUGACUAAGGCACUGCCAAUUGGAGAAUUCAAGAAACAUGUUUCUUCAAUAGGAGUACUAGAAGGUUUUGAUCAGUGGGAGUAAUCACGUGUGUGUUAAAGGCUUGGGAUUGCAGAAGCAGAAGUAUAUAUGUGUUUCAAGAACUGUAUGUGCAAUUCUGACAAGCUGAACUAAGGAUGCUUUAUGUUUUAACUUGCUUUAGUUAGUUUGUUAAGGUUGUUUGUGUUUUAAUAAGUGUCCUUGUCUGCUACUCAAUACUUUGGCUUUCAGGUGUUGAGGUACGGAUACUGGACUGAGUUAGAAUUUAGUUUCAUUAGUAACUUUGAAAGAACAGUUUGUCUGUUUUUUAAGUUUGUGGUUAAUGAUGUUAUAUAGUCAAUUACUAUGUUGCUUUUCUGUGAAGAUUAAUGUGUGUUGUGAUCUUUUGAAAAGUGGGAGCAUAAUGUUUGACGGUUUAUGUUAGUCAUGAGUCAUAUUUACAAAUUGAAUAUAUGUGAGCCUUGAAUUAAUACUACAAUUUGGUUGUGGUCUGAGAUUCUUGGUUUCUAUAUUUUGAGAUGUAAUGGGACAGUGGUCAUGAUGGUUAAAUCUUAGAUGAGGUUAUGUGAUCACUUCUUAUGAUUGGUGACGGCAAGGUUUGAUCUUUGUCUCAUGUUCAAGUGGGAGAAUGUAAGAAUGUGAACAUGAGAUAAGAUGAUCGGAUAUUAGUUGUUUGAGUCCAAUCCGAAUAAGAAAGCCUCUAAGAAGAUGGAAUUCAGUUCUUGGCAGUAGAGGACUCUAUUGCAGGGAAAAACUGAUUUGAAUUAGGAAGGCUUAAGUAGUUUUCCAUAAGGAUUUUAAUAGGGAAUCCAUAUUCUAAUAUGAGAAGGAUAUGUGUGUACAUAUAUAUAUAUAUAUGGCAAUCUCUUCUCUCACAGGUGUGUGCUCUUUUGGAACUAAGCCCUAUUCUUAGUUUGAGUGAUAAAUACCCUGACAGAGAGAAGAAGAAUUGUUGUGCUUUUCAGGUUGAUCGAGAUCCACCAUGACUGCAUCAAACGGGAGUUCUACAGGUUAGUAUAAUUAGGUUUAUUUGGAUUGAUGUUUUGUGUCUACUUGGUUGUAGUUUAAGUAACUGAAUCUUGCAGCUAGAUUUUGGUUUACAUAUUUUUCGAUGUAGGCUUUAUCCACGGUGUGAGCUGCCGGCCUGACGCGGAGUUUGGUAGGGGAGGGGAAUUUGAAGUCUACGAUUUUUUGGGACGUUGGCGGGCAACAGUUGGUCGGGACUGCUCCACUUGGAAAGUCCGCAGCUCCGCAUUUGGCUAGGUCAGGCGGCAACACUGGCUUUGCAACAGCGAAGGGGUCGCUGCCAAGACCAACCACUCCGGCUUUGCAACAGCGAAGGGGUCGCUGCCAAGACCAGCCACUCCACCGUAGAGGCUUCCGAGACCUAUAAGUACAUUUCUUCUGUCUAGGUUUACUAGAGAAGGGUUUUCAUGGUCGUGAUCGUUGGAGCUAGUGGAAGGGUUUUUGUUUUGGUCACUACUAUUAUUUGUGGCUUUGCACGAGACAGCUUGUAAAUUGGAAUGCCUAGGGUUUCCAAAUGAGGAUAUUCGGUGAUACUUUUGGGAGAAAGGGGAGAGAGAAGUUGUGGGGAUGAUACUUGUGGCGGAGGUGACGAGUGGAGCUGACAUAGAAGCCAUGGUACUUGACUCUGAAUAAUACGUUGUAUUGGCUUUGCUUUUAUAAUGUGUUCUAGGUUUUACGUUUCUUUGCACGGGUGGCAGGCCGUACACACGUGGUCGGUCCUUAAGGGUUUGACGAGGAAUACUACGCAGUCAUUUAGUACAUGACAACCAUACACUAUAGCACGUGGCAUGUAUUUAGAGAUCGAGAGAGAAUUGGGUAAGGUUCACGAGGGAUUGUAGUUUCAGAAGGUGAAUUGGUUUUGGUCUUCUUGUGUACCAAUAAUUUUUACUUAGUCAUUUAGUGCAGGACAACCAUGCACUAUAGCACGUGGCAUGUAUUCAGAGAUCGAGAGAGAAUUGGUUGGGUAAGGUUCACGAGGGAUUGUAGUUUCAGAAGUUCAAGCGGUUUUGGGCUUGUUGUGUACGGCUGUGGGUCUGCUGUCACGGACUCUCUGUCUCAUUUGUGUCUUAUUUUUUAUUUUUUGACACGUUUUAACGUCAAAUCAUUAUAGCAAUGUUAUGCAAUUGGGAGCUAAAUGACCGAUGCUCUUAUUUUUUAGUUUGCUUUUUUUCCAGAUCUGAUCAAAUCAUGAUAGCAAUGUUAUGCAAUUUUCAAGAGGGAGAGAUGCACCUGGGAGAGAAACGGUACGGUGACUUCUAAAUCACCGUCCAACAGAACAAUUCUCAGUAGAGACUACUAGAGAGAGAUGCACCUCACCAAUGAAAAAUUUAACUGCAAAAAUUCUGGGUAUCGGGAGUUGUGGGGUGGGUCUUGGCAGUUUUCUUAUUUCUUUGAAUUUUUUAUAAUUUAUUUUAUAAAAGUAACAGUGUUUUGUGGGGGUUAAAUUGUAAAACACGUGUCAUCAAACUAAAUAAAGAGACACCAAAGAGACAUGGAAUUCGGGACAACAGACCCACAGCCGUUGUGUACGGAGGCAGACUCUCUGCUCUCCUACUUUCUGUGUCCUCCUGUUUUGUGUAGUCACGAUUAAAUCACGUCAAUAUUUUAUAUUAUUAUUUUAUAGAUAUAAUAAGACAAAAAAGAAUAGUAAUUUAAAAUAUUAACGUGACUUAACUGUGACCACACGAAUAGGAAGGCAUGAGAAGUGGGAAGGCAAAGAAUAUGCCUCCGUUGUGUACCAAUAAUAUUAUAUAUAUAUAUAUAUAUAUAUAUAUAAUUAGGAUUGAAGGAUGUAGAGCUUAUUUUGUUAUGUAUUCUAACAAUUUAAGUGCUUAUCUUUUAGGUUUUCUCUUAAACAGCAUGCCUAUAAAAAAUCACCAAAAUUCAAACCAUAUGACCAUUAGAUCCAUAGUCAUUUUAGUGUUAAAUGAACUUCACAAAAUAAGUCUCAAAAUAUGUAUAAAAAAUGGACAGCGUGAAUGGUUUGGAAAUUGGAAUAGGUUUGGAAAUUGUGCUUUUUGUAGCAAAUUGCAGCAAAGUUUGCUUGGACUUUCACAACCGUAUAAAUUAAACUGUUCGCUUUGUUGGGAAAAACAAGUUUGCCGCUGGUCUUGGGUUCCAAGAUCGGCCAAUUUGACGGCACACUUUUUGGCGUUGAGAAGCAGUACGGAGAUGUGCAGAUUAACUUGGAUUGAUACUCCUCCAUCUUCGUUGGUUCGUGUAUUGAACAAAGAUGGCCUUCCUUGCCCUCCUUAAUAUUUUUUGUUCUUCCUGCAGUGGAGGCGGUGACGCCUUGCUCUUGGUGCAGCGUCUAGUGUUCUGUACCCUCCUCUUCUGCAUAUGUUUGUAUUUCCCCUCGUUGCCCCUUCUAAGUGGGCUUCCUAUUGUUUUGGCUUCGGCCCUGGUUAUGAAAUAUUUCCAAUCUUACCCAAAAAAAAAAAAAAAAAGAAGAAGAAGAAGAAGUCAAGCACGGUGGGAGACUGGUCAUAGUUUCUAGAUUGAUGCUCUAAUUCUAAUGUUAUACAACGCGUACGCUAAAAUAUUUUUAUCAAAAUAUUAGUUUUAGUGUUAUCAAAACAAUAAUGUUAUUCUUACCAUGUUUUUGUAUCACAAUUAUAUACCACCUUAGAUGGCAUAUGAUGUAGAUAGCCACAUCAUUUAAAUUAAUAAGCAUUUAAUUUCAAAUGUUAAUCAAUAAUUAAUAAAAUGAUUGUUAAUUAAAUGAUGAUUAUGGUAUACAAGGAGUCUCCUUCUUCCUUCCCCUUUCCAUUCUGCUUUUUCUUCCUACCACUUUCUGUUUUUUUUUUCAUGCCAGUUUUUGUAUUGAUUUCUAUUGAUUUCCAUGAUUAUGGUCAAUCUUUAUAGAAUUUACUCGUAUACCACAACCACCAUUGAUUUCUAUCUCUAGACUCAUGCCCCGUAGCCCUAAUCCUCAUUCCCCUUCAAGUAUUUCUGUCUCCAAUCUUCUUUGGUACUCCAUGGUUGUUCAUCUCGUGAUUUUUUUUUAUUAUUUCAUUAAGUAACGCCUAUUAGCUUUCAUGCGAAUUAGGAGUCAAAAUCAAAUUUGUCUAUCGGAUUAGGGUUCAUGCCCAAUUAAGUUACUAACGCAAGAGAGAUUUUGAAGUCUACAAUUUUCCUUAUUUAAGUGUUUUAAUUAAUAAGAAAAUUGAAAUUAAACGAUUUAGCUUGUCCAACUCAUCUGCCACCUAAGAUGGUAAAUAAAUGUGGUAAGAAUAGCAUUACUCUUAUCGAAAUUACAAAAAAAAAAAAAAAAAAAAAAAAAAGCUGAUUCAAUAUUUAGUUAUUAAAAAAAAUAUAAAAAAAGUGAUCAAGUAACUAUCCAAUACCCAUGUAUUGGGUGCUUUGUUUGAAAAUUUUCAAAAUGAUAUUGGGCUCGUUUGGAUAUGUUUUUAAAAUGACUGAAAGCGUUUUUAGAGAAAAUAUUUUUUUGAUUCCAAAAGCACUUAAAGUGUUUUCUGCAAAAAGCACUUAAAGUGCUUUCUGCAAAAAGCACCAGUUAUGUGCUUCUUCCUAGAAGCACUUUAAGUGUUUUUCAAGCAUUUACUUGCUUUUUUACUAAGGAUUGGUUCCAAAAACAUUUUCACAAAAAGUGUUUUCAGUCAUUUUAAAAGUACAUUCAAACGAGCUCAUUGUUUUUCCUAUUUUAAUCAAGUGCGUCGUCCCCUGUUGAGAAUGAAUCUCAUAUUAUGGGGAGAGGGGUCUUGCAUGGAUGAGAGGAGGGACCUUGCAUGAGCUUAUAAGUAAGUUGGGUUACUCUCUAUAUUGCCAAGAGAAAUUUUAUUUGGACCUACUUUUCCUCUCUCUAAACCCAACUUUAAUAUUUUGUUACCUAAACUCUCUAGUUUACCCUCAUAAAUUAUAAACAUAAAUAAACUGGAAAAAGAAAAACUCAUCAAACCUAUUUCCCAACUGUUCUGGCGUCUCUUCCCUGUAUUUGUUGGGUCUAUCUCCCUCCCGACUGUUUUUUUUCCCUGAUAUUCUCUGUGUGUUCCCCCACCUCUCCCACACCCACCGAUUCUUUGUGGUGGCUAUUCCACCCAACGUCCAGUGAAUCUUUCCAUUUUUCUUCUAUUGCGCGUGAUAGGGCCUUGCUGUUAAUAGGCAAAACUAAGCGGCAUCGUCGACUCUGUAAGCGACUUGUUGCAGAAGUCCAAAAUGGAGUCAAAAGGAUUUUGUAUUGGGUCGGGUUGUUGAAGGCGAUGGCUGAUUUAGCAAUCUCGCCUAACUACUUCUAUAUGCAGGAGAAGGAAGAGGGAGGAAGGUCUAAAGUGGUGGUUGAGUGGUGGCGAUGUAUGUGGGUUCUAUCUCGGUUGAAUGGGUGUAGAAAGAUAUUUAAUUUUCAGUUUCUUAUUUUAUUUUGUAUAAGGGAUAAUAUCGGAAUUACAUAAAAAGUUUUUUUUAUAGCUGGGUGUAGAAAUAGUAUUGUUGGGUCUAAAUAAAAUUACCCUAUUGCCAAACAUAGUAUUGUUGGGUCUAAAUAAAAUUACCCUAUUGCCAAUUAGCUUUGUUUGAAAAUUUUCAAAAUGAUAUUGUUUUUACCAUUGAACCCUUGUUAUAUACAGUGAUGGCUAAUUUGUCAAGUUCUACGAAGUUGGGAUACCCAGCGUUUUAGCAUAUAACAUAACUUAGUAUUACAAGCAUAAUUAAUUAAAAUAAAGGAAAAUGAAGAGGAUAGCUUAGUAUUACAAGCAUAAUUAAUUAAAAUAAAGGCAAAAGUAACAGCCUGUCCCUAAAAAUGACGAUUUUAUAAUCUUAACACGUGAGUUUAUGAAGAUGCCCUUCGAGGCAAAGUGUUGACUUGUGUUGACUACCGCAUCGUGUCAUGUGAGACUCAUCUUCUUGGCGUAUUCUCGUUUUACUUGUCACUACGGACGCAUGGGCGCAAACGGGACAUGAUUUGGAGCUAUAACGAAUGAGUUAUUAACAUUUAAAGUUAAGGACAUUUUAGUAAAUUAAUUAAUUUCAGAUUAUGUUGAGGGGAAAAUCUGGAGUGCCGGUGGGUGGCCCAGAUUAAAGGAAAUGAAGAAUGGAUGGUGGAGGUGUAAAGGAAAGAAGAUAAAAGAAAAAUGAGAGGAAGUGUGUGACUAAUAGGGAGAUGAGAGAGUUAGGAUGGCCCAAUCAGAAACAAACGAAAGGAGGAAAAAGGAGAGAAGAGGGGAGCGGGGGAUCCCUUCGACCCGGUUCCAUUUUCCGACCCGACCCGAUCCUUUUCAUCUUCUUUGAUGGUUUUUCGUCGGUUUUUUCCGACGAACCACGUUAUCUAACCCCUUGGAAAAUGUUCCACAACCUUCCCUCAACUAUUACAAUCCAAAAUUGUAGAAAUUUAGCCAUGAAAGUAUGAAAACCACACCGGUGGGUGCGGGAAACCCUUGUCGUCGAUUCUCCCAUUAUUGCAACGAUUUUCACCAAUUACCACCACCUACAACAUCCUCUUGAGGUCUGGAAUAAAGCCCAAACAAGUUUUGCACUACUACAAUAUUAGCUUUAGAUGGCAGAUGAUGGUGGCGGAUUUAGAAAAAUAUUGUCGGAUAAAUUAUAUCUGACACAUUAUUUAAUUAGUGGUGAAUAUAAGAAAAAUCAUGUCGGUUAUAACCGACAUAAAUUCGUGGCAGAUACUAGCAGAUAUUAAAAAACUCAUGUCGGUUAUAACCGACAUAAAUUCCUAGCGAAUAAUUACUGACAGAUAUUAUAAAACUUCUGUCGGUUAUAACCGACAAUAUUUUUGAAUUGGGGGAAUUUAAAAUUUUGGGAGGGAAUUUAAAAUUUUGGGAGGGAAUUUAAAAUUUUGGAGGAAAUUUUGGGGGGAUUUUUACCCAUAUUAAUUCAUGGCGGAUAAUUACUGACGAAUAUUAUAAAGCUCAUGUCGGUUAUAACCAACAAUAAUGAAAAUGUUUAUGUCGAUUUUUAUUAAAAAAAUGUUUCUGUCAGUUUUAACCGACAUUAAUGAAAAUAUUCCACAGUAAAACCCCUACUUCUUCUCCUUGUGCUGGUGCCUUCUCCCUUCCCCCUUCUUUCCCCCUUUUCUCUUCUCCUCAUUUCCUUUUCCUUUGUAUUUUUGAUUUUGACAAGGUCUCUCCUUUAUUUGAUUCUUUGUUGUUCAUCUCUCACAAAUGUAGAGAGAGUAAAGGAGAUGCUUAGAGCGCUUUCUUUGUUCCUUUUUUUUUUCUUUUCAUUUUUUCCCUUUUCAAACUCCGACUAUGUCUUACAUGGCCGGUCCCAAGCCCGGAUAAAGGAGGAGGGGGAGGGCGUCAGGUAGUCGACAGCCGGCACUCCAUGAUCACGUCGAAUCCUUAUGAAAAUGAAUCCAGAACAAAAUCGCGCUAAAGCUAGGGCGCCACCCGUAAGUGGCGCGCUGUGUGGCCCGAGCACAGUGAUAAGUGAGCAAGGGUCGCUGUAUCUCCAUCGGCACUCGGAUGCAGUGUUAAAUGAGCAAGGGGGCCAUAGAAACUUCUUUUCGAACGACUCCACUCAAAGUUGUUUGGGAGCAUAUGCUCCUAUCAACUUUACCCGGGACACACAAAAGAAGUACUUUGAUCCUAUUAGACGGGGGAGGGUGAAGAAGCUAGGACAGAAGGGUAGAGUUCAAGAGAGCAAAAUGCGUUUAGGAACGUGGAAUAUAGGAACCUUAACGGGAAAAUCUAUGGAAGUAGUGGAAGUUAUGGUGAGGAGAAGGAUAAAUAUUAUGUGCCUACAAGAAACUAAGUGGGUUGGUAGUAAGGCAAAGGAUCUAGAAAACUCAGGGUUUAAACUUUGGUAUUCGGGCACAAAUAGAACGAGAAACGGUGUUGGCAUCAUCGUGGACAAGACCUUGGUACAAGAUGUUGUAGAUGUCAAGAGUGUAGGAGAUAGAAUCAUGGCAAUCAAGAUUGUAAUAGGACAAGAACUUAUCAAUGUGAUUAAUGCGUACGCACCUCAAGUAGGGUUGGAUACGAGUUCGAAGGAGAAAUUUUGGGAAGAUCUUGGAGACUUGGUGCAAGGAAUUGCUCAGACGGAGAAGUUAUUUAUAGGAGGAGAUUUAAAUGGACACGUGGGCAGGGAGACAGGCAACUAUGGAGGUUUUCAUGGUGGCCAUGGUUUUGGGGAGAGAAACGAGGAUGGGGAAGCUAUCUUGGAUUUUACAAUGGCAUAUGAUCUCUUCUUAGCCAACACCUUCUUUAAGAAGAGAGAAGAACAUGUGAUCACCUACAAGAGUGGGUCGUCAAAAACACAAAUAGAUUUUCUUCUAAUGAGGAAAGGGGAUCGUAUAACUUGUAAGGAUUGCAAAGUUAUACCAGGAGAGAGCGUGGCUAAUCAACAUCGCUUGUUGGUGAUGGAUGUACAUAUCAAAAGAGUAAGACAAAAGAACAAGACUUGGAAGUGCCCAAGGACUAGAUGGUGGAAUCUAAAAGAAGAAAAACAAGUCAUUUUCAAAGAGAAGGUAAUCACCCAAUGUGUGUGGGAUAGAGAGGGGGAAGCUAGCCAAAUGUGGGAUUUCAUGGCUAGUUGUAUCCGAAAAGUAGCAAAAGAGGUAUUAGGAGAGUCUAAGGGCUUUGCCCCACACUAAAAGGAAUCUUGGUGGUGGAAUGAGGAGGUACAAACAAAGGUGAAGGCUAAGAAGGAAUGUUGUAAAGCCUUAUACAAGGAGAGGACCGAUGAAAAUGGUGAAAGGUAUAGAAAAAAAGCGAAGCAAGAGGCGAAGAAAGCUGUCAGAGAAGCUAAGUUAGCGGCUUACGACGAUAUGUAUAAACGACUAGAUACCAAAGAAGGAGAGUUGGAUAUCUAUAAACUAUCUAGAGCAAAGGAAAAGAAGACAAGGGACCUAAACCAAGUGAGGUGCAUCAAGGAUGAGGAUGGAAAGGUUCUUGCUACAGAGAACGCGGUUAAAGACAGAUGGAGAGGUUAUUUUCAUAAUCUUUUCAAUGAAGGACAUGAAAUGAGUGCUUCUUUAGGGGAGUUGAGUAACUCAGAAGAGUGUAGAAACUACUCUUUUUAUCGUCGAAUCCGGAAGGAAGAAGUGGUUGUAGCUUUGAAGAAGAUGAAGCAUAAAAAAGCAAUAGGCCCAGACAAUAUACCAAUCGAAGUGUGGAAACUUUUGGGAGAGACAGGUAUAACAUGGCUCACUGACCUUUUCAAUAGGAUUUUGAAAACGAAAAAGAUGCCAAAUGAGUGGCGAACGAGCACUUUGGUGCCUAUCUACAAGAAUAAGGGCGACGUACAAAAUUGCAUGAACUAUAGGGGUAUUAAGCUAAUGAGUCAUACAAUGAAGCUCUGGGAGAGAGUCAUUGAGCAUAGAUUGAGGCAAGAGACACGGGUUUCGGACAACCAAUUCGGGUUCAUGCCAGGGCGCUCAACCAUGGAGGCAAUCUAUCUCUUACGAAGAUUGAUGGAAAGAUAUAGAGAUGGGAAAAAUGAUUUACACAUGGUCUUUAUAGAUUUGGAAAAAGCGUAUGAUAGGGUCCCAAGAGACAUUCUUUGGAGGAUUUUAAAGAAGAAAGGAGUACGAGUAGCAUAUAUCCAAGCUAUAAAGGACAUGUAUGAAGAAGCAAAGACUGCCGUAAGAACUCAUGAAGGACAAACCGAAAGCUUUCCCAUAACUGUAGGAUUACAUCAAGGCUCAUCCUUAAGUCCUUACCUUUUUGCGUUGGUAAUGGAUGAGUUAACAGGACAUAUUCAAGAUGAUAUUCCUUGGUGUAUGCUUUUCGCAGACGAUAUAGUGUUGAUAGAUGAAACUCAGGAAGGGGUAAAUGCAAAGCUUAACCUUUGGAGAGAAGUGUUGGAAUCUAAAGGUCUUCGCCUAAGCCGAUCAAAGACAGAAUAUAUGGAGUGCAAGUUCAGUGCAAAUGGAGGCCAAAACGAGUUAGGGGUGAGGAUCGGAGAUCAAGAAAUACCAAAGAGUGACCGUUUUCGUUACCUAGGAUCUAUCUUGCAAAAGAACGGAGAAUUAGAUGGAGAUCUCAACCAUAGAAUACAAGCUGGAUGGAUGAAGUGGAAGAGUGCAUCUGACGUGUUGUGUGACCGUCGUAUGCCACUGAAGCUCAAAGGAAAAUUUUAUAGGACGGCAAUAAGGUCGGCGAUGAUUCAACUUGGCGGGUUCGAGCAAAUAGGCGUUGGGCCAUAUUAGACACAGAACCUGCACACUGAACACUGAGAGCUAGCGAAUCCUUAACAGCUAACUCAUCAGACCGUUUGGAAAGUAGUCUGUUAUCUUUGGGAGUGAGAAGGUUCCUGGCCACCACCGCAGCGGUCAUAUCAUUCUUCAUCACGGAAUCCCCAACGGUAAGAGGACCAGUAGGGGAGACAAAGGAUGGGCGCCAUAUGUUGUCUGGAGAAGGCGGGGCUGCCUCUUCAACAAGGUUCAAGUCAAAAAACGACGGUCGGAGGGCCAGACAUUUUCAAAGGUGUUGAAGAGAGAAGAGGUCGGACACAAAUCAAGAUCUUAGAAGUGCAAGAAUGAAGCUUCUACUGGUGGAGAUUCAAGUGUGCUUUGGAACUUAAUGCCAGCCCCUAUAAAAAUCUGCACUCGACGGAGCUUCAGAAAUCGAAGAGGCGUUUGCUUUCUCAAAAGCUGGGCUGCUUAGAGAUCACGAGGGUUGAUCUCAGGAAUCGAAGAGGCGUUUGCUUUCUCAAAAGUUGGGCUGCUCAAAGACCACGAAGGCCGAUCUCAGAAAUCGAAGAGGCGCUCACUUUCUCAAAAACUGGGCUCCCCAGAGACCACGAGGGCCGAUCUCAAAAAUCGAAGAGGCACCUACUUUUCCAGCCUUGUCAGCACCUGUCACACGCACACUCAGCUUUGCGGAAAUUAUGGGCAUUCUGUCGAAGACUUCUGGGGAAGUAGAAAACACAUGAAUCUUACUGUUCAAUCACCCACUUCCCACACGCAAUAAUAGCUCAUGGGUACCACAGAUAACUUUGCCAAAGUUCUCUGCCAAAGUUGAGCACGUGAAGCUUGCAGCUCCCACUACAUCGCUCUGACCAAGAAGGGUAAAAAGAAUAGCAAAGAAACAGCACUAACAAAGUUUAGACCCAUAAAUUUUGAAGGUCUAGCUACCAUAUUAUUACCCACAAGGGUAAAGGAACAGUACCACUGCUGGAUAAUUGGAAAGUCCCUAUGUGUCAACCUCUGUGCUUCGUGGCAAGGUAGACUAGCAAACAUGCCCAACCUUUACUCACAUUCGAGAAAACACUCCCAAUAAGAUUGCUUGCUCCAAAAUCGAAGAGGCACCGUCCUCCGAAUCUCGAGAGCCAGACUCCCAACAUGACUACUUUCUUAAAAAUCGAAGAGAGGGUAAAGGAACAGUACCAUUGCUGGAUAAUUGGAAAGUCCAUGUGUGUCAACCUCUGUGCUUCGUGGCAAGGUAGACUAGCAAACAUGCCCAACCUUUACUCACAUUCGAGAAAACACUCCCAACAAGAUUGCUUGCUCCAAAAUCGAAGAGGCACCGCCCUCCGAAUCUCGAGAGCCAGACUCCCAACAUGAUUACUUUCUCAAAAAUCGAAAGAGACACUGCUCCCCGAAUCUUCGAGAGCCAGACCCCCAGCAUGAUUGCUUUCUCAAAAAUCGAUGAGGCAUCGUUCUCCGAAUCAAUCGAAGAGGCGCUCGCUUUCUCAAAAGCUGGGCUGCUCAGAGACCACGAGGGCCGAUCUCAGAAAUCGAAGAGGCACUUACUUUUCUAGCCUUGUCAGCACCUGUCACACGCACACUCAGCUUUGCAGAAAUUAUGGGCAUUCUGUCGAAGACUUCUGGUGAAGUAGAAAGCACAUUAAUCCUACUGUUCAAUCACCCACUUCCCACACGCAACAAUAGCUCAUGGGUACCACAGAUAACUUUGCCAAAGUUCUCUGCCAAAGUUGAGCACGUGAAGCUUGCAGCUCCCACUACAUCGCUCUGACCAAGAAAGGUAAAAGAAUAGCAAAGAAACAGCACUAACAAAGUUUAGACACAUAAAUUUUGAAGGUCUAGCUACCAUAUUAUUACCCACAAGGGUAAAGGAACAGUACCACUGCUGGAUAAUUGGAAAGUCCCUGUGUGUCAACCUAUGUGCUUCGUGGCAAGGUAGACUAGCAAACAUGCCCAACCUUUACUCACAUUCGAGAAAACACUCCCAACAAGAUUGCUUGCUCCAAAAUCGAAGAGGCACUGUCCUCCGAAUCUCGAGAGCCAGACUCCCAACAUGACUACUUUCUCAAAAGCGAAGAGAGGGUAAAGGAACAGUACCAUUGCUGGAUAAUUGGAAAGUCCCUGUGUGUCAACCUUUGUGCUUCAUGGCAAGGUAGACUAGCAAACAUGCCCAACCUUUACUCACAUUCGAGACAACACUCCCAACAGGAUUGCUUGCUCCAAAAUCAAGAGGCACCGCCCUCCGAAUCUCGAGAGCCAAACUCCCAACAUGAUUACUUCCUCAAAAAUCGAAGAGACACUGCUCUCCGAAUCUCGAGAGCCAGACCCCCAGCAUGAUUGCUUUCUCAAAAAUCGAAAAGGCAUCGUUCUCCGAAUCUCGAGAGCCAGAUACCACAGACCACUUUUUCAAAGUGCUCUGACAGAGUUAAAACAUGUGAAACUGGCAGCUCCCACUACCGUGCUAUGACCAAGCAGGGUAAAGGAAUAGCAUUACUACUUGUUGUUAGGGAGACUCCUAUAUAUGUCGACCUCCAUCCCCAACGGACAGGCAGACCUGCAAAAAUGCUCAACCCUUCAUCAUAUCUGAGUGGGCACUCCCAACGAAGCCUUUCGAAAUAUUCAGCUUUCUUUCCCCCCGAUAAUACCUCUGCAAACAAGCUAUACUAGAGCAAGAAUAUCUCAUAUCAUCAGGGUUAAAAGCAAGAGUAUCCCAUAUCAUGCUUUUUCCCUGUCUUUUCCUUUGGCCUUGUUUUUACCUGCAAGACAAGGAGAAAGAGAGCAAUCAGUCAGCACUUGGAAUCAAGCUUCCAACCAGGAAAUGACUGCCUGGAACCCCUUACUUGGCAUUGCUCUCGAGUACUCAUCUUCAACAUCUUAUGUUUCCAGGGAAGAUUCUGCAUCUGCUUGAGGAACAGAUAGGGCAAGUGCGAAGGAUACAAGGAAGCAUGCGGAGACAAGCGUAACAGCACACGUGCCGAUACAUCCAUUACUCUGUCAAAAGCAAAAGUAUCCCAUAUCAGCAGGGUGGAACGUACUCUAGAUUUGAUGGACUUGUUUUGACCCUCAAAUUCUUCAGUCGGCCUUAUAUUCUGGAGGAAACCAGAAAACCCUCCAGCUCAGUUCAAGAAUAAGCCUGUGGAAAGUUACUUCUUCAAAAGCAAAAGUAUCUCAUAUCAUCUCUUCUCAUUUUUCUUCUCUCUUUAUCCUUCAUGCUGCUGCAAGAUGGGGAGAAGGUGAACAAUCAGUCGGAGCUCUGAUUGCUUACCUUGUCUGUCACCUCUUUCAGCAGACCCCCUAGCUCGGCGACUUGGGGGACUCCUACUAAAUGGUUUGUAUCGCGCUUGACCAAGCCUGAAACUACAAGUAAGCUUCAAGUGAAAUUGAUACAUUACCUUGUGCAUCUCCACCAGUUAAAGAUACCACCCCUGGAUGGAGGAAGAGUACUUCCAGAGAAGAUGCCACAUCUACCUAUGAGACAGAUAAGGCAAGUCAAGACGACACCACACUCCGAUACUUAGAAGUUUCGUGAUUAUGAGAUCAUUCUCCCACAAUAUUUCCUAAUGUCAUUUGUACUAAAUCAUUCACUUGUACUCACUAAAGGAGAGCUUGAACCUAUGUACUUGUGUAAACCCUUCACAAUUAAUGAGAACUCUUCUAUUCCGUGGACGUAGCCAAUCUGGGUGAACCACGUACAUCUUGUGUUUGCUUUCCUAUCUCUAUCCAUUUAUAUACUUAUCCACACUAAUGACCGGAGCAAUCUAGCGAAGAUCACAAAAAGCGACCGUUUUCGCUACCUAGGAUCUAUCUUGCAAGAGAACGGAGAAUUAGAUGGAGAUCUCAACCAUAGAAUACGAGCUGGAUGGAUGAAGUGUAAGAGUGCAUCCGGCGUGUUGUGUGACUAUCGUAGGCCACUGAAGCUCAAAGGAAAAUUUUAUAGGACGGCAAUAAGGCCAGCGAUGUUGUAUGGCACAGAAUGUUGGGCGGUGAAGCAUCAACACGUACACAAAAUGGGUGUAGCGGAGAUGAGGAUGCUUCGUGGGAUGUGUGGGCACACGAGAAAGGAUAAGAUUGGGAAUGAGGAUAUCCGAGGUAAAGUAGGAGUAGCCGAAAUUGUAGGAAAGAUGAGAGAAAAUCGGCUCCGGUGAUUUGGACAUGUGCAAAGAAGGCCGACUGACGCUCCGAUUCGAAGAUGUGACUACGGGACAGAGGUUCAGGGCCGAAGGGGUAGAGGAAGACCUAGGAAAACUUUGGAAGAGACUCUAAGAAAAGACUUAGAGUACUUGGAUCUAACGGAGGACAUGACACAAAACCGAGCGCAAUGGCGUUCUAGGAUUCAUAUAGCCGACCCCACUUAGUGGGAAAAGGCUUUGUUGUUGUUGUUGUUGUUGUAUUUUUUCCCUUUUCAAAAUCGAAAUGUUCUAAAUUAUUUCACUAAUCCUUGCUAGUUUGAACUGCAGGAGUCUGUCUCUGGAUUUGAAAGAUUAUCUGGACUUACAGUUUUGAAGAAUUGGGAUUCUAGUGUUACACAUAUUAUUGCAUCGACAGAUGAAAAUGAAGCAUGCAGAAGAACCCUUAAAAUUUUGAUGGGUAUCUUGGAGGGGAAGUGGAUUCUGAGUGUGGAGUGAGUUUUACUGUUUUCGUUUUAAUUGUUCUUCCUCAAGUGCUUGGACUUUACAAUUGUAAUGAGUACAGAAGCCGAAAUGAGAUAUUGAUAUACAUGUUCACAUUGCUGAUAAUUCGUUAUCCGUCUGUUUGUGUAGGAAUUAAUGCUUGCACAUAAGUAAUGAAACUAGUUAAUGAGGAGCCUUAUGAAAUCAACGUUGACAUUUAUGGAAUCAGGGAUGGUCCUCGACUUGGUAGACUAAGGCUGCAGAACAAGGUUAGCUUUUCCUCGAGUUUAACUAUCAUCACGAAAACUUUAGAUUUUCAUGGAUUCACCAUAGGCAUUGUUAAUCUUGUUCAGUCCAUAAAUAGGUUACACACUUAUCUUAACAAAGGUGAGACCUUCUCAAUUCCUCAUCGAGAUGAAUCAAGAGCAUAAUUGUAGCAGUGAUCAAGAGCAAUUUUUUUAUGUUUCUUCCAAAUUGUUGAGAUGAAUCAUCUGUGUUUUGUUCUAAUAAUCUUACAAAUUUGUUGAGCAAUUUUUGUAAAGUCAGAAUCUUUGGUUUCGGUUGUGAGGUAUCUGAUUUGGGUAUAUGUGUUUUGCAGGGCACGGUGGUUGUGGCGGAGGAAGAUUAGGAUUGACGACAGAGCUCUGGCCAUGAACUAUCAGCUCUGUCUUUCUCUCUCUAACUAUGAAUUGAAUACAAAAGUCUGUGUUGAUAUGGAAAAUGUAGCUCAAAAUUAUUACACAAAUGGCAAAAAAAAAAAGUUCGAGUGUGGAGUUUCACUUACUGAUACAGGGCUUUUGAAACAGGGUUGUCUAGACUGUAGAAGAAAUCCAUGGCUUUUGGAAGAGGGGAUGUUCCAAAUCUAUCUUUUCUCCCUCUCUAAUGUUCUUCGAGGGGUUCUUGUGAUGCAAAAAGUGGUUUAUAUAUAUUUUUUAUUAUUAAUAAAUUUUCUGUCGGUUUUAUCAGACAAUAAUUCUUUUAUUUAUUCUUAUUAAUAAUUUCUCUGUCGGUUAUAUCUGACACAAUUUCUGUCGAUUUUAGAGUAUUUUCUAUCGAAAAUUUCAUUUCCUGACGCAUCAAUUAUGUCGCUUAUUAUAUCCGCCACUGCACUCAUUUCAUGUCGGAUUUUGCUUAAUUUCCAACAGUAUUAUACAUUUCUUGUCGGUUUUUAAACCGACACUAAUGGGUACUUUUGUAGUAAUGUUGGGGCGUCGGAGUUCGUUUAAGGUCGAAUUGAGCACACCCAAAUUCAAGGGUUCCGUACGGUUCAUGGUAAUUUGAGGUAUUUCUCAGCCAAAUUGUCCUUAGUCACAGAUAUGAAAGUUGCUCCACUCGUUGAGAUCUUCAUUUAUGUCAAAUUUGAGAAUUUUUAGAAAUAAUUGGAUUUUCCAGCGAAUCGGGGCGGCGGACCACCACCGGACAGCGCAUGGCUAGUGGGCCCCCAAUGUCAUUUUACGUUAAAUUGGUAUCUUGAUUUUAGGUUUGAUGUCUAUAUGUUAUGACUUGAUAUGUGAACCUAGUUUAAUUAAGGUGCGUUAAUUGGUAAAAAUAUGAAACGACGAUCCGACCGUGGGAUCGUCACCAAUCUUUAUUAUGUUAUAGUACAUUAUAUUUGAGAAUCAUAGGGACUGACGGAUAGGAAAUCCGAUAUACGGAUCUUCCUGAAAUGGAAUUGUAAGUUCGAAGAAUAAACGUUAACCGCCACUUUGUUUUGACUAUUGGUGAAGAUCCAACCGUUGGAUCAUAAUGAAAUUUUAGGAUGAUGUUUUAGAAGCAUAAUGUGGAUCUUUGGAAGUUAUUGAUUGGAAAUCCGAGGAGCGAAUCUUCCGGAUUGAAUUACGUAAGGUUGUGGACCCUACCGUCGAUCGUUGACUGACGAUCGACUUUUGGUCAAUGGGGCUUAAAUCACUCUAAAAUGUUUUUAGGGAUGUGUUUUACGUAAAUUACAUUAUCUAUGGAUAAGAAUUCUGAGAUGUGGUUUGAUAAUUGUCCUGGGCGCCGAUCGUUAGGAACGCUUCGAUGGUUGUGCUAGGAAAUUGUAGCAUAGACUCCAGGUGAGUGAAUCUUUUCCUUCUUAUAUAUAUAUAUAUAUAUAUAUGAUUGACAAUUCCACAAACGUUUAUAAAUUGAUUAUUGCAUAUAACUACUGUAAAUACUUUGAAGUACUUAUGCGAACUACGAAUGGCUUGAUCCCUAUUUAGGGUACGUAUGCAGUCUAACAAGACAUUAAAUGCAGUCAUACAAUAAUUGAGAUUAAACAAUUGAGACAAAGCCUUGUAUGGGGAACUGGGCAAGGUGAACGAAUUUGGUAAAAAUGUGAGAUUUAACCUUCUGAAUUGGUGAUUAAAUGUUGGUCAUAAAUCAAUGUGUAAAGAAUCAAGAAUUUGAAGUAAGGAAACGUAAGUAAUGAUAAUUAAUUAAACUAGUGUCUAGUUGGGCUUGUCACCUAUAAUUAUCCCCAAAAAUGAAUAAUUCGGGAGUAGGGCGUUAUAGCUUCUGCAUUUUUAUGCCACAUUAUAUAUAUAUAUAUAUGUGUGUGUGUGUGUGUGUGUGUGUGUGUGUGUAUAAUUGGAAAUGCUAUAACGUGGUUGAGUAUCAGAUUUCAUCAUGGUUUAUCUAUAUGUAUAUUACCUGCACACAAUUAUUAUGAACACUUUGAAGUGCAAAGGUGAACGCAAGACACCCAGGAAAGUUCAGGUGAGUUUAUGGUAUUAGUUGAAAUGAUGGGGUUAUGGUAACUACAUGUAUGUUUAGGUUGCAAUGAUAGGCAACUCCGACACUGUCGUACAAGUUGCCCAUGAAUUGUAUAUGUUACAAUAGAUAGAGUUAGAGGUCAUAAACCUGCACCCCGGUGUUAGUGCUCCCACCCGUGGCUAGGGCACAGUCUUUCACGAGAUGUUCACCUCUCGCAUCUUACGCUCACCUUGGAUCCAAGGUAGGUGCACAGUCAUGUCAUAAAGACCACUAUAGGUGGUUCCGACUAGUAGAUGACCCGUGAUUAUUCGCACAGUCUUCACGUGAUUGUAGCACUUGAGCGUAUUUAUUUACACCCAGUCCUGUCGUACAGACCACUUUAGGUGGUUCCGACUCGUAUGCAGGUAUACUUAUUGAGCUAUGGAUAAGUCGUACAGGUCACUAAAGGUGACUCCAACUUAUGAGCUAGCAUAUGUGAUGAAAUAUGUGAUGAGCUAGCAUAUGUAAUGAGAUAAGUGAUGAGCUAGCAUAUGUGAUGAGAUAUGUGAUGAGUUAGCAUACGUUAUGAGAUAUGUGAUGAGUGAUAUAAUCAUAAUUGCAUACAUUUUCAUGCCCUUUUAGUUUAGAUUUUUGUUAUCCUUUUGAGUGAAUUUAGUUUGUUUCACUUAGUUUUAUGUUUUUCUUAGAUUUGAAGUGUGAAGAUGAAGAAAGAAGAAAAAAGAGCAUUUUUAGCGAUUGAAAUGAGUUUGGCAUGCUGGAAGCAGAGGCUAUUUGUGCGGAUCAGCCAACUUUACGGAUUAAACUGUACUUCCUUAGAAUGCCAGCUGUUGAGUCUUAUACCAUUGGAAAGAUAUGAAAGUUAGCUUUCAGAGGAAUUUUACGAUUCGUGAUUCCGAGUUUCCUAGAAGACGUUAUAGUGGUUUUUCUACCAGAUGUCUGCCAGCAAGGUUUUACGCGGGAUUUGCAAAGAGAUUCCAGAUUUACAAAGUUUAAUUAAAGGAAACAAGCAGAGAAAAAAGAAGAGGAAGCUUUUAGAAAAGUUCAGGACUAUUCUAAACGGUGCAUAGUUAAUAUAUUUAAUAGUUUAGUGUGCCACAUCAUCAAUAAACUAAUCUAAGUCAGAAGAGAAAUUCAAGAGUCCCAUUCAAGUAAGUAUUCCAGCAGUUUUAUUCAGGAAUAAAGGAGGGCAGACCGUCGGACUUUAGGAGCGGACAGAGAGAGUUUUUGGGUUUUCGAAGGUGCAGAGAAGAGGUCGCAGCAAGGAGUGAAACAGAGUCGCCGAUCAUCUGGGCAAUCCAUCACCAUCGUGUGGAAGUAUUUUAUGUUUUUCAGAUUUUUAAUUAUGUUUUCAGAUUUUAUGAGUAACUAAACUCUUUUUCUAAGGUUAGGAUGAUGCCCUAGCAUGGAUGUUUAUGGUUUGUAAUGUUAUUCAUUGGAUUUCCAGUUUCUUUUAGAUGAAUGCUUAAUCACUGUUUGAAUUGUUACUGUUUGUUUGAGUUCUUUGAUUGAUCACCUUAGGACUUUGCAUCUAGUAAGAUUGGAAGAUGAAUUUGAGACUGAACUAACAAUAUAAUUCAAUUAGCUUCUUGUGGUUAAGUGUGGUAAAUUACAUUAUUGCUUGAAAAAGAAUAAUGGUUUGUUUGGGUCCCUUGUUUUCUAGAGGGUAAAGAGUCCUACUUGUUAAAUUUAUGCCUUAACUAGGAUAGACUGCUUGUUAGGAUAUACGACCUCUGCCUAAACUAGGAGAGAAUCAUUCACAUAAGGAAAACUAUGGUCUAAUAUGCCUGACAAGGACUUAGAUACGGGAAUUAUCAUCUAAAGAAUUGAAAGAUCCAUUGAAUGCAUUGAAACCUAAACUAGAUUGCUUGUGGUUGAUUCCGAAUCCCUAGAUUUUCAUCACUUGCCUUAAAACACAACCGUUUCUUUUCUUUAAUUUCAGUUUUUACUUAAGGUUCUGUUUUUGUUCAUUUAUAAAAUCAUCACAACAAAUUUUUUACAUCUUUGAUUGACUUAUUAAUUAAGAUCGAGUCUAGUUCGUUGUUUGGGUUUGUGUGUCUUUAAUAUAAUUAGAUUUGGUUUAGUUUAUCAAAUUGGAGAUUGAAUUAGAAUCCUCGUGGGAACGAUACUUGGACUUGCAAAACGUUAUAUUACGACUAUCUUGUGCACUUGUAAGUUUACACCAAGUUUUUGGCGCCGUUGCCGGGGACUCUAAUUGAGUCCCCCAAUUUGAUAUCAUAUUCCAUAUCUAAUAAGUAGUUUAUUGUAGAUUAUUCAAUUUGAUUUUGUUUUGUUCUCUAGUUUCGAGUAAGAGUCAUAACUAUUAAGAUAAGUAAAAGUAAUUUUCGUCACUGUUUUAUUUCAGUUUUGUAUCACUGUUUCGACACAGUUUUGGACUAAACUAUUCGAUUUUUUACCAGGAAUAUUGUGUAUCGUUGGAAAGCCCCAGAAGUCUAGUUUUCAACCCAAAAAACAGAUCAAUGAUUGGAUUUUUGAGCUGCAAGAAAUGUACAAAAUACUGAGCAGUGGUCAAACAAGGAGCACAGUCUGGUCGUAUAUGCAAGGUAGACGUUCGUUGCAAUUUGAGUUGAUUCAUAUAGACCAAGAACUUGUGCGUACUUUAAGAGAACAGUGGAGGCAGCGAGUGUGUCAAGAACCAGCCAUGGAGGAAGUAGUUAAUAAUGGUGGAAAUAAUCCUCCACCAUUGCUACCACCACAACCAAGGCUCAUGCGUGAUUAUACAAAGCCAACGGAGUACAACGCACCGUCAUGCAUUGUUUUGGCUCCAAUUGCGCAGCGAUUUGAGAUUCGUCCACAAAUCUUUCAGUUGCUGCCUAUAUUUCUUGGGAAGGAGGAAGAAAAUCCAUACCAUCAUAUCAAGGCGUUUUUCAAGCUAUGUUCCACAUUCACAUUCACCAAUGUUACUGAAGAGCAAAUUCGACUUCGGUUAUUCCCAUUCUCUUUGAGGGAUAAAGCAAGCAGUUGGUUGGAUUCUCUUCCCGAAGCAUCUAUCGACACAUGGACAAAAUUAUCGAAGAAGUUUUUGUCCAAGUUCUUCCCCGCUCGAAGAACCAAUGCUCUGAUCAAUGAAAUCAUGAGCUUUCGACAACAAGAAGGUGAACAGUUUCAUGAAAGUUGGGAGCGCUAUAAGGACUUGUUUCUUCAAUGUCCUCAUCAUGGUUUCAACACUUGGCAAAAGGUUCAUUAUUUUUACAAAGGUUUGAACUCUCAAUGUAGGAGUUUGGUUGAUUCAACGGUUGGUGGAACCUUGAUAGACAAAACUCCAGAAGAUGCCAUACAUGCCUUUGAAACUAUAUGUGAAAAUUCUGAGCAUUGGGAUUUUCCUACAAAAGAUUUGAGAGUUCCAACUGCAUCGUCAACAAAAAAAGGAGGCAUUUAUGAAGUUAAUACAAGGACGGGCUUAGAGGCACAAGUGGCAGCCCUCACCAAGCUUCUCACACCACUUGUAAGCAAGAUAGCCACGCAGCCAUGUACUUUAUGUGCGAGCAUCGCCCAUGACAUGGAAAAUUGUCCAACAAAUGCUAAUCUAGAAGGCAUCCAAGAGGUCAAUGCAUUUAGUGGGAGGCCCCGGAAUGAUCCAUAUUCUAAUAAUUAUAACCCGGGAUGGAGAGAACAUCCAAAUUUUUCUUAGAGAGAUUCACAAAAUAGCAUGGGAUCAUUCACUUCAACAAAGCAAUAUCAGCAACCUUAUCAAGCUCCUCCAAUUCAACAAAAAGACUCGUCUAUCAAGGAUAUGUUAUCUCAACUCUUAAAGAAAACUGAUCGGUAUGAACAUGAAGUUGUGUCGCUUAGACAAAGUCAGACGGUGUUGGAAAAGGCUCGAUCUAAUUUUGAGACUCAGUUGGGACAGAUAGCUACUACUUUGAACAAGCUGGAGUGAGCACAAGGGCAAUUUCCAAGCCAAACUGAAACAAAUCCUAGGAAUCAAAAGCAUGUUCAAGCUGUCACCACUUUGAGGAGUGGAAAGACGAUUGGUAAUAAUGUGGAAAGUUCAAAAAUUAAUAAGGAAGAAGAUGAAGGGGUCAGCACAUAUCGGGCAGCAGCUUGACAAGACAAGCUAAAAAAGAGAAGUAUAUGGGAGAUAUUUUAGAGCAAUUUAGAAAGGUGCAGAUUAAUAUUCCUUUUCUCGAUGCCAUCAAACAAAUUCAAUCAUAUGCGAAGUUUUUGAAGGAACUUUGUACUAACAAGAGACGGUAUGAAGAACAUGAGGAGGUGAAGUUAUCAGACACGGUUAGUGCGGUUCUUCAAAGAAAAUUGCCACCAAAACUUCAAGAUCCUGGUAGCUUUACAGUCCCAUGUGUCAUUGGAGAAAGAAAAUUCGAAAAAGCUUUGCUUGACUUGGGAGCCAGUGUGAAUUUGAUGCCCUAUUCUGCUUAUAAACACCUCAAAUUAGGCGAACUAAAGCACAUAUCCAUUUCUCUACAAUGCACUGAUCGUUCUGUGAAAUAUCCAAGAGGGAUUGUUGAAAAUGUACUUGUGUGUGUUGAUCAAUUUAUUCUUCCUGCUGACUUCAUCAUUUUGGACAUGGAAGAAGCCGAAAUUCCUGGUCGUGACUUGCCUCUCAUUCUUGGCAGACCUUUCAUGGCUACUGCAGGUACGAAGAUUGAUGUUAAAUCGGGAUUAUUAACUAUGACUGUGCAAGGUAUUACUGUAGAAUUUCAGGUCUUCGAAGCAUUGAAGAAGCCCAUGGAUCUUUAUGACUGCUUUCGUGUUGAGGUAGUGGAUCCAAUUAUAAAAAAAAACAUUCAUUGAAUCAAGCAUCUCAGAUCCUCUGGAAGUUUGUAUCUCUCAACAUGGGAUGAGUUUUGAAAAGGCUACCAUCAUUGAAGCAGAACGAGAUCUCAAUGCCGUAACGUCCUACUCUCUUAGAUGCCAGCCCAAAUUUGAAGCGUUGCCACUCACAAGCCAAAAUUGUACCAUCCAUUAUACAACCUCCAAAGCUUGAAUUGAAGCCUCUUCCAGAGACUUUAAAGUAUGCAUAUUUGGUGAUUCAGAGACUCUUCCUGUGAUUAUAGCUGCUGAUCUUAACCAAACAGAAGAGGAAAAGUUGAUGCAAAUGUUGAGGGAGCAUAAAACAGCAUUGGGAUGGAGUAUUGCAGACAUAAAAGGAAUUAGUCCUCAAUUUGCAUGCAUCGGAUAUAUCUUGAGGACAAGUCAAAGCCUUCUAGAGAGGCACAGCGACGUCUAAAUCCACAUAUGCAAGAAGUGGUUCGGGCAGAAGUUCUUAAAUUACUGAAUGUCGGCAUUAUUUAUCCUAUAUCUAACAGCAAAUGGGUAAGUCCACUGCAGGUUGUACCACAGAGAUCUGGAAUUACAGUUGUCAAGAAUGAAAAUAAUGAGCUUAUACCCCAGAGGACUGUCACGGGUUGGAGAAUGUGUACAGAUUACAGAAAGAUCAAUAAUUCAACUCGAAAAUAUCAUUUUCCACUCCCUUUCCUUGAUCUCAUGCUUGAGAGACUUGCAGGCCAUAGUUAUUAUUGUUUUCUUGAUGGCUAUUCCAGAUAUAAUCAAAUUCCCAUAGCUCCGGAAGAUCAAGAAAAGACUACUUUCACAUGUCCAUUUGGAACUUUUGCCUAUCGACGAAUGCCUUUUGGGUUAUGUAAUGCUCCCGCAACAUUCCAAAGAUGCAUGAUGAGCAUUUUCUCAAACUUGGUGGAAAGGUGUAUCGAAGUGUUCGUGGAUGAUUUUUCCGUGUUUGGGUCAUCGUUUGAUCAAUGUCUUCAUCAUCUUUCAUUGGUGCUCUAACGGUGUCAAGAAACCAACUUGAUUUUAAAUUGGGAAAAAUGUCAGUUUAUGGUGAAAAGUGGUAUUGUUCUUGGUCAUGUAAUUUUAGCUGACGGAAUUGAAGUUGAUAAAGCUAAGGUGGAGCUGAUUUCGAAGCUUCCUCCUCCCACUUCUGUAAAAGAAGUUCGAUCCUUUCUCGAGCAUCCAAGUUUUUAUCGCCGAUUUAUUAAAGAUUUCUCGAAAAUCACCAAGCCACUUUGUGAUCUGCUUGCUAAAGAUUCUGUGUUUAAUUUAAAUGGUGAGUGCUUACAAGCUUUUGAGACCCUCAAGAAAGAAUUAACACAAGCCCCAAUCAUAAAAGCUCCAGAGUGGUCUCUUCCUUUUGAAAUCAUGUGUGACGCCUCUGAGUAUGCAAUAGGUGUUGUGUUAGGGCAGCGAGUUAACAAACUUCCUCAUGUUAUAUUUUAUGCUAGCCGAAUUCUCACUUAACAACUUUCAUAUCCCUUAGUUUCCAAAAUUUAAUAUACAAAUUUAGUCUCCCAAGCAUUGCUAUAUUACUUAAGUAUUGAUUAAUAGACUUAUUUCUUAUGGUGACACAUUAUUUAGUUUACAAAUUUAGUCUAUCUAACAUUACUCUUUUGACAUUGUCUUGUCCACUGAUAUAAUUCUAUUUUUCUUGUGAUCAAAACUUCAAAUGUUAGCAAGUCGCACGUAAAGUCGCUUCUGAGAGAAUGUGCUCACAUUGUAGUUGAAAGAUUAUGUGGCUAGCAACAUUACAAAUUUAAUUUGGUAUAAUUUUAAAAUAUAGAUUGAGGAAAAAAAGGAUCACAUUAACUAGAAACUGAAAAGGUUUCGGCGCAAUAUGUUCAAGCAAGAAACUCAAUUUUGAUGCUACCGAUCUUAACAGCCUGAGCGCCGUACCUGGGCACUAAAGUCACCACCACACUCUCAUCAUCUUCAGCACCCAAAUCCUCCAACAGGUCCGUUAACCCCAACCUUAAACAACUCUUGCUCUUUUCCUUCUGCUUAUGUGGCACACUCACAAAACUCCCAGCAAACUCGCUCUUGUCGGGUCCACUCGGUGCCGCAUCCUCAUCAUCCACGUCAUUCACAUACACAUCAAACUUCACAGCCACAUCUUUGUCAAGCUCAAUCCCCCGAAUCACCAAUAUCUCCUCCUCAUCCUCUUUCUCCUUCUUGCUCCUCUUCUUCGGCUUCGGCCUUGACACCACCGUAGUUAUCUUCGUCUCCAAAUUUAUUGGAAAAUCUUUACCCGCCACCACCUUCCCCGAUGACGUCGUCUCAGCGGCCUUCGCCACUCCAGCCGCCUUUGCCUUUCUCGCAAGCUUUGUCCGACGUGGCGUCGGUCUAGAGUUGAGCCAUGGAAUCUCAACAUCUUCAUACGUAUACCCUAGCUUUUUAUUAUCAAGAGUGUCCCUCACCGUGACCCUAACAAGCUCAGCAUUCUCGUCAUAAAACAAAAACCCCGUAUCCAACCAAUCCUUAUCGUUAAUAUCUUUAUUUUUAGUCCCUAUACUUUUCCAAAUAUUCCACAUUCGAUCCAGAUUCAAAUGGUGCGCAAAAAAUAUCGGAUCCCUUGCAGUGGAGUAAAAAUUCCCCAUGUCUUCAUAAUUAGGUUGCGUGUUAUCUCCGGUCCAUGUAUGAACCGGACCAUGUGGGGUCUGUUCGAUUGCACCGGCCCCUGGAUCUGGUUCAGUGCCAGCCCUGUAGGGCGAACCAAAGAACAACAGCGGUUUCUUGGAGUUGGAAACCAUCUGCCUAUACAUGAUUUUGAGGUUGGCUUCGAUUUGAGCAUCCUUGGACAUUGUUUCAUCCGUGCCGUUGAAGUCAAGAUCGAUGAGAGUUGGCGGCUGAUGGCUGGCAGCGCGGAGCUCGUCGUAAAGCGGAGAGUCAGGGUUAGCGUACAAGGCAGGGAGUUGCAUGCCAGCUGGCGCGUCCCAGUUCCAAAACGGCAACGCGAAGGUCGGAUCGUCUAUGAGUUUGGCCAAGAUUCUUUCGUGGAAAUAUAGGUAGUAACGAUGGAAGGGGAAGAAAAGCCAGGAUUGAUGGAUUUGGAGCUCGAGGUUGGGGAAGCCGACUUGGUCGUACGCACCGUUACAAUAGGCACAGUGGACAUCGGCUUGCUGGGUGAAGCUACGCGGAUCGUCGUCCGGGAGGGCUUUCAUGAGCUCGAUGGCUUUUGAGUAUUUUUCGAUGUAGGCUUUAUCCACGGCGUGAGCUGCCGGCCUGACGCGGAGUUUGGUAGGGGAGGGGAAUUUGAAGUCUACGAUUUUUUGGGACGUUGGCGGGCAACAGUUGGUCGGGACUGCUCCACUUGGAAAGUCCGCAGCUCCGCAUUUGGCUAGGUCAGGCGGCGACACUGGCUUUGCAACAGCGAAGGGGUCGCUGCCAAGACCAGCCACUCCACCGUACAGGCUUCCGAGACCUAUAAGUACAUGUCUUCUGUCUAGGUUUACUGGAGAAGGGUUUUCAUGGUCGUGAUCGUUGGAGCUAGUGGAAGGGUUUUUGUUUUGGUCACUACUAUUAUUUGUGGCUUUGCAUGAGACAGCUUGUAAAUUGGAAUGCCUAGGGUUUCCAAAUGAGGAUAUUCGGUGAUACUUUUGGGAGAAAGGAGAGAGAGAAGUUGUGGGGAUGAUACUUGUGGUGGGGGUGACGAGUGGAGCUGACAUAGAAGCCAUGGUUACUUGACUCUGAAUAAUACGUUGUAUGGGCUUUUGCUUUUAUAAUAUGUUCUAGGUUUACUUUUCUUUGCACAGGUGGCAGGCCGUGCACACGUUGUCGAGGAAUAGUACGUAGUCAUUUAGGAGAAAAAUCUAAUUGUGACGGAGGUGACGAGUGGAGCUGACAUAGAAGCCAUGGUUACUUGACUCUGAAUAAUACGUUGUAUUGGCCUUGCUUUUAUAAUAUGUUCUAG
rnacentral:lncRNA from 1 species